rnacentral:lncRNA from 1 species
CCUGCCCGGAUUUGUCGGGCGUCGGUUCCCAAGUAACAUCAUCUCUUUUCAUCUGUGCCUAGCUACACCCCCAUCGGGCUCUAGAAUUCCUGUGCGCGCAUCUAGAUCUGCCCAUGGGCAUUCGGUUGUUGUGGACGUAUUUUUUGGAGUGGGUGGGUGGGGGGAGCAGCUCUCAACUCGAGGCGGACGGGGCAGUAGGUUGCUCAUUGAAUCAGAUAGUGGUCUUCGUUGGGGUUCGAUGGCUAGAAUAAGGGGUGGAUCUCCAUUGUGCGACGGUCGGGUGGACUGGAAGGAUGUGUGCGAGAUGGAGGGGUGGAUCUCCACUACGCAAAAGUGGGUGGAUUGGAAGGAUUGGCGCAAGAAGGGGGGAGUGGAUCUCCAUUGGGCAACGAUGGGGUGAACUGGAUGGGUGAGGCGAGAAGAAGGAGGUGGAUCUCCAUUUGCGCGACAGUGGGGUGGAUUGGAAGGAUGGGCGCGGGGAGGAGGGUGGAUCUCCAUUGCACGACGAUGGGGUGGACUGGACGGGUGAGGCGAGAAGAAGGAGGUGGAUCUCCAUUUGCGCGACGAUGGGGUGGACUGGACGGGUGAGGCGAGAAGAAGGAGGUGGAUCUCCAUUUGCGCKAGUCANNNNNNNNNNNNNNNNNNNNNNNNNNNNNNNNNNNNNNNNNNNNNNNNNNNNNNNNNNNNNNNNNNNNNNNNNNNNNNNNNNNNNNNNNNNNNNNNNNNNCCCAGUCUUGAUCCAUACUAACUCAACUAACACCUUCGGAGAUACCUGUAGAGCAUCUUUAUAGUCACCCAGUUACGUUGCGACGUUUGAUACACACAAAGCAUUCCUCCGGUGUCAGUGAGUUAUAUGAUCUCAUGGUCAUAGGAAUAAAUACUUGACACGCAGAAAACAGUAGCAACAAAAUGACACGAUCAACAUGCUACGUCUAUUAGUUUGGGUCUAGUCCAUCACGUGAUUCUCCCAAUGACGUGAUCCAGUUUAUCAAACAACAACACCUUGUUCAUAAUCAGAAGACACUGACUAUCUUUGAUCAACUGGCUAGCCAACUAGAGGCAUGCUAGGGACGGUGUUUUGUCUAUGUAUCCACACAUGUAAAUGAGUCUUCAUUCAAUACAAUUAUAGCAUGGAUAAUAAACUAUUAUCUUGAUACAGGAAUUAUAAUAAUAACCAUACAUUUAUUAUUGCCUCUAGGGCAUAAUUCCAACAGUUCAAGCUGAAGCUCAUAGAGACAUACAAAUACCGUGAAGCCUGUUCUGAAGGACAAGAAUAAGAUUAGUAGGAUGAAAUUCUGCUUGUCAGUGCUUGAUGAGACAACAAUAGAAACACCAAGGCUUAAAUUCAAAUCUAUGCACAACAUUGUCCAUAUUGACGAUAAAUGGUUUUAUAUGACAAAGAGAAACAGGAACUAUUAUCUCUUGGAUGGGGAGGAAGAGCCUACAAGAACUAUACAAAGCAGCAAUUGUAUUGGAAAAAUCAUGUUCUUGACGGCAGUUGCUAGGCCAAGAUGGGAUAGUGAAGGAAAUGUGAUGUUCUCUGGGAAAAUUGGUAUUUGGUCAUUCGUGAAAGAAGUUCCAGCUCAGAGGAAAAGUGAUAAUAGACCUAGAGGCACAAUAGAGACAAAAUCAAUAAAAGUCGACAGAAAGGUGAUGCGGGAAUUCUUGAUAGAGAACGUCUUGGCAGCAAUACAAGUUGUUUGGCCUGAAAGUGAUGUUGGGCAGACAAUCUAUAUACAACAGGACAAUGCUAAGCCCCACAUACUGCCUACCGACCCGGAAUUUUUAGAAGCCGCUUCAAGAACUGGAAUGGACGUCAGAAUAAUACAACAACCCUCCAACAGUCCUGAUUUGAAUGUGCUUGACCUUGGUUUUUUUGAAGACUAUGAGGUUUAAUUAAUGGAGUGUUGGAGGAAUUUGAAGACUAUGAGGUUUACAAACUGAACAGAGUUUUCCUAUCUCUACAGGCUUGUAUGAUAGAGAUCUUGAACAAUGCUGGUGGCAAUGAGUAUAAAAUACCCCAUGUGAACAAAGAAAGGCUGGAAAAUCUUGGAAUUCUACCUCUACGGCUUUCAUGCCCUCGAGAGGUGUAUGCAAAUGCUCUACACAAUUUAGGGCUAAUGGAGAGAGUUCACUAGUGCUUAACAUGACGCUUGUUGAGAUGCUUGAGGAGUGAGAUGAGGCUUGUUGAGAUGCUUGAGGAGUGAGAUGAGGCUUGUUGAGAUGCUUGAGAUGAGGCUUGUUGNNNNNNNNNNNNNNNNNNNNNNNNNNNNNNNNNNNNNNNNNNNNNNNNNNNNNNNNNNNNNNNNNNNNNNNNNNNNNNNNNNNNNNNNNNNNNNNNNNNNAUAAAGAGAAUAGACGAAGGUCGUCUUCUAUGCCUUAGCCGUAGAAUCUAAAGUAUGCCAUGCUGUGUACCGCACCUGAUGUGUGCCUUGACUCAAGAUCUGUUGAGAGGUACAGAGAGUGAUCCAUGAUUGAAUCACUAGCAGUGGUCAAAAUUUAUCCUUAGUAACUAAUGGACUAAGGAAUUUUUCUCGAUUAUGGAGGUGGUUAAAGAGUUCGUCAUAAAGGGUUACGUCAAUGCAAUCUUUGACACUAAUCCGAAUAACUACGAGUAGUGAAACGGAUUCGUAUAGUAGAGUAGAUAUUUGGAGCAUUUCCGAAUAGCACGUAGUAGCAGCAUCUAUAAGAUGACAUAAAGAUUUGUAAAGAACGCACGGAUCUGAAAGUUUCAGAACCGUUGACUAAAACCUCUCUCACGAGCAAGACGUGAUCAGACCCCAUAACUAUAUGGGUGUUGGAUUCGUUGGAAUCACAUGGUGAUGUGAACUAGAUUAUUGACUCUAGUGCAAGUGGGAGACUGUUGGAAAUAUUCCCUAGAGGCAAUAAUAAAUUAGUUAUUAUUAUAUUUCUUAGUUCAUGAUAAUCGUUUAUUAUCCAUGCUAUAAUUGUAUUGAUUGGAAACACAGUGCAUGUGUGGAUACAUAGACAAAACACUGUCCCUAGUAAGCCUCUAGUUGACUAGCUCGUUGAUCAAAGAUGGUCAAGGUUUCCUGGCCAUAGGCAAGUGUUGUCACUUGAUAACGGGAUCACAUCAUUAGGAGAAUCAUGUGAUGGACUAGACCCAAACUAAUAGACGUAGCAUGUUGAUCGUGUCAUUUUGUUGCUACUGUUUUCUGCGUGUCWAGUCANNNNNNNNNNNNNNNNNNNNNNNNNNNNNNNNNNNNNNNNNNNNNNNNNNNNNNNNNNNNNNNNNNNNNNNNNNNNNNNNNNNNNNNNNNNNNNNNNNNNAAUUUAGAAAAAACUUUCGACCAGUAACCCCCAAGGGCCGGGUCAUCAGUAAAAAGAUGAGCCGGGUCUUGAUAUUGUAUAAUUUCAUCUGAAAAGAAAAAAUUAUACAUUAGCCCCCAAGUGUCAGGGAUAUUGCUUGCAAUAGUUCUGAGACUUGCCCCUUUGUUUGUACUUUCAACAGGAAACUCUUGCUCAGACUGAAUCGGCGCUUGGCGAAUUAAAGAAAAACUUAUAUGGUGAGCAAGAUGCUCGAGCUAAGUCAGAGGAGAAGUAUCAAUUGGUCCUGGCUGAGCUGGAAAAACUCAAAGCCGGUUUGAAAAGAGCUCAAGCUGACCAAGAUGCUGCCACAAAAAGAGCAGAGAAGGCUGAAGCCAGGCUGGCUACUGUGCAACAAGAAUUGUCCGGCUUGAAGCAUCAUAUCUCAAACAUGACGCAAGCCGUCUUUGGUAAACUUACUCAAACUUUUGAUCUUUUCUCCCUUUUUUUAUAUAAAUAACUCUUAUUGUAAGUCGCUGAUUAUCAUGACCCCUUACACAGGUCCGAGAGCCGCCAACCUUCAGGAAGACUGUGUGCUGAUGCUAAAGGCGAUUUACACGCUGACAGAGCAACUGUACACCGGCAGUGUUUUAACUGUUAAAGCUGUGAUGGGUGCCAAAGAGCCUAUAACUUCCGUAAAGAAGGUGCUUGGCUGCCUAUCCACGCUUCCCCCUCAGAUUGGCGAGCUAACUCGGUCAGCCGCCCGAAAGGGGGUUCUGACUGCCUUGAGUCGCUGCUUGGCGUAUGCUCCAGAGAUCAACCCGGAAGAGGUAGCGGCAGGCUUUCCUCAACUCAAAGAUGAUGGUUCAGAAUUCGUUGAAGAGGACUAUCAACGUGUUGUCAUGGACUCCCGACUGGCAGCAACCCAACUCGCAGCAAGUCUGGAUUUAUCAAAGUAUCAGGCUGCUUAUGAUAGCAAGAACAAGAAAGUCAACCCGCCAACCUUUGUGACGACCAGUUUAACUCCUCGGCGACCCAAGAACCCUUUUGACUUGGAAGCAGACCUGGCAUCAAUCCUGACUGAUGAAGAUGACUUCGCAGCUCUGGCCAAGUUUAACUGGGUACUGGGCGACUUGCAAAUUGAGGUCGACCAGAGCUCGCAGCAAAAUGAUCCGAAGGCGCCAACAGAAUAAACCUCAUCGAUUUGGCCUGAGAGCCAUGUAAUAGGUCUUUUUCAUAAGUCGAUACUGUUUUUGUGAUACUCUCGAAAGAAUCUUUAUAUCGCCCUUAAGGCGAUUUGAAAUAUUUGACCCGUCAUUUGAGAAUCCUUUAUAAUGCUUAAUCCGCCAUGGAUGAAGUGAUUCUGAUCAUCAACCUGAUUUAGGCUUUGAAAACAUCAUAUGUGAAACCAAAUAAAUGAUAACAAAUAUUUUCAAGAGGAAUCAAAAUAGAAGGUUUUGAAAACCCUCGAGGCUAUGCCACGAAGGAUAAUACAAAACAGCAAUCUCGUCGGCUCAUAAGGUCGCGACAGGAUGGGGCGAGUCAGAAAGCUCGAGCACACACCCACAAUGAUGGUUUCGUCGGCUCAUAAGGUCGCGACAGGAUGGGGCGAGUCAGAAAGCUCGAGCACACACCCUAAAUGAUGAUGGUUUCGUUGGCUCAUAAGGUCGUGACAGGAUGGGGCGAGUCAGAAAGCUCGACCACACACCCUAAAUGCUGGUUUCGUCGGCUCAUAAGGUCACGACAGGAUGAGGCGAGUAAGAAAACUCGAGCACACACCCUAAAAUGCUGAUGGUUUCGUCGGCUCAUAAGGUCGCGACAGGAUGGGGCGAGUCAGAAAGCUCGAGCACACACCCUAAGAUGCUGAUGGUUUCGUCGGCUCAUAAGGUCACAACAGGAUGGGGCGAGUCAGAAAGCUCGAGCACACACCCUAAGAUGAUGAUGAUUUCGUCGGCUCAUAAGGUCGCGACAGGAUGGGGCGAGUCGGAAAGCUCAAGCGCCACCCUAAAAUGCUGGUUUCGUCGUCUCAUAAGGUCGCGACAGGAUGAGGCGAGUCAGAAAGCUCGAGCACACACCCUAAGAUGAUGAUGAUUUUGUCGGCUCAUAAGGUCGCGACAGGAUGGGGCGAGUCAGAAAGCUCAAGCGCCACCCUAAAAUGCUGAUUCUGUCGGCUCAUAAGGUCGCAACAGGAUGACAAAAUUGUUCUUUUAAAGAAGAAGCCCCCAAGUCGGGGAGUAUUUUUAACUUUAUUACUUCAUAAUGAAACUGAAAAACUUACAAAAUGCAGAGCUUAAGAGCUCAAGUGUAAUAAGGCCGCAGGUGGGUAAUAUUCCAGGAGCGAGUUGACUCAGCCUCCGUGGUUGGCCGGUCAGGCCGGAGAUCCACCAAAUAAUAAGAGCCAUUGCGGAGAUUCUUGCUGACGACGAACGGCCCUUCCCAAGGUGGUGACAACUUAUGCAUGGCUGCACGAUCUUGUAUCAACCGAAGAACCAAGUCGCCUUCCUGAAAGGUCCGACUCUUAACCCGGCGGUUGUGAUAACACCGUAGAUCCUGCUGGUAGAUAGCUGAACGGGCCGCAGCCAGGUCACGUGCCUCCUCUAAGGCGUCCAAAGAGUCUUGACGCGCCAGCUCAUUGUCUUGUUCCACAUAUGCGGCUACUCUAGGUGAGUCAUGCCUUAUAUUAGUAGGAAGGACAGCUUCUGCUCCGUAGACCAGAAAGAAAGGGGUGAAACCCGUGGACCGGUUCGGGGUAGUCCGAAUACUCCAUAGUACUGAAGGUAAUUCUUCAACCCAACACCCUGGGGUUUUUUCCAGGGGAACCAUGAGUCGGGGCUUAAUUCCUCGCAAAACCUCCUGAUUCGCCCGCUCCGCCUGCCCAUUAGAUUGUGGGUGAGCGACUACAGAAACAUCAAGCCGGAUAUGUUCUCGACGACAAAACUCCUGCAUCGCCCCUUGGGACAAGUUAGUACCAUUAUCAGUAAUGAUACUGUGCGGAUAUCCAAACCGUAAAAUCAACUUCUUCAAGAAUUUGACCGCUGUUUCCGCAUCGCAAGCUCCAAUAGGUUCCGCCUCAACCCACUUGGUGAACUUAUCAACCGCCACCAGCAGAUGGGCCUUCUUGUUAGAGGACAUUUUAAAGGGGGCGACCAUGUCAAGCCCCCAGACCGCAAAAGGCCAAGUGAUGGGGAUCAUUCUUAAUUCUUGAGCCGGCACAUGAGCCUGUCGCCCAUAACGCUGGCAUCCUUCACACCGGCGAACUAUAUCUUCUGCAUCUACAUGAGCCGUCAGCAAAAGAAACCAUGACGGAAAGCCUUUGACACCAAAGACCGUGACCCGGCAUGAUGCCCACAGUCUCUGGAAUGAAUGUCAUUUAAGAUUAUGCAUCCUUCUUUGGAGGAAACGCAUCGCUGAAAAACUCCAGAGGCGCUCCGCUUAUAUAACUCGCCAUUGAUGAUGACCAUGGAUUUGCUGCGACGAAUGAUUUGACGAGCUGAAACUUCGUCUGCUGGUAACUCGCCCCGAGCGAGAUAAGCCAGAUAAGGAAGAACCCAAUCCAGCAUGACGUGGAGAGCCGCCACGAGCUGAGACUCAGGAUCUGGUAUUGCCAAUUCCUCCUCCGAUGGUAGAAUCACGGAUGGUUUAUGCAAGAUAUCCAGAAAAACAUUGGGAGGAACUGGCUUUCGCUGGGAGCUAAGUCGUGAGAGGGCGUCAGCUGCCUCGUUGAGGCGCCGAUCAAUGUGGUCCACCUGAUAACCAUGAAAAUGACCCGCCACAUCAGACACAGCUCUUCUGUAAGCCGCCAUCAUGGGGUCCCGAGAAUCCCAGGUACCUGAAACUUGUUGUGCCACCAAAUCAGAGUCGCCAAAGCAUCUGACUCGCGUUAGAUUCAUCUCCUUGGUGAGUCGCAAGUCAUGAAGCAAAGCUUCGUAUUCCGCCGCAUUGUUAGUGCACGGAAACAUGAGUCGGAGAACGUAACAGAAUUUAUCUCCUUGAGGGGAUACCAACACCACACCAGCCCCCGAGCCUUCCAGCUGCCUAGAUCCAUCAAAGUAAAUAGUCCAGUAAGUGAGAUGAGGCCUAUCUUCCGGAGCCUGCAACUCCGUCCAGUCGUUGACGAAAUCAACUAAAGCCUGAGACUUGAUGGCUGUACGGGGGGUAUAUUGUAUGUGAUGCGGCCCAAGUUCUAUUGCCCACUUGGCAAUCCGCCCUGUUGCCUCCCGAUUCUGGAUGAUGUCCCCAAGGGCGGCAGAGCUAACCACUGUGAUAGGGUGUUCUUGGAAAGAAUGCUUAAGUUUUCGACUCGCCAUAAACACCCCAUAUACCAACUUCUGCCAGUGUGGGUACCGCUGCUUGGAAAGAGUUAACACCUUGCUGAUAAAAUAUACCGGGCAUUGCACUGGGUAUUCCUUCCCUUCCUCCUUUCUUUCAACGACCACUGCCACACUUACUGCUUUGGAAUUUGCCGUGAUAUACAGAAGCAUGGGCUCUUUUUCAGUCGGGGCGGCCAGGACCGGCGGGUUAACCAAUUGGCGUUUCAGGGCUUCGAGCGCCUCGUCUGCCUCAUUCGUCCAAACAAACCGAUCAGAUUUCCUUAAUAACUGAUAAAGAGGAAUCGCCUUCUCACCCAGGCGACUCACAAAACGACUUAGGGCCGCAAUGCGACCCGCCAGUCGUUGAACUUGAUUAACGUUCGCCGGCUUUCCAAGGGAUGUAACUGCUUCGAUCUUGUCCGGGUUAGCUUCAAUGCCGCGCUCCGAUACCAGGAAACCCAGCAAUUUCCCUGCAGGCACACCAAAAACAUACUUGGUGGGAUUUAGCUUCAUCUGAUAUACCCGUAGAUUAUCGAACGUUUCCUUGAGAUCCUCCAGUAGUGUCUCCCCCUGGCGGGUUUUGAUCACAAUAUCGUCGACAUAGGCAUGGACGUUGCGACCGAUUUGGUUGCGGAGGCAAUUCUGGAUGCAGCACUGAUAAGUCGCCCCCGCACUCUUGAGUCCAAAGGGCAUGGACACAUAACAAAAAGCCCCGAAGGGGGUUAUAAAGGCUGUUUUCUCUUGAUCCUUGACGGCCAUCUUGAUUUGGUGAUAUCCUGAGUAGGCGUCCAAAAAGCACAAUCGUUCGCAUCCCGCCACCGAGUCAAUGAUAUGGUCGAUGCGGGGAAGAGCGAAGGGAUCUUUUGGACAAGCUCUGUUGAGGUCUCUGUAGUCAAUGCACAUACGAAAGGUACCGUUCUUCUUGAGUACCAAAACCGGGUUAGCCAACCAUUUGGGGUGAAAAACUUCCACGAUGAAUCCGGCGGCUAAAAGACGGGCAACCUCUUCCCCAAUCGCCUUGCGUCGCUCCUCGUUAAAUCUGCGAAGGUACUGCUGGAUGGGUUUGCUCUUUGGGUCAACAUUAAGAUGGUGCUCAGCGAAUUCUCUCGGCACACCAGGCAUGUCAGAAGGUUUCCAUGCGAAGAUGUCCCGAUUCUCACGGAUGAAUUCGAUGAGCGCGCUUUCCUAUUUGGGGUCCAGACCUGUCCCAAUGGUGAACUGCUUGGAUGAAUCGCCAGGAACGAAAUCGAUUGUCUUAGUGUCAUCCGUUGGCUUGAACUUGAGGGGCGACUCAGAAUCUGUAGUCGGCUUCUUUAAGGGUGACAUGUCCGCUGGGUCAACAUUGGCCCGAUGGUGUUUGAGCUCUUCCGCAGUGCAGGCGACUUCCGCACAAGCCGCGUCCCCUUCUUCACAUUCCUUUGCAAUCCUUCUAUCUCCAUCAACCGUGAUAGGUCCUUUGGGACCAGGCAUUUUGAGCUUGAGGUAAACAUAGCACGGGCGAGCCAUGAAGUGGGCAUAACCCGGCCGCCCAAACAACGCAUGGUAGGGGCUUUUCAAUUUGACCACCUCGAAAAUCAGCGACUCCGACCUGUAAUUUUGCGCAGUUCCAAACGCCACUGUGAGCCUGACCCGGCCUAUGGGGUAGGCCGACUUGCCCGGUACGAUUCCGUGGAAAACCGUGGUUGAAGGCAUCAGGUCCUUUUCCAAUAGGUUCAUCCUUUGGAAAGUGUCAAAAUAUAAGAUAUUGAUGUUGCUGCCACUAUCCAUUAGCACUUUGGAUAGGGUGUAACCCCCAACUUGGGGAGCCACGACCAACGCUAAAUCGCCUGGGUUGUCAACUCUCGGCGGGUGAUCCUCCCUGCUCCAUGUUAUGGUUUGCUCAGACCAAUGGAGGUAUCUCGGAAGCGCCGGUUCAGAUACACUGUACGCCCGGUGACACACCUUCUUAUCGCGCCUGCAAGCAUUGGUGGUGAAAACAUGAUAUUGCCCAUUACUUAACUGUUUGGGGUUGCUGCGGAAACCCCCAUUAUCGUCCUGACCCUGCGGAGCCCCCUGUGGGGGUGGCUGCUGAAAGGCUCCUGGCGGGUUAUACCGCCGCUGGUGGUGCACCGGGUAUUGGCCGCYGMCUAGGCUGUGGGCCUCCCUGAGCCCCCUAUUCGGGAAAGCCGCCGAAGGGAUUCUGUCGUUGGUUGGGUGCGGUGAAUUUCUCCUGGCGCUGGUCCGGAUCAUCGUUUUGACUUUUCUUGAUCGCCUCCGCCCGAAACUCCCGCAUUACGAAGCAGUUCUCCCAGGAGUGAGUCGCCGGACCGUCUGCCGUGGCAUGGUGCGGGCAAGGGCCUUUGAGUAGCUCUUCAUAGUUACCCGGCCUCUUCCCGCUAAACCCCCUAUUUUUCUUCUGGCGUUGGUUGCCGUUGUUGGCGUUGGUAUUGGCGACUAAGUCUGAGGGCUCUUCUUGCGGUCUUCGCUUGCCAUUGGCCCCUUGAUUGUGGCGGUUACGUCCCUGGAACCGGGUAUGAUUUUUGGAUGACUCGCCCUUUUUGGGCGAAUUAGCCUUACCGUCCUCACCAGGAUCUUUGGUGUCAUCUGCCUCAGCGUACCUAGUGAGGGUGUCCAUCAGCUCUCCCAUGUCUUGGACCUUUCGCUUGAGUCGCCCCCAUUUUUGCACCAAGGGUUCGUAAUGGCAAUUCUGCUCGAGGAUCAGCACAGCUUGAGCCGCCGUAAUACCAUCUGACGAAUGGAUAAUUUCUGCAACCCGUCGUGACCAAUGGUGAGCCGACUCAUCCGGGCGCUGAACACAAUGCUGUAGAUCGACGAUCGUCAUCGGACGUUUGCAAGUUCCUCGGAAGUUUUUGAUGAAACGCUCUUUUAACUCGGCCCAGGUCUGGAUGGAGUUGGCAGGUAAGUUUUUCAACCAAGUGCGUGCUAACCCCUCGAGCAUCAUCGUGAAGUAUCUGGCGCAAACCGCCUCGUUCACGUCAAGCAUGUCCAUGGCGAUUUCAUAACUCUCGAUCCACGAUGCCGGCUCAAGGUCCGGGGUGUAAUUAGGCACCUUUCUUGGUCCCUUAAAAUCUUUGGGCAUCCUUUCGUUAUGAAGAGCGAGGGCCAAGCAUGGUACCCCUACUCGCCCUCCGCCCCCGACGAGGGGGACCGGGGCGUCUUGGGUGUUCGGGAGAUCCCGGCCCGGCGGGUUCUGUUCAGGCGGGUUGUCAUGUGGGACGUGUCGCGGACCGCUGUUUACGGCGGGCUGGUCCUCUGGACGGCUCCUGGUGUAACUUUCCUAGGGGGUGGAAUGCAACCUCUCGAGGCUAUGGGGGAACUGGGUGUUUUGAACCACCGCCGUCUUCAACAUCUCGAUGGCAUUCCUUGCUUCUAUCUCGGCAGGAGUGUUGCCAUGAAUNNNNNNNNNNNNNNNNNNNNNNNNNNNNNNNNNNNNNNNNNNNNNNNNNNNNNNNNNNNNNNNNNNNNNNNNNNNNNNNNNNNNNNNNNNNNNNNNNNNNGUAGAUGGCGAUCUGGCGGCGGGUUCGGUCAAGGACUUCGGGGUCCAUGGCCAGCGACAAGCCCCCAAGACAAUCCCCAUGCAGAGACCGGAUUGAAUCUGAAUCGCCCAUGGAUGAUUCGUCAUCAGAGUUGACCGGUGUAGUUUCCUGAGUCGCUGAGCGCUCUGGCUUGUCCGAUCCCUGCGUGAACCCCACAAAGACCGGGCGAGUCAGAUUUUGCGUUAUCACUGGGUGGACGUACCUGGCCGGCUCGACGAUGUCGGUGGAGAUGUCCGGCUCACGCACGGAUGAUCCGAUCAUGCCGAUGAAGAUGUUGAUCUUGCCGAAGAGGACCCUGUAACCAGAUUCAAUUGAAUCCGCUUCAGGCCCCCAUCGCUGGUUGUCGAUGUAGGUUUUCCCGCGGCGGCUCCGUGUCAUGAGUCCCAUCACGUAACUCCCAAACCCUGGUAGAGCUCCCUUUGAGAACUCAACUCCACCGUGUGUAGGCCCCACGGUGGGCGCCAACUGUCGUGGUUUUGUCACGGCAGAUGUCCUCGUGAAAGGACUUAGUACUGGAGCCAUCGCACCUUGGUGGCGACUCAAAGGGGUUAAGCGGGAGAGACACGACGAUUUACCCAGGUUCGGCCCCUCGUGAGGAGGUAAAAGCCUACGUCCUGCUUUGGUUUGUAUUGAUGUGGUUUCGAUUACAAGGAGGGCGUAACUCGCUGAACCUAGCACUCGAUGAUUUCUAACUUGCCCUCUCCUGCCCUAGGACUCGCCUUUAUAUACAGGUCGAACCCUUAGGGUUUACAAGGAUACUUUCCUUCCUGCAAAUCGUGACCCCUGUGGUCUCUAAGUCGCCCUCUUUCAAAGCUUGGAGACCUUCCAGAAAUCAUAAACAGCCAUACGGCCUUGAUCCCGCCAGGCCAAGGCCCAAACCACUGUUUAGGUGAAUCGCCUGAUUGGUGACCCGGCCCAACUAGGGCGGGUUAUUAACAGGUAAUAUCCCCAACACCAAGUGCUAAUGCGUUGGUCCAGUUCUUUAUUAAAAGGAGAACCUUAAUAUCCCGUAGUUUACUUUUGGACCCCGCUGCCACGGGAGGGAUGGAUAAUAGAUGUCAUGCAAGUUCUUUUCCCUAAGCACGUAUGACGACACACAGAAUGCAUGCCUACAUCACAUUGACGAACGGGAGCUAGCCACAUAUCUCUCCAUGUUAUAACUGUUGCAUGAUGAAUAUCAUCCAAACAAAUCACCGACCCAUUGCCUACGAGUUUGUCCUGCUGCUGCUACUACUGUUGCUACUGUUGUUACUUGUCUUGCUCUGCUGCUGCUACUACUGUUGCUACUGUUGUUACUUGUCUUGCUCUGCUGCUGCUACUACUGUUGCUAUUGCUGUUACUUGUCUUGCUCUGCUGCUACUGUUGCUACUACUGUCGCUUGCUACUGUUGCUACUUGCUACUACUAUCACUACUGCUUUUCCUUGCCGCUGCUAUUGCUCGUUAGACCGUCGUUACUCGCUACUUUGUUGUUACUACUUUGCUUGCAGAUACUAAUCUUUCAGGUGUGGUUGAAUCUGAAAAUUCAACUGCUAAUACUUGAGAGUAUUCUCCCACCUCCCGUCGUGCGAAUCAACAAAUUUGGGUCGAAUAAUCUACCCUCGAAAACUGCUGCGACCCCAUGCGCUUGUGGGCCGUCAACAACAUUCUUCUAGUUUCGAUUGCCAGGGAGUGCUAGCAGCAGUCUUCUGGUGUCGUUGCAAAGGGGAAGAACAGUUGGCAUCAAGCAUUUUUCUGGCGCCGUUACCGGGGAGGUAUUGCUAUAUUCUCUGAGUCACUUGGGAUUUAUAUCUGCUGAUUACUAUGAAGAAUCUGAAGGAUCCGAAGACCAAAGUCUUGCCCUCAACUACGAGGGGAGGUAAGGAAUUGCCAUCUAGCUCUGCACUUGAUUCACCUUCAGUUAUGAGUAAGUUUGCGACAUCACCUCCUGCUAGAAAUCUUGAUAUGUCGCAUGUGCUUGAUGAUGAUUAUGAUGCUACUGCUAGAGAUGCUAUGCUUGAUACUAUGCCUGAUGAUACUAUGCUUGAUACUAUGCCUGAUGAUACUAUGCUUGAUACUAUGCCUGAUACUACUAGAGAUGCUAUGCUUGAUACUAUGCCUGAUGAUACUAUGCUUGAUACUAUGCCUGAUGAUACUAUGCUUGAUACUAUGCCUGAUACUACUAGAGAUGCUAUGCUUGAUACUGCUAGAGAUACUAUGCUUGAUACUGCUUUGCCUGAUGAUGCUAGAGAUGCUAUUUUGCCUGAUGAUGUUAUGCUUGAUACUGCUAGAGAUGCUACUUUGCCUGAUGUUCCACUAGGAGUGUUCCUUGAUGCUCAUAUUGCUAGAGUUACUGCCAAUGCUCGUGAUGCAUCUGAUACUGUCGAUACUAUUGAGAUAGAACCUCCUUUUGCUCCUGCUAGAUCUAGCUCUCCUAGAUAUGAAUUGCCUAAUAUACCUGAGGCUUACGUUAUGGAGGGAGAGAUAGCUGAGGAUUUUCUUGCGUGUAAGGAUGCCUAUGAUGCUGAGAAAUUACUUCUCAAGUGGAAGGAAAAAUCUCGGGAAGCUAAGAUGAAAUAUCACCCGAAGUUUGCCACUUCACCUAUCUUUAUCACCGAUAAGGAUUAUGAAUUUUGUGUCGAUCCUGAGAUAAUCUCUCUAGUCGAAUCUGAUCCUUUUCACGGUUAUGAGUCUGAGAUGGUCAUAGCCCAUCUUGCCAAACUACACGAUAUAGCCAACCUUUUCACUAAUGAGGAGAAGAUCCGCCACUACUAUAUCCUUAAGUUGUUUCCUUUCUCUCUAAAGGAUGAUGCUAAAGCCAGGUUCACCUCUCUUGCUCCUGGAUGUGUGUGUAGUCCCCAGGAGAUGGUCUAUUACUUCUGUGAGAAAUAUUUCCCUGCCCAUAAGAAGCAAGCUGCCUUGCAGGAAAUAUACAACUUUGCUCAACUCCAAGAAGAGAGUCUUCCACAAGCUUGGGGAGGCUCGUCCAGCUACAGAAUGCUUUGCCUGAUCACCCUCUUAAGAAGAACGAGAUACUUGAUAUCCUCUAUAACGGACUUACCGAUGCCUCUAGAGACCACCUAGAUAGUUGUGUCGGUUGUGUUUUUAGGGGACGAACUGUAGAACAAGCUAAGACCCUACUCAAUAACAUCUUGAUCAACGAUAAUGCUUAGACUAUUCCCGAACCACCUCCUAAGCCAACUCCUAAGAAAAGAGGUAUUCUAUUCCUCAGUCCCAAAGAUAUGCAAGAAGCCAAGAAAUCUAUGCAAGAGAAAGGCAUUAGAUCUGAAGAUGUCAAAAUCUACCACCUAUCGAAGAGAUCCAUGGUCUCGAUAACCCGAUACAGGUAGUAGAAGUGAAUUCUCUGUGUAGGUUUGAUGAGAGUGAUAUUCCUUUUGAUAAACCUGCUAGCCUAUGCUUUGAUGAAUUUGACAACUUUGUUGCCAAACAACAGAGUUUCAAUGAUUAGUUUAGCAGACAUUUGGAACAAAGUACUCGUAUUCUUAGCCAUUUAAGUGCUUGUGUAGACAGAAAUGUCAAUGAUCUGAAGCUUCUGAGUAAACAUGCCUCUAUGAUUACUACUCAGGUAGAACAAGUACUUAAAGCUCAGAAUGACUUGCUCAAUGAAUUAAAUGACAACUCUGUUAGAGUCAUUACUAGAGGAGGCAAAAUGACUCAGGAACCUUUGUAUCCUGAAGGUCAUCCUAAGAGAAUUGAUCAAGAUUCUCAAGGAAUCAAUGCUGAUACACCCAGUCAUCCUAAGGAGAAGAAGAAGGAUGAUAGAAACCUACAUGUCAGUUCACCAAAUAUUGUCACACCUGAAGAACCUAAUGAUAUUUCUGCGUCUGAUGCAGAAACACAAUCUGGUGAUGAACAUGAACCUGGUGACAAUCUGGACAACGAUGUUCAUAAUAAUGCUCAACCUAGCAAUGAUGAGGAUGUGGAGAUUGAACCUACGGUUAAUCCUGAUAACCCACAACCUAAGAAAUACGAUAAGAAUGACUUCACUACUAGGAAGCAUGGUAAAGAAAGGGAGCCAUGGGUUCAGAGACCUAUGCCCUUUCCUCCUAAGCUGUCCAAGAAAAAGGAUGAUGAGGAUUUCGAGCGCUUCGUUGAGAUGAUAAGACCCAUCUUUCUGCAGAUGCGGUUAACUGAUAUGCUCAAGAUGUCUCCGUAUGCCAAGUACAUGAACGAUAUCGUGACUAAUAAACGGAAGAUACCAGAUCUUGAGAUCUCCACCAUGCUUGCCAACUACACUUUCAAGGGUGGAACUCCUAAGAAACUUGGUGAUCCCGGAGUGCCCACUAUACCUUAUUCCAUUAAAGGAAACUACGUAAGAACCGCCUUAUGUGACCUUGGAGCCGGUGUUAGUGUUAUGCCGCUCUCUCUUUAUCGUAGACUUGGGUUGGAUAAGUUGACACCCACUGAAAUUUCUCUGCAAAUGGCCGACAAAUCAACUGCUUUCCCUAUCGGCAUUUGCGAGGAUGUGCCUAUUGUGGUUGCUAACACCACUAUCUUAACAGACUUUGUUAUCUUGGAUAUUCCCGAGGACGAUGCCAUGGCUGUCAUCCUCGGAAGACCCUUUUUAAACACUGCAGGGGCUGUUAUAGAUUGCAACAAAGGCAAUGUCACUUUCCAUGUCAACGGUAAUGAGCACACAGUGCACUUUCCAAAGAAACGAUAUCCAGUACAUUGCAUUAAUGCUAUAGAAAAGACUUCAUCGAUUCUCAUUGUGAGCUUUGAAUGCCCUCUUCCUCGUGUCGAGAUGAAGUAUGAUUUGCUUGUUGGGGAGAUACAUAUCCCCAUUGAGGUGACUUAGUGGCUAUUAGAAAAUUCUCUGUUCUCCCUUGCGAUUCGAGAAGGUUUUGUCAUAAGGACUUGAUCAACCCCAUUGACGGAUUUCUUGCGAUGACCAUGAAAUGGAUGAAUCAAAGGGUCACACACCUCUGUUUUAAAGCUUUCAUUUUCUUUUGCUUGGAAGAAAAAUGAUAGAAUUAGUUUAGUUUUUCCUGUUUCCUGUUUUAGCGUCCCGGAGAAAAAUACCUGGGAAAUAAAAGUUCUCUGAUGGUCCUGAAAAUUUAGUAUGAUUUUUUCUGGAAUUUUUGAAAAUUUCUGGGCCUCAGAGCUGUUGGGUAACGUAGCAUAAAUUCAAAAUUUUCCUACGCAUAUUCAGAUCUUCCUAUGGAGAGACCAGCAAUGAGAGAGGGGUAAGAGCAUCUUCAUACCUAUGAAGAUCGCUAAGCGGAAGCGUUGCUAGAACGCGGUUGAUGGAGUCGUACUCGCAGCGAUUCCGAUCUAGUGCCGAACUACGGCACCUCCGCGUUCAACACACGUGCAGCCCGGUGACGUCUCCCGCACCUUGAUCCAGCAAGGAGGAGGGAGAGGAUGGGGAAGAACUCCAGCAGCACGACGGCAUGGUGUCGAUGGAGAGACGAGGUCUCCCGGCAGGGCUUCGCCAAGCACCGGCAGAGAGGAGGAGAAAGAAGGGCAGGGUUGCGCCGAGGGAGAGGGAAAAGGCUAAUCUCCAAUGGCCAAAAGUGCCCACUAUAUAUAGGGGGAGGGAGAGGCUGCGCCCCCUUGAGGGUUUCCCUCUUCAGGGGGGGAAGCCCUAGAUGGGGGCUGGUGCGGCGGCCAAGGGGGGGAGGAGGGGUGUGGCGCACCCCUGGUGGGCCUUAGGCCCACCUGGCUUAGGGUUUGCCCCCCCCCCCUUUUCUCUUCCCCACGCAUUGGGCUGAGUGGGGAGGCGCACCAGCCCACCUAGGGGCUGGUUCCCUUCCCCACUUGGCCCACCUUACCUCCCAGGGUCGUUGCCCCCCUUCGGUGGACCCCCGGGGCCACCUCCGAUGGUCCCGGUUGUCCCGGUACGUUACCGGUGAUGCCCGAAACACUUCCGGUAUCCGAAACCAUCCGUCCUAUAUAUCAAUCUUUACCUCCAGACCAUUCCAGAGCUCCUCGUGACGUUCGGGAUCUCAUCCGGGACUCCGAACAACUUUCAGUAACCUCGUAUAACAAUUCCAGAUAACCCUAGCGUCAUCAAACCUUAAGUGUGUAGACCCUACGGGUUCGGGAGACAGGCACACAUGACCGAGACGCCUCUCUGGCCAAUAACCAUCAGCGGGGUCUGGAUACCCAUGGUGGCUCCCACUUUCUCCAUGAUGAUCUCAUCGGAUGAACCACGAUGUCAAGGAUUCAAUCAAUCCUGUAUACGAUUCCCUUUGUCUGUCGGUAUAGAACUUGCCCGAGAUUCGAUCGUCGGUAUACCUAUACCUUGUUCAAUCUCGUUACCGGUAAGUCUCUUUACUCGUUCCGUAGCACGUCAUCGUGUGAUUAACUCCUUAGUCACAUUGAGCUCAUGAUGAUGUUCUACCGAGUGGGCCCAGAGAUACCUCUCCGUCACAAGGAGUGACAAAUCCCGAUCUCGAUUCGUACCAACCCAACAGACACUUUCGGAGGUACCUGUAGUGCACCUUUAUAGUCACCCAGUUACGUUGUGACGUUUGAUACACCCAAAGCACUCCUACGGUAUCCGGGAGUUGCACAAUCUCACGGUCGAAGGAAAAGAUACUUGACAUUAGAAAAGCUUUAGCAUACGAACAAUACGAUCUAGUGCUAUGCUUAGGAUUGGGUCUUGUCCAUCACAUCAUUCUCCCGAUGAUGUGAUCCCGUUAUCAAUGACAUAUAAUGCCCAUGAUCAGGAAACCAUGAUCAUCUAUUGACUAACGAGCUAGCCAACUAGAGGCUUGCUAGGGACACAUUGUGAUCUAUUUAUUCACACAUGUAUUACUGUUUCCUGUUAAUACAAUUAUAGCAUGAACAAUAGACGAUUAUCAUGAACAAGGAAAUAUGAUAAUAACCAUUUUAUCAUUGCCUCUAGGGCAUAUUUCCAACAAGAGCUGGCCUGGGGACCUGACCAGUGGGCCACAAGCCCUGCCACCGCCACCUACCCCCCUAGUGGCGGGGUGCAAGCUUGUGGGGCCCACAGGCACCCCUCCACUCAUUCCAGCUCUCAACCUCUUCUUCCACCUCCAGAAAAAAUUGUUUCGUAGCUCAAACCCGUGUUCUUGCUCAUUUGGCUGUGAUUUUCGAUCUCCUUGCUCAAAGCACCAUUCUCCGAACCGUUUUGGGGAAAUUACUCCUUGGUAAGUGACUCAUCCAUUGGUCCAAUUAGUUUUUGCUCUAGUGCUUUAUCCUUCGCGUAUUCUUGCUACCUUGGUGACCCUGUUCUUGAGCUAGAAAUGUUGAUUUUAGCUGGUCCCAAGUAGUUUUAGCGCGUGAUACGGUCUCUAGGCACUAGUAGGAGUAGUUGCUACAAGGUAUGGUGGGUCUUUAUUCACUUAUUCUCUUAAACUUCAAAAAAUUUAGCAAAAGGAAAUUAUGUUCAGGAGGAAGUUUCAUGGUGGUUCCUCAAGUAAGAAGGGUCCUCGUCUUUCCUUUCGGGAGCCCAAACCUUUUUCAACUAAGGGACGCACCGGUACAACCAUGUGAAUGGCCUUCCGAUGAGUUCAUGAUCGAAGCAGGUUUCAAGGAUGAGUUUGAUACACUUGUCCACAAUGUCAGGUUAGAAGAAUUCCUCUCAGAUAAAUGUGAACAGUAUGCUAUGCUCACUGCCUCUUUCGUGCGUAGAUUUAAAUUUUCGGUUGGCCGUGACUCAUCCAUACUGUUUGAUCUGUACGAUAAAUCCUAUACCAUGGAUUUGGAGGAUUUCAAUAGGAUUUGCAAGAUACCCGAUGGGGGUAGUAUUAAUGAUCCUUCUGUUGGAAUUAUGCCCUAGAGGCAAUAAUAAAUAUAGUUAUUAUUAUAAUUCUUGUAUCAAUAUAAUCGUUUAUUAUCCAUGCUAUAAUUGUAUUGAAUGAAGACUCAUUUACAUGUGUGGAUACAUAGACAAAACACUGUCCCUAGCAAGCCUCUAGUUGGCUAGCCAGUUGAUCAAAGAUAGUCAGUGUCUUCUGAUUAUGAACAAGGUGUUGUUGCUUGAUAACUGGAUCACGUCAUUAGGAGAAUCACGUGAUGGACUAGACCCAAACUAAUAGACGUAGCAUGUUGAUCGUGUCAUUUGUUGCUACUGUUUUCUGCGUGUCAAGUAUUUGUUCCUAUGACCAUGAGAUCAUAUAACUCACUGACACCGGAGGAAUACUUUGUGUGUAUCAAACAUCACAACGUAACUGGAUGACUAUAAAGAUGUUGUACAGGUAUCUCCGAAGGUGUUAGUUGAGUUAGUAUGGAUCAAGACUGGGAUUUGUCACUCCGUGUGACGGAGAGGUAUCUCGGGGCCCACUCGGUAAUACAACAUCACACACAAGCCUUGCAAGCAAUGUGACUUAGUGUAAGUUGCGGGAUCCUGUAUUACGGAACGAGUAAAGAGACUUGCCAGUAAACGAGAUUGAAAUAGGUAUGCGGAUACUGACGAUCGAAUCUCGGGCAAGUAACAUACCGAAGGACAAAGGGAAUGACAUACGGGAUUAUAUGAAUCCUUGACACUGAGGUUCAAACGAUAAUAUCUUCGUAGAAUAUGUAGGAUCCAAUAUGGGCAUCCAGGUCCCGCUAUUGGAUAUUGACCGAGAAGUCUCUCGGGUCAUGUCUACAUAGUUCUCGAACCCGCAGGGUCUGCACACUUAAGGUUCGACGUUGUUUUAUGCGUAUUUGAGUUAUAUGGUUGGUUACCAAAUGUUGUUCGGAGUCCCCGAUGAGAUCACGGACGUCACGAGGGUUUCCGGAAUGGUCCGGAAACGAAGAUUGAUAUAUAGGAUGAGCUCAUUUGAUUACCGGAAGGUUUUCGGAGUUUCCGGGAAUGUACCGGGAAUGACGAAUGGGUUCCGGGAGUUCACCGGGGGGGCAACCCACCCCGGGGAAGCCCAUAGGCCUUGAGGGUGGCGCACCAGCCCUUAGUGGUCUGGUGGGACAGCCCAAAAGGGCCCUAUGCGCAUUGGAAGAAAAAUCAAAGAGAAAGAAAAAAAAAGGAAGAGGUGGGAAGGGAAGGAAGGACUCCCACCCACCAAACCAAGUCCAACUCGGUUUGGGGGGGAGACCUUCCCCCCUUCGGCUCGGACGACCCCCUUAGGGCUCCUUGAGCCCCAAGGCAAGGCCCCCCCUCUCCCACCUAUAUAUACGGAGGUUUUAGGGCUGAUUAGAGACGACUUUUCCACGGCAGCCCGACCACAUACCUCCACGGUUUUUCCUCUAGAUCGCAUUUCUGCGGAGCUCGGGCGGAGCCCUGCUGAGACAAGGUCAUCACCAACCUCCGGAGCGCCGUCACGCUGCUGGAGAACUCUUCUACCUCUCCGUCUCUCUUGCUGGAUCAAGAAGGCUGAGAUCAUCGUCGAGCUGUACGUGUGCUGAACGCGGAGGUGCUGUCCGUUCGGUACUAGAUCGUGGGACUGAUCGCGGGAUUGUUCGCGGGGCGGAUCGAGGGACGUGAGGACGUUCCACUACAUCAACCGCGUUCACUAACGCUUAUGCCGUACGGUCUACAAGGGUACGUAGAUCACUCAUCCCCUCUCGUAGAUGGACAUCACCAUGAUAGGUCUUCGUGCGCGUAGGAAAAAUUUUGUUUCCCAUGCGACGUUCCCCAACAGUGGCAUCAUGAGCUAGGUUCAUGCGUAGAUGUCUUCUCGAGUAGAACACAAAAGUUUUUGUGGGCGGUGAUGUGCGUUUUGCUGCCCUCCUUAUUCUUUUCUUGAUUCCGCGGUAUUGUUGGAUUGAAGCGGCUUGGACCGACAUUACUCGUACGCUUACGAGAGACUGGUUUCAUCGCUACGAGUAACCCCGUUGCUCAAAGAUGACUGGCAAGUGUCGGUUUCUCCAACUUUAGUUGAAUCGGAUUUGACCGAGGAGGUCCUUGGAUGAGGUUAAAUAGCAACUCAUAUAUCUCCGUUGUGGUGUUUGCGUAAGUAAGAUGCGAUCCUACUAGAUACCCAUGGUCACCACGUAAAACAUGAACAACAAAAUUAGAGGACGUCUAACUUGUUUUUGCAGGGUAUGCUUGUGAUGUGAUAUGGCCAACGAUGUGAUGUGAUAUAUUGGAUGUAUGAGAUGAUCAUGUUGUAAUAGAUAAUAUCGACUUGCACGUCGAUGGUACGGCAACCGGCAGGAGCCAUAGGGUUGUCUUUAUACUAAUGUUUGUGCUUGCAGAUGCGUUUACUAUUUUGCUAGGAUGUAGCUUUAGUAGUAAUAGCAUGAGUAGCACGACAACCCCGAUGGCGACAAGUUGAUGGAUAUCAUGGUGGGGCUCCUGUGACAAGAAGAUCGUGCCGGUGCUUUGGUGAUGGAGAUCAAGAAGCACAUGAUGAUGGUCAUAUCAUGUCACUUAUGAAUUGCAUGUGAUGUUAAUCCUUUUAUGCACCUUAUUUUGCUUAAAACGACGGUAGCAUUAUGAGGUGAUCUCUCACUAAAAUUUCAAGACGAAAUUGUGUUCUCCCCGACUGUGCACCAUUGCUAUAGUUCAUCGUUUCGAGACACCACGUGAUGAUCGGGUGUGAUAGACUCAACGUUCACAUACAACGGGUGCAAAACAGUUGCGCACGCGGAACACUUGGGUUAAGCUUGACGAGCCUAGCAUGUGCAGACAUGGCCUCGGAACACAUGAGACCGAAAGGUCAAUCAUGAAUCAUAUAGAUGAUAUGAUUAGCAUAGGGAUGCUUACCACUGAAACUAUACUCAACUCACGUGAUGAUCGGACUUGAGCUAGUGUAAGUGGAUCAUGAACCACUCAAAUGACUAGAGAGAUGUACUUUUUGAGUGGGAGUUUAGCGAAUAAUUUGAUUAGGUUACACUCUAAUUAUCUUGAACAUAGUCUAAAUCCACUUUGAAUAUAUUUGUGUUGUAGAUCAUGGCUCACGCGACAGUCACACUGAAUUUUAAUACGUUCCUAGAGAAAGCUAAGUUGAAAGAUGAUGGAAGCAACUUUGUAGACUGGGCUCGUAAUCUUAAGCUAAUCUUACAAGCUGGGAAGAAGGAUUAUGUCCUUAAUGCUGCGCUAGGAGAUGAACCACCUGCUACGGCUGAUCAGGAUGUUAAGAAUGCUUGGUUAGCACGUAAGGAGGACUACUCAGUAGUUCAAUGUGCAGUCUUGUAUGGCUUAGAACCGGGACUUCAACGUCGCUUUGAGCGUCAUGGAGCAUUUGAGAUGUUCCAGGAGUUGAAGUUUAUCUUUCAGAAGAACGCCCGGAUCGAGAGGUAUGAGACCUCCGAUAAAUUCUAUGCUUGCAAGAUGGAGGAAAACUCGUCUCUCAGUGAACAUGUGCUCAAAAUGUCUGGGUACUCAAACCGUCUAGCUGAGCUGGGGAUUGAACUCCCGUAGGAGGCUAUCACUGACAGAAUCCUUCAAUCACUGCCGCCAAGCUAUAAAAGCUUUGUGUUGAACUACAACAUGCAAGGGAUGAACAAGUCUCCCGGCGAGUUGUUUGCGAUGCUGAAAGUCGCAGAGUCUGAACUCCGUAAAGAGCAUCAAGUGUUGAUGGUGAAUAAGACCACUAGUUUCAAGAGAAACGGCAAAGGCAAGAAGGGUAAUUCAAAGAAGAGCGGCAAGCCUGUUGCCAAUCCGACGAAGAAACCCAAAGCUGGACCUAAGCCUGAAACGGAGUGUUACUAUUGCAAGGGUAUGGGUCACUGGAAGCGCAAUUGCCCCAAGUAUCUGGCAGAUAAGAAGGCGGCCAAAGAAAAAUCAGGUAUAUUUGAUAUACAAGUUAUUGAUGUGUACUUAACCGGCUCUCGUAGUAGUGCCUGGGUAUUCGAUACCGGUUCUGUUGCUCAUAUUUGCAACUCGAAACAGGAACUGCGGAAUAGACGAAGGCUGGCAAAAGAUGAAGUGACGAUGCGCGUAGGAAAUGGUUCCAAGGUUGAUGCAAUCGCCGUCGGCACAGUUUCACUUCAGUUACCAUCAGGAUUAGUUAUGAACUUAAAUCAUUGUUAUUUAGUGCCUGCGUUGAGCAUGAACAUUAUAUCUGGAUCUUGUUUAUUGCGAGACGGUUACUCUUUUAAGUCAGAGAAUAAUGGUUGUUCUAUUUCUAUGAGUAACAUCUUUUAUGGUCAUGCGCCCAAUGUGAGAGGAUUGUUCAUAUUGAAUCUUGAUAGCGAUACACACAUACAUAACAUUGAGACCAAAAGAGUUAGAGUUAACAAUGAUAGCGCCAUAUUUUUGUGGCACUGCCGCUUAGGUCAUAUUGGUGUAAAGCGCAUGAAGAAACUCCAUGCUGAUGGACUUUUGGAGUCACUUGACUUUGAUUCACUUGACACGUGCGAACCAUGCCUCAUGGGCAAGAUGACUAAGACUCCGUUCUCCGGAACAAUGGAGCGUGCAAGUGACUUGUUGGAAAUCAUACAUACCGAUGUGUGUGGUCCGAUGAGCGUGGAGGCACGCGGCGGAUAUCGUUAUUUUCUCACCUUCACUGACGAUUUGAGUAGAUAUGGUUAUGUCUACUUGAUGAAGCACAAGUCUGAAACAUUUGAAAAGUUCAAGCAAUUUCAGAGUGAAGUUGAAAAUCAUCGUAACAAGAAGAUCAAGCUCCUAUGGUCUGAUCGUGGGGGUGAAUAUCUGAGUUUCGAGUUUGGUGCUCACUUAAGACAAUGUGGAAUUGUUUCACAGUUGACACCGCCUGGAACACCACAGCGUAAUGGUGUGUCCGAACGUCGUAAUCGUACUUUAUUAGAGAUGGUGCGAUCUAUGAUGUCUCUUACCGAUUUGUCGUUAUCGUUUUGGGGUUAUGCAUUAGAAACAGCUGGAUUCACUUUAAAUAGGGCACCAUCAAAAUCCGUUGAGACGACACCAUACGAACUGUGGUAUGGCAAAAGGCCAAAGUUGUCGUUUCUUAAAGUUUGGGGAUGUGAUGCUUAUGUCAAAAAGCUUCAGCCUGAAAAGCUGGAACCCAAAGCGGAAAAGUGCGUCUUCAUAGGUUACCCAAAAGAGACAGUUGGGUACACCUUCUAUCUCAAAUUCGAGGGCAAAGUGUUUGUUGCUAAAAACGGAGCUUUUCUCGAGAAGGAGUUUCUCUCGAGAGAAUUGAGUGGGAGGAAGAUAGAACUUGACGAGGUUGUCGAACCUCUCAUCCCUCUGGAUGGUGGCGCAGGGCAAGGGGAAACCUCUGUCGUUGUGAUGCCGGUUGAGGAGGAAGUUAAUGAUGAUGAUCAUGAAACUCCGGUUCAAGUUUCUGUCGAACCAUGCAGGUCGACGAGACCACGUGCUGCUCCAGAGUGGUACGGUAAUCCCGUCUUAUCAAUCAUGUUGUUGGACAACAAUGAACGUGCAAAUUAUGAAGAAGCAAUGGUGGGCCCAGACUCCAACAAAUGGCUAGAAGCCAUGAAGUCCGAGAUAGGAUCCAUGUAUGAGAACAAAGUGUGGACUUUGUAGGUACUGCCUGAGGGCCGCAAGGCUAUUCAGAACAAAUGGAUCUUUAAGAGGAAGACGGACGCUGACAGCAAUGUGACCAUUUAUAAAGCUUGAGUUGUGGCAAAGGGUUUUUCACAAGUUCAAGGAGUUGACUACGAUGAGACAUUCUCACCCGUAGCGAUGCUUAAGUCCGUCAGAAUCAUGUUAGCAAUAGCUGCAUUUUUCGAUUAUGAAAUCUGGCAGAUCGAUGUCAAAACGGUGUUCCUUAACGGUUUCCUUAAGGAAGAAUUGUAUAUGAUGCAACCCGAAGGUUUUGUCGAUCCUAAGAAUGCUAACAAGGUGUGCAAGCUCCAGCGAUCCAUUUAUGGACUGGUGCAAGCAUCUCGGAGUUGGAACAAACGCUUUGAUGAGGUGAUCAAAGCAUUUGGGUUUAUACAAGUGGUUGGAGAAUCUUGUAUUUACAAGAAAGUGAGUGGGAGCUCUGUGGCGUUUCUAAUAUUAUAUGUGGAUGACAUAUUGCUGAUUGGAAACAACGUAGAGUUUUUGGAGAGCAUAAAGGAUUACUUGAAUAAAAGUUUCUCUAUGAAGGACCUAGGAGAAGCUGCUUACAUUCUAGGCAUUAAGAUCUAUAGGGAUAGAUCAAAAUGCCUGAUAGGACUUUCACAAAGCACAUACCUUGAUAAAGUUUUGAAGAGGUUCAAAAUGGAAUAGUCCAAGAAGGGGUUCUUGCCAGUUUUACAAGGUACGAGAUUGAGUAAGACUCAGUGCCCAGCAACUGAUGAGGAUAGAGAGCAUAUGCGCUCCGUCCCCUAUGCUUCAGCCAUAGGCUCUAUCAUGUAUGCAAUGCUGUGCACUAGACCGGACGUUAGCCUGGCCAUAAGUAUGGCAGGUAGGUUCCAGAGUAAUCCAGGAGUGGAUCACUGGACAGCGGUCAAGAAUAUCCUGAAGUACCUGAAAAGGACUAAGGAGAUGUUUCUCGUGUAUGGAGGUGACGAAGAGCUCGCCGUAAAAGGUUACGCCGAUGCAAGCUUUGGCACAGAUCCGGACGACUCUAAGUCGCAAACCGGAUACGUAUUUAUUCUUAAUGGGGGUGCGGUAAGCUGGUGCAGUUCCAAGCAAAGCGUCGUAGCAGAUUCUACAUGUGAAGCGGAGUACAUGGCUGCCUCGGAGGCGGCUAAGGAGGGUGUCUGGAUGGAGCAGUUCAUGACGGAUCUUGGAGUGGUGCCAAGCGCACUGAAUCCAAUAACCUUGUUCUGUGACAACACGGGUGCCAUUGCCUUAGCAAAGGAACCACGGUUUCACAAGAAGUCCAGACACGAGGGCUAGAUUAUUGACUCUAGUGCAAGUGGGAGACUGUUGGAAUUAUGCCCUAGAGGCAAUAAUAAAUAUAGUUAUUAUUAUAAUUCAUGUAUCAAGAUAAUCGUUUAUUAUCCAUGCUAUAAUUGUAUUGAAUGAAGACUCAUUUACAUGUGUGGAUACAUAGACAAAACACUGUCCCUAGCAAGCCUCUAGUUGGCUAGCCAGUUGAUCAAAGAUAGUCAGUGUCUUCUGAUUAGGAACAAGGUGUUGUUGCUUGAUAACUGGAUCACGUCAUUAGGAGAAUCAUGUGAUGGACUAGACCCAAACUAAUAGACGUAGCAUGUUGAUCGUGUCAUUUUGUUGCUACUGUUUUCUGUGUGUCAAGUAUUUGUUCCUAUGACCAUGAGAUCAUAUAACUCACUGACACCGGAGGAAUACUUUGUGUGUAUCAAACGUCGCAACGUAACUGGGUGACUAUAAAGAUGCUCUACAGGUAUCUCCGAAGGUGUUAGUUGAGUUAGUAUGGAUCAAGACUGGGAUUUGUCACUCCGUGUGACGGAGAGGUAUCUCGGGGCCCACUCGGUAAUACAACAUCACACACAAGCCUUGCAAGCAAUGUGACUUAGUGUAAGUUGCGGGAUCUUGUAUUACGGAACGAGUAAAGAGACUUGCCGGUAAACGAGAUUGAAAUUAGUCANNNNNNNNNNNNNNNNNNNNNNNNNNNNNNNNNNNNNNNNNNNNNNNNNNNNNNNNNNNNNNNNNNNNNNNNNNNNNNNNNNNNNNNNNNNNNNNNNNNNAAAUAUGUUUUGAUUGUGUGAGUAUUUAAAAAAUUUGUAACAUUUUUUGAACUUUGUGAACACUUUUUUGAACCGAUGAACAUAUUUAUAAUUUUGGGAACAAUUUUCAGCAAACAUUUUUAAAUUUGUGGACAUUUUUUGAAUCAACCUUUUUAAAUAAUUUGCUAGCAGAUUUCGAAAUUUGCUAACAUAUUUUGAAUUUACGAUUUCUUUUAAAAUUUGGAAACAUUUUUAAAUUCAUUAUUUUUAUUUCUAAAAUUCAUGAAUAUUUUUGAUUCGAUAAACUUUUUUGAAUCCCACACUGCCUUCGUGGGGCGCACGCCUUCGACUUCUAGCAUUCACAACCAUGCCACAACAACCUAGGAUUUGUUCAUGUGGGGAUCCUUGGAUGGAUGGUAGGCCGAAUACGAAGAGGAAGAGGAGGGUCGAGGAGUAAGGGGCGAGGAGGAGCGAUGGAAGACGACAAAUGGUGGCGAGGAACGAUGGACGACGGGGCUAGCAAUGGGUGAACCGGUGGAGGUGGUGACUGUUUAGAUGCUCUGAAUGCGCAUGAAGUAUGCCUUUUGAGUUUACCAUGAACAUCAUGUUGGAGUAUCUCUCCCAAGAUUUAUAUAGUGUUUCACCAUUUUCUUGGAUAAAUGAAGUGAAGUUUUUUCUUAAUUUAAUAAUCUUUGAGUUUGGGAGGAAUUUAGCCAUAAACGUUUGAGCACACAUAUUCGAGGUAGUUAUACCGUCUUGAGGCAAUCGAUUAUACCACUUCUUAUCAUCAUCUUUUAGAGAAAACCUAAAGAGUCUCAAUAGUACAAAUUCUCGUGAAACAUCUUUUAACUUAAAUGUCCCACGUAAAGUGUCAAACAUCAUCAAAUUUAAAUGUGCUUGAGGGUCCUCAUCUUCAGUUUUAGCAAAAGCAUGGUUUCUAUAUUUGCAAUAAGGUCACAGUCAAUCGAAUACUCUUGAGCGUAAUUAGUAGGAUAAACUAUAGGAGAUCUAGAGAGAAGUACUAGAGCACAUUGACCCCUAAUAUUCUUCUUGGGCUUUCGAGUAAUGGCUAUUUAUGCGAACAAAGUGUUAAGCUCAACUGUUUCACUACUUUUGUAUUUCUCUUUUUCAUGAAGCUUGCUCCUCCUGAGGGAAACGAGUAACGUAACCUGGUAAAUAUGUUCUCCCUGAACGAGUAGAUACCAUGUGUGUUACAUAAAGCAUCUAGAAUAACAAUACUUACAAGAAACAAUUACGAAACAAAUACUCGUCGCUUAGCUUUCCGACAACGGCGCCAGAAAAUGCCUUGGUACGUGCAGACCAAACAGGGUAGUGUAGCACUUUAUGGAUGUGUUUCUGUCACACACACAAAGAGUAAUUUUCCCAACAAAGAGCGGAGAAGAGUAUUUAUGGAUGUGUUUCUGUCACACACACAAGGUGUCACGGUUCUUGUGUGAACUACUGUUUGAGCUUCUGCAAAUAAUGUUACUGUCCCGGCUAAGUGAUAAACUAAAUAUGCUAGUAAAAAGAGGAUUUAAAGGUGUCUACUAAAUAAAUAAUGAAAGUAAAUAACAAGAAUUUAAAAUGUAAAUGGUGUUUUCUACAAUGAAGAGAUUAGGCGCAGAGAGAUUUCAGUUCAUGGUAAGAAUAUAUGAAUUGUGCUAGAGCGACGGUAAUACCAGUUACCUUGUAUUGUACUCAUAGUAUUUGAUAUAAGCUUUCUUUAGGCGUUUUUCCCUACAGUCCUGAAACUUCUCCAUUAGGGGUUACACUUUAUUCUUUGGUCCCGCUUCUCCGUUUCCACAGAGUGGUCGUUUCCACAAUUAAGGUCAUAAGACCGGAACCAAGCAUCAAGUUCAAUGAUUCACCGUUAUCUCAUAUUGUCUUGAGUUCUUAUAGAUAUCUCCACCUGUCACGUCAAAGGUCGCAUAGUUCCUAAACAAUAUGUGUCACUUGUGUAGGUCCUGAGAUCAUGUUGCCUAGGCCAUUUGGACGACACACAUAGAGUUCACCAUAGUAUAACAACAUACUAAAUACAUCAUACUACAACGAAUUCAAGUGACGACAUAUAUGAUACGCACAUAUCAAUCUUACCACUUACCUAUAUCUCCCACACCUACGGGAAUUACUCACACAUCAUAAGAAGGGAAUCAAUCACACCAAAGAGAAAAAACAUGAAAACCAAAUUGAUAAUAUUGAGGGGAUCCACAAUGAGAUGAAAUGGUACUUGAUGCCAACUGUUCUUCCCCUUUGCAACGACACCAGAAGAAUGCUGCUAGUACUCCCCGGCAAUCGAAACUAGAAGAAUGUUGUUGACAGCCCACAAGCGCAUGGGAUCACAGCAGUUUUCGAGGGUAGAGUAUUCAACCCAAAUUUGUUGAUUCGCACGACGGGAGGUGAGAGAAUACUCUCAAGUAUUAGCAGUUGAAUUGUCAGAUUCAACCACACCUAAAAGAUUAGUAUCUGCAAGCAAAGUAGUAACAACAAAGUAGCGAGUAACGGCGGUGUAACGAGCAAUAGCAGCGGCAAGGAAAAGCAGUAGUGGCAACAGUAGCAAGCGACGGUAGUAGCAACAGUAGCAGCAGAGCAAGACAAGUAACAGCAGUAGCAACAGUAGUAGCAGCAGCAGAGCAAGACAAGUAACAGCAGUAGCAACAGUAGUAGCAGGAGCAGAGCAAGACAAGUAACAGCAGUAGCAACAGUAGUAGGAGCAGCAGGACAAACUCGUAGGCAAUGGGUCGGUGAUUUGUUUGGAUGAUAUUCAUCAUGCAACAGUUAUAACACGGAGAGAUAUGUGGCUAGCUCCCGUUCGUCAAUGUGAUGUAGGCAUGCAUCCCGUGUGUCGUCAUACGUGCUUAGGGAAAAGAACUUGCAUGACAUCUAUUGUCCAUCCCUCCCGUGGCAGCGGGGUCCAAAAGGAAACUACGGGAUAUUAAGGUUCUCCUUUUAAUAAAGAAUCGGACCAAUGCAUUAGCACUUGGUGAACACAUGAACUCCUCAAACUAUGGUCAUCACGGGGAGUGGUUUCGGUUAUUGUCACUCCGGGGUUGCCGGAUCAUAACACAUAGUAGGUAACUACAACCUGCAAGAUCGGAUCUAAAACACACAUAUAUUGGUGACAACAUAAUAAUUUCAGAUCUGAAAUCAUGGCACUCGGGCCCUAGUGACAAGCAUUAAGCAUGUCAAAGUAGUAGCAACAUCAAUCUCAGAACAUAGUGGAUACUAGGGAUCAAUCCCCAUCAAAACUAACUCGAUUACAUGAUAGAUCUCAUCCUACUCAUCACCGUCCAGCGAGCCUACGAAUAGAUUACUCACGAACGACGAAGAGCUUCACGGAAUUGGAGAGGGAAGAAGGUUGAUGAUGACGAUGGCGACGAUUUCCCCUCUCCGGAGCCCAAGACGGACUCCAGAUCCGCCCUCCAGAUGAAGAACAGGUGGUGGCGGCGCCUCCGUAUCGAAAACACGACGAAAACUUCUCUUUUUAUUUUUUCUGGGAUGGAAGGGGACUUAUAGACCUAAGGUUGGGGGCGGCAGAGCCGUGUGGGCCCCACAAGCCUGCCCACUGCCACCAGGGGGUGGUGGCGGAGCCAGGGCUUGUGGCUCACUGGCCCACCCCCUUAGGUGGAACUUGGUGCAGAUAUUUUUCUUAUUUUCCAAAACUGCUCCCCGUAAAUUUUCAGGACGUUUGGAGAACUUUGAUUUCUGCACAAAAAUAACACCAAGGCAAUUCUGCUGAAAACAGCGUCAGUCCAGGUUAGUUCCAUUCAAAACAUGCAAAUUAGAGUCCAAAACAAGGGCAAAAGAGUUUGGAAAAGUAGAUAUGAUGGAGACGUAUCAACUCCCCCAAGCUUAAAACCUUGUUUGUCCUCAAGCAACUCAGUUGACAAACUGAGAGAGAAAGAAAAACUUUGACAAACUCUGUUUGAUCUUGUUGUUGCAACUAUGUCUAACUCAUAACCAGAAUUUCAGCAAGAUCACAAGUUAACCACAUAAGCAAAUGACACAAAGGUCUCACGGUAAACUAAUAUCAAUGGCAUAAUCAACUAACGAGCAAAUAAUAAUGAGUUUCAAAUACCAACACUUCAAUCAAAACAAGCAUGAAGCAAUAUGAAUAGGUGGUAUCUCGCUAGCUCUUUCUGAGACCGGAAAACAUAAAUACAGAGCACUUUCAAAGAUCAAGGGCUGACUAAACAUUGUAAUUCAUAGCAACGAAGAUCCAGUCAUAGUCAUACUCAAUAUCAAUCAAAAUCAAAGCAUAAAAAUGACAGAGGUGCUCUCUAAUUGGUGCUUAUAUAAGAGGAGGAUGACUCAACAGGAAAAUAAAUAGACAUGCCCUUCGUAGAGGGAAGCAUUGAUUUGCACAGGUGCCAGAGCUCAAGCUUUGAAAACAGAGAUAAUAAUUUUGGGUGGCAUGCUUUCAUUGUCAACGCAAUGACCAAGAGUUCUCAAUAUCUUCCAUGCUACUCAUGCUAUAGGCGGUUCCCAAACAGAAAAGUAAAGUUUUAACUCCCCCACCACCAAUCAAUCACACUCCACGGCUAGCCGAAUCCUCGGGUACCGUCCAUACUAACAUCAAUCCAGGGGGAGUCUUGUUUUACAGUUAUGUUUUCGAUUUAAGCGUGGAACUGGGCAUUCCAAUUACCGGCCCCUUUCUCGUGAAUGACUGUGAAUAAACACAUGUCGAGGAUAACACUCCUAGCAUGGCAGAUACCAAUAGCCCUCUGUCACCACAUGAGCGGUUCGGGCAUGCAAAACAGAUUAUUUCUUGAAGGUUUAGAGAAUGGCACAUGCAAAUUUACUUGGAACGACAGGUAGAUACCGCAAAUAGGUAGGUAUGGUGGACUCUCAUGGAAAAACUUUUGGGUUUAUGGAAGUGGAUGCACAAGCAGUAUUCCCGCUUAGUACAAGUGAAGGCUAGCAAAAGACUGGGAAGCGACCAACUAGAGAGCGACAACAGUCAUCAAGAUGCAAUGAGUUUGACUAACAUUGAAUGCAAGCAUGAACAUGAUAUAAAUCACCAUGAACACGAACAUCAUAGAUGCUAUGUUGAUUUUGUUUCAACUACAUGCAUGAACAUGCGCCAAGUCCAGCCACUUGAAACAUUCAAAGGAGAAUACCAUCCUAUCAUACUACAUCAUAGUCAUCUCAAAAUCUAUGUUGGCAUUCAAGACAAACCAUUAUAAGCUCUCAGCUAAAUAAGCAUGGCAUCAAAAACUAUGAUCUCUAAGUUGUCAUUGCAAACAUGGUUCUCUCACAACAAAGCUAAAUCUGGGUUGACAAGCUAGUCAUAUUUACAAAAACAAAAUAGCUAGAGUUCAUACCAGCUUUUUAGUCUCAGUCACUUCAUCAUAUAUCAUCAUUGUUGCCUUUCAUUUGCACGAUCGAACGAUGUGAACGAUAAUAAGAGCAUUGGACUAAGCUGAAUCUGCAGGCAAACACAAAGGAGAAGACAAAGUAAUAUGGCUCUUUGAAAGCUAAACAGGUAAGCAUGUAAGAACCAAUAAACAUGGUAACCAAUAUCUUCUACCUUGACACAAAGAAAAAUAAAACUAUUUACACGGGAAAGCUCCCAACAAGCAAAAGAAGAAAGAAAAAUCUUUUUGGGUUUUCUCAAAAGGACACAAAACUAGAAAACAAGAAAACGAAAAUAAACUAGCAUGGAUAAUACAGUGGCAAAGUGUAAACACCGGCUAACAAAGUGAAAGCAUAAGCAUGAAUGUAAAGUCGGUGAGAACACGUACUCCCCCAAGCUUAGGCUUUUGGCCUAGCUUGGUCUACUCCCAAAGAUGAUCCUGGCGAAACCCAAAAUCAUAAUGGGUGUUAUACGGGAUCGCUGCAGCCACUGCCUGAAUAGCUGCCUCACGAAGUCGAGCAGCAGUCGCCUCCCUCUCAUACUCCUCUGCCUCUCCUAUGGUUAUGUAGUAUCUUCGUUUUACCUGAAAGUCAAAGAAAGCAGGAGCAGGAAGGGUAAUAUGGAAAACACGCUCCGGUUAAAUAUCAAGCGGUAUAGGAGGGAUCCAUGAUCUCUCUCAAGGAACUAGUACUAUGUUAGAGCGGCACGAUCAAGGUAGGCUGUACGGAGAGGAGGGUCUUCUGGACGGAUGGAUACUCCAAGAAAAUUUGCUAAGCGUGUAGCAUAAACUCCACCAAAGAAAUCCCCCUCACUGGCAUUUUUAUUCAGCCUCCUUGCUAUUAUAGUUCCCAUAUUGAAGCUCCUGUCACCUGUUACUGCGCUCUUAAGGAUACUAAGGUCGGAAGCGCAUAGGUGACAAUGUGCACCCUUGCCGUUAAUGCACCUACCUAUGAAGAGGGCAAUGUAGUGUAAGGCAGGGAAAUGGAUGCUUCCUAUGGUGGCUUGCGUGAUAUCUCUGGUUUCUCCAACAGUUAUACUGGAGACAAAUUCUCUGACCGAAGACUUAGAAGGUGUUGGGGAACGUCGCAUGGGAAACAAAAAUUUUCCUACGCGCACGAAGACCUAUCAUGGUGAUGUCCAUCUACGAGAGGGGAUGAGUGAUCUACGUACCCUUGUAGACCGUACAGCAGAAGCGUUAGUGAACACGGUUGAUGUAGUGGAACGUCCUCACGUCCCUCGAUCCGCCCCGCGAACAAUCCCGCGAUCAGUCCCACGAUCUAGUACCGAACGGACGGCACCUCCGCAUUCAGCACACGUACAGCUCGACGAUGAUCUCGGCCUUCUUGAUCCAGCAAGAGAGACGGAGAGGUAGAAGAGUUCUCCGGCAGCGUGACGGCGCUCCGGAGGUUGGUGAUGACCUUGUCUCAGCAGGGCUCCGCCCGAGCUCCGCAGAAACGCGAUCUAGAGGAAAAACCGUGGAGGUAUGUGGUCGGUCUGCCGUGGAAAAGUCAUCUCUAAUCAGCCCUAAAACCUCCGUAUAUAUAGGUGGGAGAGGGGGGGCCUUGCCUUGGGGCUCAAGGAGCCCCAAGGGGAUCGACCGAGCCAAGGGGGGAAGGUCUCUCCCCCCCAAACCGAGUUGGACUUGGUUUGGUGGGUGGGAAUCCUUCCUUCCCUUCCCACCUCUUCCUUUUUUUUUCUUUCUCUUUGAUUUUUCUUCCAAUGCGCAUAGGGCCCUUUUGGGCUGUCCCACCAGCCCACUAAGGGCUGGUGCGCCACCCUCAAGGCCUAUGGGCUUCCCCGGGGUGGGUUGCCCCCCCCGGUGAACUCCCGGAACCCAUUCGUCAUUCCCGGUACAUUCCCGGUAACUCCGAAAACCUUCCGGUAAUCAAAUGAGGUCAUCCUAUAUAUCAAUCUUCGUUUCCGGACCAUUCCGAAAACCCUCGUGACGUCCGUGAUCUCAUCUGGGACUCCGAACAACAUUCGGUAACCAACCAUAUAACUCAAAUACGCAUAAAACAACGUCGAACCUUAAGUGUGCAGACCCUGCGGGUUCGAGAACUAUGUAGACAUGACCUGAGAGACUUCUCGGUCAAUAUCCAAUAGCGGGACCUGGAUGCCCAUAUUGGAUCCUACAUAUUCUACGAAGAUCUUAUCGUUUGAACCUCAGUGUCAAGGAUUCAUAUAAUCCCGUAUGUCAUUCCCUUUGUCCUUCGGUAUGUUACUUGCCCGAGAUUCGAUCGUCAGUAUCCGCAUACCUAUUUCAAUCUCGUUUACCGGCAAGUCUCUUUACUCGUUCCGUAAUACWAGAUCMCGNNNNNNNNNNNNNNNNNNNNNNNNNNNNNNNNNNNNNNNNNNNNNNNNNNNNNNNNNNNNNNNNNNNNNNNNNNNNNNNNNNNNNNNNNNNNNNNNNNNNGUAGCAUUAUGAGGUGAUCUCUCACUAAAAUUUCAAGACGAAAUUGUGUUCUCCCCGACUGUGCACCGUUGCUACAGUUCGUCGUUUCGAGACACCACGUGAUGAUCGGGUGUGAUAGACUCAACGUUCACAUACAACGGGUGCAAAACAGUUGCGCACGCGGAACACUCGGGUUAAGCUUGACGAGCCUAGCAUGUGCAGACAUGGCCUCGGAACACAUGAGACCGAAAGGUCGAUCAUGAAUCAUAUAGUUGAUAUGAUUAGCAUAGGGAUGCUUACCACUGAAACUACUCUCGACUCACGUGAUGAUCGGACUUGGGAUAGUGUAAGUGGAUCAUGAACCACUCAAAUGACUAGAGAGAUGUACUUUUUGAGUGGGAGUUUAGCAUAUAAUUUGAUUAAGUUGAACUCUAAUUAUCUUGAACAUAGUCUAAAGUCCACUUUGAAUAUAUUUGUGUUGUAGAUCAUGGCUCACGCUAGUGUCAUCCUCAAUUUUAAUACGUUCCUAGAGAAAGCUAAGUUGAAAGAUGAUGGAAGCAACUUUGUAGACUGGGCUCGUAAUCUUAAGCUAAUCUUACAAGCUGGAAAGAAGGAUUAUGUCCUUAAUGCUGCGCUAGGAGAUGAACCACCCGCUACGGCUGAUCAGGAUGUGUACCUUACCAGCGCUCGUAGUAGCUCCUGGGUAUUUGAUACCGGUGCUGUUGCUCACAUUUGCAACUCAAAGCAGGAACUGCGGAAUAAGCGGAGACUGGCCAAGGACGAGGUGACGAUGCGCGUCGGGAAUGGUUCAAAGGUCGAUGUGAUCGCCGUCGGCACGCUACCUCUACAUCUACCGUCGGGAUUAGUUUUAAACCUUAAUAAUUGUUAUUUAGUACCAGCUUUAAGCAUGAACAUUGUAUCAGGGUCUUGCUUAAUGCGAGACGGCUACUCAUUUAAGUCAGAGAAUAAUGGUUGUUCCAUUUAUAUGAGUGAUAUGUUUUAUGGUCAUGCUCCGCUGGUGAAUGGUUUAUUCUUGAUGAAACUCGAUCGUGACGUUACACAUAUUCAUAGUGUGAGUACCAAAAGAUGCAAAGUUGAUAAUGAUAGUCCCACAUACUUGUGGCACUGCCGCCUUGGUCAUAUCGGCGUUAAACGCAUGAAGAAGCUCCAUACUGAUGGACUAUUAGAGUCUCUUGACUUUGAAUCAUUUGACACAUGCGAACCGUGCCUCAUGGGCAAGAUGACUAAGACUCCAUUCUCAGGAAUAAUGGAGAGAGCAACCGACUUAUUGGAAAUAAUACAUACUGAUGUGUGUGGUCCAAUGAACGUUGAAGCUCGCGGUGGUUAUCGUUAUGUUCUCACUCUCACCGAUGAUUUGAGUAGGUAUGGGUAUAUCUACUUGAUGAAGCACAAAUCUGAGACGUUUGAAAAGUUCAAGGAAUUUCAGAGUGAGGUUGAGAAUCAACAUGACAGAAAAAUUAAAUGUCUACGAUCCGAUCGUGGAGGAGAAUAUUUGAGUCACGAGUUUGGCACACACCUAAGGAAGUGUGGAAUCGUUUCACAACUGACGCCGCCCGGCACACCGCAGCGCAACGGAGUGUCUGAACGUUGUAAUCGCACUUUAUUAGAUAUGGUACGAUCUAUGAUGUCUCUCACCGACUUACCGCUAUCAUUUUGGGGAUACGCAUUAGAAACUGCAGCAUUCACUUUAAAUAGGGCACCGUCUAAAUCCGUUGAGACGACACCGUAUGAACUAUGGUUUGGCAAGAAACCUAAGUUGUCGUUUCUUAAAGUUUGGGGCUGCGAUGCUUAUGUGAAGAAACUUCAACCAGAAAAGCUCGAACCCAAAGCGGAGAAAUGCGUAUUCAUCGGAUACCCUAAGGAAACAAUUGGGUAUACCUUCUAUCUUAGAUCCGAAGGUAAAACCUUUGUUGCCAAGAACGGAUCCUUUCUAGAGAAAGAGUUUCUCUCGAAAGAAGUAAGUGGGAGGAAGGUAGAACUUGAUGAGGUAAUUACACCCCCUCUCGAAUAGGAUAGUAGCGCAGCGCGGGAAGUUGUUCCUGUUGCGCCUACACCGACUGAAGAGCAAGUUAAUGAUGAUGAUCAUGAAGCUUCGGAUCAAGUUACUACUGAACCGCGAAGGUCCACAAGGGCACGCUCCGCACCAGAGUGGUACGACAACCCUGUGAUGGAAAUCAUGUUGUUAUACAACGGUGAACCUUCGAACUAUGAAGAAGUGAUGGCGGGCCAGGAUUCCAACAAAUGGCUUGAAGCCAUGAAAUCCGAGAUAGGAUCCAUGUAUGAGAACAAAGUAUGGACUUUGGUGGACUUUCCCGAUGACCGGCGAGCCAUAGAAAAUAAAUGGAUCUUCAAGAAGAAGACUGAUGCAAACGGUAAUGUAACCGUUUACAAAGCUCGACUUGUCGCAAAGGGUUUUCGACAAAUUCAAGGAUUGACUACAAAGAGACUUUCUCUCCCGUAGCGAAGCUGAAAUCAGUCCGAAUCAUGUUAGCAAUUGCCACCUUUUAUGAUUAUGAAAUUUGGCAAAUGGACGUCAAAACAGCGUUCCUUAACGGGAACCUUAAGGAAGAGUUGUAUAUGAUGCAACCAGAAGGUUUUGUCGACCCUAAGGGUGCUAACAAAGUGUGCAAGCUCCAGCGCUCCAUCUAUGGGCUGGUGCAAGCAUCUCGGAGUUGGAACAUUCGCUUUAAUGAGGUGAUUAAAGCAUUUGGGUUCAUACAGGUUUACAGAGAAGCAUGUCUGUACAAGAAAGUGAGUGGGAGCUCUGUAGCUUUCCUCAUACUGUAUGUGGAUGGCAUAUUAUUGAUGGGGAAUAAUAUAGAGAUGUUGGAGAGCAUAAAGGCCUAUUUGAACAAAAGUUUUUCAAUGAAGGACCUUGGAGAAGCUGCAUACAUAUUAGGCAUCAAGAUCUAUAGAGAUAGAUCAAGAUGCCUCAUAGGUCUUUCGCAAAGUACAUACCUUGACAAGAUAUUGAAGAAGUUCAAUAUGGAAAACUCAAAGAAAGGGUUCUUGCCAGCUUUGCAAGGUGUGAGAUUGAGUAAGACUCAGUCGCCGACCACGGCAGUAGAUAGAGAGAAGAUGAGUUCUGUCCCCUACGCAUCAGCCGUGGGCUCUCUAAUGUAUGCCAUGCUGUGUAUCAGACGUGAGAUAAACCUUGCCAUAAGCUUGGCAGGGCGGUACCAAAGUGAUCCCGAUAUGGAACACUGGACAGCGGUCAAGAAUAUCCUCAAGUACCUGAAAAGGACUAAGGAAAUGUUUCUCGUUUAUGGAGGUGACGAAGAGCUCGUCGUAAAGGGUUACGUCGAUUCUAGCUUCGACACAGAUCCGGAUGACUCUAAGUCACAGACCGGAUACGUAUAUGUGUUGAAUGGUGGGGCAUUGAGCUGGUGCAGCAGCAAGCAAGAAGUCGCGACAGCAUCUACAUGUGAAGCGGAGUACAUAGCUGCUUCAGAAGCAACUCAUGAAGGAAUUUGGAUGAAGGAGCUCAUCACCGACCUUGGAGUGGUUCCAAGCGCGUCGGGUCCAAUGACACUCUUCUGUGAUAACACUUGGGCCAUUGCCAUAGCCAAGGAGCCCAGGUUUAACCAGAAGACGAAGCACAUCAAACGCCGCUACAACUCCAUCCAGCACCAUGUCCAGAGUGGAGUGAUAGAUAUUUGUAAAGUACACACGGAUCUUAAUAUUGCAGACCCGUUGACUAAACCUCUUCCACGAGCAAAACAUGAUCAACACCAUAAUGCUAUGGGUGUUCGAUACAUCACAAUAUAACUAGAUUAUUGACUCUAGUGCAAGUGGGAGACUGUUGGAAAUAUGCCCUAGAGGCAAUGAUAAAAUGGUUAUUAUCAUAUUUCCUUGUUCAUGAUAAUCGUCUAUUGUUCAUGCUAUAAUUGUAUUAACAGGAAACAGUAAUACAUGUGUGAAUAAAUAGAUCACAAUGUGUCCCUAGCAAGCCUCUAGUUGGCUAGCUCGUUAGUCAAUAGAUGAUCAUGGUUUCCUGAUCAUGGGCAUUAGAUGUCAUUGAUAACGGGAUCACAUCAUUGGGAGAAUGAUGUGAUGGACAAGACCCAAUCCUAAGCAUAGCAUUAGAUCGUAUUGUUCGUAUGCUAAAGCUUUUCUAAUGUCAAGUAUCUUUUCCUUCGACCGUGAGAUUGUGCAACUCCCGGAUACCGUAGGAGUGCUUUGGGUGUAUCAAACGUCACAACGUAACUGGGUGACUAUAAAGGUGCACUACGGGUACCUCCGAAAGUGUCUGUUGGGUUGGUAUGAAUCGAGAUCGAUCGGGAUUUGUCACUCUGUGUGACGGAGAGGUAUCUUUGGGCCCACUCGGUAGAACAUCAUCAUGAGCUCAAUGUGACUAAGGAGUUAGUCACACGAUGACAUGCUACGGAACGAGUAAAGAGACUUACCGGUAACGAGAUUGAACAAGGUAUAGGUAUACCGACGAUCGAAUCUCGGGCAAGUUCUAUACCGACAGACAAAGGGAAUCGUAUACGGGAUUGAUUGAAUCCUUGACAGCGUGGUUCAUCCGAUGAGAUCAUCGUGGAGCAAGUGGGAGCCACCAUGGGUAUCCAGACCCCGCUGAUGGUUAUUGGCCGGAGAGGCGUCUCGGUCAUGUCUGCCUGUCUCCCGAACCCGUAGGGUCUACACACUUAAGGUUCGAUGACGCUAGGGUUAUAGGGAAUUGUUAUACGAGGUUAACGAAAGUUGUUCGGAGUCCCAGAUGAGAUCCCGGACGUCACGAGGAGCUCUGGGAUGGUCCGGAGGUAAAUAUUGAUAUAUAGGACGGAUGGUUUCGGAUACCGGAAGUGUUUCGGGCAUCACCGGUAACGUACCGGGACCACCGGGACCACCGGAGGUGGCCCCGAAGGUCCACCGAAAGGGGGCAACGACCCCGGGAGGUAAGGUGGGCCAAGUGGGGAAGGGAACUAGCCCCUAGGUGGGCUGGUGCGCUUCCCCACUCAGCCCAAUGCGUGGGGAAGAGAAAAGGGGGGGCAAACCCUAAGCCAAGUGGGCCUAAGGCCCACCAGGGGUGCGCCACACCCCUCCUCCCCCCCUUGGCCGCCGCACCAGCCCCCAUCUAGGGCUUCCCCCCCAGGAGAGGGAAACCCUCAAGGGGGCGCAGCCCCUCCCCCCUAUAUAUAGUGGGCACUUUUGGCCAUUGGAGAUUAGACUUUUCCCUCUCCCUCGGCGCAGCCCUGCCCUUCUUUCUCCUCCUCUCUGCCGGUGCUUGGCGAAGCCCUGCCGGGAGACCUCGUCUCUCCAUGCACACCACGCCGUCGUGCUGCUGGAGUUCUUCCCCAACCUCUCCGUCCUCCUUGCUGGAUCAAGGUGCGGGAGACACGACCGGGCUGCACGUGUGUUGAACGCGGAGGUGCCGUAGUUCGGCACUAGAUCGGAAUCGCUGCGAGUACGACUCCAUCAACCGCGUUCUAGCAACACUUCCGCUUAGAGAACUUCAAAGGUAUGAAGAUGCUCUUACCCCUCUCUCGUUGCUGGUCUCUCUAUAGGAAGAUCUGAAUAUGCGUAGGAAAAUUUUGAAUUUAUGCUACGUUACCCAACAGUGGUAUCAAACCCAGGUUUUCUAUGCGUAGAUUCUAUGCACGAGUAGAACACAAAAGUUGUGGGCGAUGAUUUUUCAAUUUGCUUGCCGCUACUAGUCUUAUUCUUUUCCGGCGGUAUUGUGGGAUGAAGCGGCCCGGACCGACUUUACACGUACGCUUACGUGAGACUGGUUCCACCGACAGACAUGCACACCGUGCAUAAAGGUGGCUAGCGGGUGUCGGUCUCUCCUACUCUAGUCAGAUUAGAUUUGAUGAAAAGGGUCCUUAUGAAGGGUAAAUAGCUUUGGCAUAUCAUCGUUGUGGCUGUCACGUAGGUAAGAAGGCGUUCUUGCUAGAAACCCAAAUCAGCCACGUAAAUCUUGCAACAACAAUUAGAGGACGUCUAACUUGUUUUUGCAGGGUUUGACAUGUGAUGUGAUAUGGCCAAAGUUGUGAUGUUGCAUGUAUGAUGUAUGAGAUGAUCAUGUUAUUGUAAUAGGUUUCACGACUUGCAUGUCGAUGAGUAUGACAACCGGCAGGAGCCAUAGGAGUUGUCUUAAUUUAUUGUAUGAGAUGCAACGCCUUGUGCUUACUAUUUUACUUCAUUGCUAACAGUUAGCCAUAGUAGUAGUGAUAGUAGUAGUUGGCGUGACGACUUCACGGAGACACGAUGAUGGAGAUCAUGAUGAUGGAGAUCAUGGUGUCACGCCGGUGACGAUGAUGAUCAUGCGAUGCCUGAAGAUGGAGAUCGAAAGAGCAAAGAUGAUAAUGGCCAUAUCAUGUCACUAUAUGAUUGCAUUGUGAUGUUUAUCAUGUUUUACAUCUUAUUGCUUAAAACGGCGGUAGCAUAAUAAGAUGAUCCCUCUUAAAAUUUCGAGAACGUAUUCCCCUAAGUGUGCACCGUUGCGAAGGUUCGUUGUCUCGAAGCACCACGUGAUGAUCGGGUGUGAUAGAUUCUAACGUUCGCAUACAACGGGUGUAAGCCAGAUUUACACACGUGAAACACCUAGGUUGACUCGACGAGCUUAGCAUGUACAGACAUGACCUCGAAUACAAGAGACCGAAAGGUCGAACAUGAGUCGUAUGGUUGAAUACGAUCAGCAUGAAGUUGCUCACCAUGGUGACUAGUCCGUCUCACGUGAUGAUCGGACACGGGUUAGUCAACAUGGAUCAUGUAUCACUUAGAUGACUAGAGGGAUGUCGAUUUAAGUGGGAGUUCAUACUUAAUUUGAUUAAAUGAACUUAAUUGUCAUGAACUUAGUCUAAAAGUUGUCUUUACAAAUAUUGUAGAUGUCCAACGUCAACCUCAACUUCAACGCAUUCCUAGAGAAAAACAAGCUGAAAGAUGAUGGUAGCAACUAUGCGGACUGGGUUCGCAACCUGAAGCUCAUCCUUGAAGCAGCUAAAAAGGCUUAUGUCCUUAAUGCGCCACUAGGUGACCCUCCCGCUCCCGCAGCAGCCCAGGACAUUCUGAACGUCUGGCAAGCGCGGAGUGAUGACUACUCUCUGGUCAGGUGUGGCAUGUUAUACAGUUUAGAAACGGGGCUCCAAAGACGUUUUGAGAAACACGGGGCAUAUGAGAUGUUCCAAGAGCUGAAGCUAGUUUUUCAAGCUCAUGCCCGUGUCGAGAGAUAUGAAGUCUCCGACAAGUUCUUCAGCUGUAAGAUGGAGGAGAACAGUUCUGUCAGUGAGCACAUACUCAAUAUGUCUGGGUUACACGGUCGUCUGACUUCGCUUGGAGUCGAACUUCCGGAUGAUGCCAUCAUUGACAGAAUCCUCCAGUCUCUCCCACCAAGCUACAAAGGCUUUGUGCUUAACUACAACAUGCAAGGGAUGGAGAAAACCAUUCCCGAGUUGUACUCGAUGCUCAAGUCUGCAGAAGUAGAAAUCAAGAAGGAGCAUCAAGUGUUGAUGGUCAACAAGACCACUAGUUUCAAGAAAGGCAGGGGUAAGAAGAACUUCGAGAAAGACGGCAAAGCUGUUGCCGCGCCCAGUAAGCCAGAUGCCGGGAAGAAGAAAAAGAACGGACCCAAGCCUGAGACUGAGUGCUUCUACUGCAAGGGAAAAGGUCACUGGAAGCGGAACUGCCCCAAAUACUUAGCGGACAAGAAGGCCGGCAACGUUAAAGGUAUAUGUGAUAUACAUGUUAUUGAUGUGUACCUUACUGUUGGAAUUAUGCCCUAGAGGCAAUAAUAAAUGUGUAGUUAUUAUUAUAAUUCCUGUAUCAAGAUAAUAGUUUAUUAUCCAUGCUAUAAUUGUAUUGAAUAAAGACUCAUUUACAUGUGUGGAUACAUAGACGAAACACCGUCCCUAGCAUGCCUCUAGUUGGCUAGCCAGUUGAUCGAUGAUAGUCAGUGUCUUCUGAUUAUGAACAAAGUGUUGUUGCUUGAUAACUGGAUCACGUCAUUGGGAGAAUCACGUGAUGGACUAGACCCAAACUAAUAGACGUAGCAUGUUGAUCGUGUCAUUUUGUUGCUACUGUUUUCUGCGUGUCAAGUAUUUAUUCCUAUGACCAUGAGAUCAUAUAACUCACUGACACCGGAGGAAUGCUUUGUGUGUAUCAAACGUCGCAACGUAACUGGAUGACUAUAAAGAUGCUCUACAGGUAUCUCCGAAGGUGUUAGUUGAGUUAGUAUGGAUCAAGACUGGGAUUUGUCACUCCGUGUGACGGAGAGGUAUCUCGGGGCCCACUCGGUAAUACAACAUCACAYAGUCAAGCCUUGCAAGCAAUGUAACUUAGUGUAAGUUGCGGGAUCUUGUAUUACGGAACGAGUAAAGAGACUUAGUCANNNNNNNNNNNNNNNNNNNNNNNNNNNNNNNNNNNNNNNNNNNNNNNNNNNNNNNNNNNNNNNNNNNNNNNNNNNNNNNNNNNNNNNNNNNNNNNNNNNNUGGCCAUAGGCAAGUGUUGUCACUUGAUAACGGGAUCACAUCAUUAGGAGAAUCAUGUGAUGGACUAGACCCAAACUAAUAGACGUAGCAUGUUGAUCGUGUCAUUUUGUUGCUACUGUUUUCUGCGUGUCAAGUAUUUGUUCCUAUGACCAUGAGAUCAUAUAACUCACGGACACCGGAGGAAUGCUUUGUGUGUAUCAAACGUUGCAACGUAACUGGGUGACUAUAAAGAUGCUCUACAGGUAUCUCCGAAGGUGUUCGUUGAGUUAGUAUGGAUCGAGACUGGGAUUUGUCACUCCGUGUGACGGAGAGGUAUCUCGGGGCCCACUCGGUAAUACAACAUCACACACAAGCCUUGCAAGCAAUGUGACUUAGUGUAAGUUGUGGGAUCUUGUAUUACGGAACGAGUAAAGAGACUUGCCGGUAAACGAGAUUGAAAUAGGUAUGCGGAUACUAACGAUCAAAUCUCGGGCAAGUAACAUACCGAAGGACAAAGGGAAUGACAUACGGGAUUAUAUGAAUCCUUGGCACUGAGGUUCAAACGAUAAGAUCUUUGUAGAAUAUGUAGGAUCCAAUAUGGGCAUACAGGUCCCGCUAUUGGAUAUUGACCGAGGAGUCUCUCGGGUCAUGUCUACAUAGUUCUCGAACCCGCAGGGUCUGCACACUUAAGGUUUGACGUUGUUUUAUGCGUAUUUGAGUUAUAUGGUUGGUUACCGAAUGUUGUUCGGAGUCCCGGAUGAGAUCACGGACGUCACGAGGGUUUCCCGAAUGGUCCGGAAACGAAGAUUGAUAUAUAGGAUGACCUCAUUUGAUUACCGGAGGGUUUUCGGAUUUACCGGGAAUGUACCGGGAAUGACGAAUGGGUUCCGGGAGUUCACCGGGGGGGGCCCACCCACCCCCGGGAAGCCCAUGGGUGUUUGGGGUGCCGCACCAGCCCUUAGUGGGCUGGUGAGACAGCCCAAGAGAGGCCUAUGCGCAUAGGAAAGAAAAUCAAAGAGGAAAAGAAAAGAAAAAGAAGGAGGUGGGAAAGGGAAGAAGGACUCCACCUUCCAGACCAAGUGGAUUUCGGUUUGGGAGGGGGAGACCUUCCCCCUUGGCUCGGCCGACUCCCUUGGGAGUCCUUGGAGCCCAAGGCAAGUCUCCCCCCUCCUCCUCCUAUAUAUAGUGGGGUUUUAGGGCUGAUUUGAGACGACUUUUCCACGGCAGCCCGACCACAUACCUCCACGGUUUUUCCUCUAGAUCGCGUUUCUGCGGAGCUCGGGCGGAGCCCUGCUGAGACAAGGUCAUCACCAACCUCCGGAGCACCAUCAUGCUGCCGGAUAACUCUUCUACCUCUCCGUCUAUCUUGCUGGAUCAAGAAGGCCGAGAUCAUCGUCGAGCUGUACGUGUGUUGAACGCGGANNNNNNNNNNNNNNNNNNNNNNNNNNNNNNNNNNNNNNNNNNNNNNNNNNNNNNNNNNNNNNNNNNNNNNNNNNNNNNNNNNNNNNNNNNNNNNNNNNNNGGGUGGGCUCCCCCCCCCCCCCCCGAUGAACAUCCGGAACCCAUUCGUUACUCCCGGUACAUUCCCGGUAAUGCCGAAAACUUUCAGGUAAUCAAAUGAGGUCAUCCUAUAUAUCAAUCUUCGUCUCCAGACUAUUCCGGAAACCCUCGUGACGUCCGUGAUCUCAUCCGGGACUCCGAACAACAUUCGGUAACCAACCAUGUAACUCAAAUACGCAUAAAACAACGUCGAACCUUAAGUGUGCAGACCCUGCGGGUUCGAGAACUAUGUAGACAUGACCCGAGGGACUCCUCGGUCAAUAUCCAAUAGCGGGACCUGGAUGCCCAUAUUGGAUCCUACAUAUUAUACGAAGAACUUAUCGUUUGAACCUCAGUGCCAAGGAUUCAUAUAAUCCCGUAUGUCAUUCCCUUUGUCCUUCGGUAUGUUACUUGUCCAAGAUUCGAUCGUCAGUAUCCGCAUACCUAUUUCAAUCUUGUUUACCGGCAAGUCUCUUUACUCGUUCCGUAAUACAAGAUCCCGUGACAUACACUAAGUCACAUUGCUUGCAAGGCUUGUGUGUGGUGUUGUAUUACCGAGUGGGCCCCGAGAUACCUCUCCAUCACAUGGAGUGACAGAUCCCAGUCUUGAUCUAUACUAACUCAACAGGCACCUUCGGAGAUACCUGUAGAGAAUCUUUAUAGUCACCCAGUUACGUUGUGACGUUUGAUACAUACAAAGCAUUCCUCCGGUGCCAGUGAGUUAUAUGAUCUCAUGAUCAUAGGAAUAAAUACUUGACACGCAGAAAACAUUAGCAACAAAAUGACACGAUCAACAUGCUACGUUUAUUAGUUUGGGUCUACUCCAUCACAUGAUUCUCCUAAUGAUNNNNNNNNNNNNNNNNNNNNNNNNNNNNNNNNNNNNNNNNNNNNNNNNNNNNNNNNNNNNNNNNNNNNNNNNNNNNNNNNNNNNNNNNNNNNNNNNNNNNUUUUCCUCUAGAUCGCGUUUCUGCGGAGCUCGGGCGGAGCCCUGCUGAGACAAGAUCAUCACCAACCUCCGGAGCGCCGUCACGCUGCCGGAGAACUCUUCUACCUCUCCGUCUCUCUUGCUGGAUCAAGAAGGCCGAGAUCAUCGUCGAGCUGUACGUGUGCUGAACGCGGAGGUGCCGUCCGUUCGGUACUAGAUCGUGGGACUGAUCGCGGGAUUGUUCGCGGAGCGGAUCGAGGGACGUGAGGACGUUCUACUACAUCAACCGCGUUCACGAACGCUUCUGCUGUACGAUCUACAAAGGUACGUAGAUCACUCAUCGCCUCUCGUAGAUGGACAUCACCAUGAUAGGUCUUCGUGCGCGUAGGAAAAAUUUUGUUUCCCAUGCGACGUUCCCCAAUAGUGGCAUCAUGAGCUAGGUUCAUGCGUAGAUGUCUUCUCGAGUAGAACACAAAAGUUUUUGUGGGCGGUGAUGUGCGUUUUGCUGCCCUCCUUAGUUUUUUCUUGAUUCCGCGGUAUUGUUGGAUUGAAGCGGCUUGGACCGACAUUACUCGUACGCUUACGAGAGACUGGUUUCAUCGUUACGAGUAACCCCCUUUGCUCAAAGAUGACUGGCAAGUGACGGUUUCUCCAACUUUAGUUGAAUCGGAUUUGACCGAGGAGGUCCUUGGAUGAGGUUAAAUAGCAACUCAUAUAUCUCCGUUGUGGUGUUUGCGUAAGUAAGAUGCGAUCCUACUAGAUACCCUUGGUCACCACGUAAAACAUGCAACAACAAAAUUAGAGGACGUCUAACUUGUUUUUGCAGGGUAUGAUUGUGAUGUGAUAUGGCCAAACGAUGUGAUGUGAUAUAUUGGAUGUAUGAGAUGAUCAUGUUGUAAUAGAAAUAUCGACUUGCAUGUCGAUGGUACGGCAACCGGCAGGAGCCAUAGGGUUGUCUUUAUACUAACAUAUGUGCUUGCAGAUGCGUUUACUAUUUUGCUAGGAUGUAGCUUUAGUAGUGAUAGCAUAAGUAGCACGACAACCCCGAUGGCGACACAUUGAUGGAGAUCAUGAUGAUGGAGAUCAUGGUGUGGCGCCGGUGACAAGAAGAUCGUGCCGGUGCUUUGGUGAUGGAGAUCAAGAAGCACGUGAUGAUGGCCAUAUCAUGUCACUUAUGAAUUGCAUGUGAUGUUAAUCCUUUUAUGCACCUUAUUUUGCUUAGAACGACGGUAGCAUUAUGAGGUGAUCUCUCACUAAAAUUUCAAGACGAAAUUGUGUUCUCCCCGACUGUGCACCGUUGCUACAGUUCGUCGUUUCGAGACACCACGUGAUGAUCGGGUGUGAUAGACUCAACGUUCACAUACAACGGGUGCAAAACAGUUGCGCACGCGGAACACUCGGGUUAAGCUUGACGAGCCUAGCAUGUGCAGACAUGGCCUCGGNNNNNNNNNNNNNNNNNNNNNNNNNNNNNNNNNNNNNNNNNNNNNNNNNNNNNNNNNNNNNNNNNNNNNNNNNNNNNNNNNNNNNNNNNNNNNNNNNNNNCAGAAGCGAUUAGAGAUCGCGGUUGAUGUAGUGGAACGUCCUCACGUCCCUCGAUCCGCCCCGCGAACAAUCCCGCGAUCAGUCCCACGAUCUAGUACCGAACGGACGGCACCUCCGCGUUCAGCACACGUACAGCUCGACGAUGAUCUCGGCCUUCUUGAUCCAGCAAGAGAGACGGAGAGGUAGAAGAGUUCUCCGGCAGCGUGACGGCGCUCCGGAGGUUGGUGAUGAUCUUGUCUCAGCAGGGCUCCGCCCGAGCUCCGCAAAAACACGAUCUAGAGGAAAAACUAUGGAGGUAUGUGGUCGGGCAGCCGUGAGAAAGUCGUCUCAAAUCUGCCCUAAAAGCCCCAUAUAUAUAGGACGAGGGAGGGGGACCUUGCCUUGGGGUCCAAGGGAACCCCAAGGGGUCGGCCGAGCCAGGGGGGAGGACUCCUCCCCCCCCCCCAAACCGAGUCCUACUUGGUUUGGUGGGAGGGAGUCCUUCCCCCUUCCCACUUCUUCCCCUUUUUUUUUCUUCCUUUGAUUUUUCUUCCUUGGCGCAUAGGAUUUGGUGGGCUGUCCCACCAGCCCACUAAGGGCUGGUGUGACCCCCAAAAAUACCUAUGGGCUUCCCCGGAGUGGGUUGCCCCCCUCCGGUGAACCCCCGGAACCCAUUCGUCAUUCCCGGUACAUUCCCGGUAACUCCGAAAACCUUCCGGUAAUCAAAUGAGGUCAUCCUAUAUAUCAAUCUUCGUUUCCGGACCAUUCCGGAAACCCUCGUGACGUCCGUGAUCUCAUCCAGGACUCCGAACAACAUUCGGUAACCAACCAUAUAACUCAAAUACGCAUAAAACAACGUCGAACCUUAAGUGUGCAGACCCUGCGGGUUCGAGAACUAUGUAGACAUGACCCGAGAGACUCCUCGAUCAAUAUCCAAUAGCGGGACCUGGAUGCCCAUAUUGGAUCCUACAUAUUCUACGAAGAUCUUAUCGUUUGAACCUCAGUGCCAAGGAUUCGUAUAAUCCCGUAUGUCAUUCCCUUUGUCCUUCGGUAUGUUACUUGCCCGAGAUUUGAUCGUUAGUAUCCGCAUACCUAUUUCAAUCUCGUUUACCGGCAAGUCUCUUUACUCGUUCCGUAAUACAAGAUCCCGCAACUUACACUAAGUUACAUUGCUUGCAAGGCUUGUGUGUGAUGUUGUAUUACCGAGUGGGCCCCGAGAUACCUCUCCGUCACACGGAGUGACAAAUCCCAGUCUUGAUCCAUACUAACUCAACUAACACCUUCGGAGAUACCUGUAGAGCAUCUUUAUAGUCAUCCAGUUACGUUGCGACGUUUGAUACACACAAAGCNNNNNNNNNNNNNNNNNNNNNNNNNNNNNNNNNNNNNNNNNNNNNNNNNNNNNNNNNNNNNNNNNNNNNNNNNNNNNNNNNNNNNNNNNNNNNNNNNNNNUCACGUGAUGGACUAGACCCAAACWAAUAGACGUAGCAUGUUGAUCGUGUCAUUUUGUUGCUACUGUUUUCUGCGUGUCAAGUAUUUAUUCCUAUGACCAUGAGAUCAUAUAACUCACUGACACCGGAGGAAUGCUUUGUGUGUAUCAAACGUCGCAACGUAACUGGGUGACUAUAAAGAUGCUCUACAGGUAUCUCCGAAGGUGUUAGUUGAGUUAGUAUGGAUCAAGACUGGGAUUUGUCACUCCGUAUGACGGAGAGGUAUCUCGGGGCCCACUCGGUAAUACAACAUCACACACAAGCCUUGCAAGCAAUGUAACUUAGUGUAAGUUGCGGGAUCUUGUAUUACGGAACGAGUAAAGAGACUUGUCGGUAAACGAGAUUGAAAUAGGUAUGCGGAUACUGACGAUCGAAUCUCGGGCAAGUAACAUACCGAAGGACAAAGGGAAUGGCAUACGGGAUUAUACGAAUCCUUGGCACUAAGGUUCAAACGAUAAGAUCUUCGUAGAAUAUGUAGGAUCCAAUAUGGGCAUCCAGGUCCCGCUAUUGGAUAUUGACCGAGGAGUCUCUCGGGUCAUGUCUACAUAGUUCUCGAACCCGCAGGGUCUGCACACUUAAGGUUCGACGUUGUUUUAUGCGUAUUUGAGUUAUAUGGUUGGUUACCGAAUGUUGUUCNNNNNNNNNNNNNNNNNNNNNNNNNNNNNNNNNNNNNNNNNNNNNNNNNNNNNNNNNNNNNNNNNNNNNNNNNNNNNNNNNNNNNNNNNNNNNNNNNNNNUGACUAUGUGGAUACAUAGACAAAACACUGUCCCUAGUAAGCCUCUAGUUGACUAGCUCGUUGAUCAAAGAUGGUCAAGGUUUCCUGGCCAUAGGCAAGUGUUGUCACUUGAUAACGGGAUCACAUCAUUAGGAGAAUCAUGUGAUGGACUAGACCCAAACUAAUAGACGUAGCAUGUUGAUCGUGUCAUUUUGUUGCUACUGUUUUCUGCGUGUCAAGUAUUUGUUCCUAUGACCAUGAGAUCAUAUAACUCACGGACACCGGAGGAAUGCUUUGUGUGUAUCAAACAUCGCAACGUAACUGGGUGACUAUAAAGAUGCUCUACAGGUAUCUCCGAAGGUGUUCGUUGAGUUAGUAUGGAUCAAUACUGGGAUUUGUCACUCCGUAUGACGGAGAGGUAUCUCGGGGCCCACUCGGUAAUACAACAUCACACACAAACCUUGCAAGCAAUGUAACUUAGUGUAAGUUGCGGGAUCUUGUAUUACGGAACGAGUAAAGAGACUUGCCGGUAAACGAGAUUGAAAUAGGUAUGCGGAUACUGACGAUCGAAUCUCGGGCAAGUAACAUGCCGAAGGACAAAGGGAAUGACAUACGGGAUUAUACGAAUCCUUGGCACUGAGGUUCAAACGAUAAGAUCUUCGUAGAAUAUGUAGGAUCCAAUAUGGGCAUCCAGGUCCCGCUAUUGGAUAUUGACCGAGGAGUCUCUCGGGUCAUGUCUACAUAGUUCUCGAACCCGCAGGGUCUGCACACUUAAGGUUCGGCGUUGUUUUAUGCGUAUUUGAGUUAUAUGGUUGGUUACCGAAUGUUGUUCGGAGUCCCGGAUGAGAUCACGGACGUCACGAGGGUUUCCGGAAUGGUCCGGAAACGAAGAUUGAUAUAUAGGAUGACCUCAUUUGAUUACCGGAAGGUUUUCGGAGUUACCGGGAAUGACGAAUGGGUUCCGGGAGUUCACCGGGGGGGCAACCCACCCCGGGGAAGCCCAUAGGCAUUGGGGGAGCCACACCAGCCCUUAGUGGGCUGGUGGGACAGCCCACAAGUGCCCAAUGCGCCAAGAGAAGAAAAAUCAAGAGGAAAGAAAAAAAAGAGGAAGGAGGUGGGAAGGAAGGGGGACUCCUCCCACCAAACCAAGUCCAACUCGGUUUGGGGGGGGAGUCCUCCCCCCCCUUGGCUCGGCCGACUCCUUGGGGGUCCUUGGACCCCAAGGCAAGGCCCCCCUNNNNNNNNNNNNNNNNNNNNNNNNNNNNNNNNNNNNNNNNNNNNNNNNNNNNNNNNNNNNNNNNNNNNNNNNNNNNNNNNNNNNNNNNNNNNNNNNNNNNCGUGGGACUGAUCGCGGGAUUGUUCGCGGGGCGGAUCGAGGGACGUGAGGACGUUCCACUACAUCAACCGCGAUCUCUAAUCGCUUCUGCUGUACGAUCUACAAGGGUACGUAGAUCACUCAUCCCCUCUCGUAGAUGGACAUCACCAUGAUAGGUCUUCGUGCGCGUAGGAAAAUUUUUGUUUCCCAUGCGACGUUCCCCAACAGUGGCAUCAUGAGCUAGGUUCAUGCGUAGAUGUCUUCUCGAGUAGAACACAAAAGGUUUUGUGGGCGGUGAUGUGCGUUUUGCUGCCCUCCUUAGUCUUUUCUUGAUUCCGCGGUAUUGUUGGAUUGAAGCGGCUUGGACCGACAUUACUCGUACGCUUACGAGAGACUGGUUUCAUCGUUACGAGUAACCCCCUUUGCUCAAAGAUGACUGGCAAGUGACGGUUUCUCCAACUUUAGUUGAAUCGGAUUUGACCGAGGAGGUCCUUGGAUGAGGUUAAAUAGCAACUCAUAUAUCUCUGUUGUGGUGUUUGCGUAAGUAAGAUGCGAUCCUACUAGAUACCCUUGGUCACCACGUAAAACAUGCAACAACAAAAUUAGAGGACGUCUAACUUGUUUUUGCAGGGUAUGAUUGUGAUGUGAUAUGGCCAAUGAUGUGAUGUGAUAUAUUGGAUGUAUGAGAUGAUCAUGUUGUAAUAGAAAUAUCGACUUGCACGUCGAUGGUACGGCAACCGGCAGGAGCCAUAGGGUUGUCUUUAUACUAACGUUUGUGCUUGCAGAUGCGUUUACUAUUUUGCUAGGAUGUAGCUUUAGUAGUAAUAGCAUAAGUAGCACGACAACCCCGAGGGCAACACGUUGAUGGAUGAUCAUGGUGUGGCGCCGGUGACAAGAAGAUCGUGCCGGUGCUUUGGUGAUGGAGAUCAAGAAGCACGUGAUGAUGGCCAUAUCAUGUCACUUAUGAAUUGCAUGUGAUGUUAAUCCUUUUAUGCACCUUAUUUUGCUUAGAACGACGGUAGCAUUAUGAGGUGAUCUCUCACUAAAAUUUCAAGACGAAAUUGUGUUNNNNNNNNNNNNNNNNNNNNNNNNNNNNNNNNNNNNNNNNNNNNNNNNNNNNNNNNNNNNNNNNNNNNNNNNNNNNNNNNNNNNNNNNNNNNNNNNNNNNCUACGAUCGAGAUUCAAUAAACCAUUGAAGGUGAUUAUUCAAGAAAAUAGAGUAACCAUUAUUCUCUUUAAAUGAAUAAUCGUAUUGCAAUAAACACGAUCCAAUCAUGUUCAUGCUUAACGCAAGCACCGAAUAACAAUUAUUUAGGUUUAACACCAAUCCCGAUGGUAGAGGGAGCGUGCGACGUUUGAUCAUAUCAACCUUGGAAACACUUCCAACACGUAUCGUCACCUCGCCUUUAGCUAGUCUCCGUUUAUGCCGUAGCUUUCAUUUCGUGUUACUAAUCACUUAGCAACCGAACCGGUAUCCAAUACCCUCAUGCUACUAGGAGUACUAGUAAAGUACACAUCAACAUCAUGUAUAUCUAAUAUACUUCUCUUGACUUUUGCCAGCCUUCUUAUCUACCAAGUAUCUAGAGUUGCUCCGCCUCAGUGACUGUUCCCCUCAUUACAGAAGCACUUAGUCUCGGGUUUGGGUUUAAUCUUGGGUCUCUUCAUUAGUGCAGCAACUGUUUUGCCGUUUCACGAAGUAUCCCUUCUAGCCCUGGCCUUUCUUGAAACUUAGUGGUUCUACAAACCAUCAACUAUUGAUGCUCCUUCUUGAUUUCUACUUUCGUAGUGUCAAACAUCGCGAAUCGCUCAAGGAUCAUUGUAUGUAUCCUUGAUAUGUUAUAGUUCAUCACGAAGCUCUCACAGCUUGGUGGCAGUGACUUUGGAGAACUAUCACUAUCUCAUCUGGAAGAUUAACUCCCACUUGAUUCAAGCGAUUGUCGUACUCAGACAAUCUGAGCACACGCUCAACGAUUGAGCCUUUCUCCUUUACUUUGUGGACAAAGAAUCUUGUCGGAGGUCUCGUACCUCUUAACAAGGGCACAAGCAUGAAAUCACAAUUUCAUCUCUUUAGAACAUCACUUAUGUUCCGUGACGUUUUACAACGUUUUCGGCGCCUUGCUUUUAAGCCAUUAAGUAUUUUGCACUGAACUAUCGUGUAGUCAUCAGAAACGUGUAUGUCGGAUGUUCAUAGCAUCCACAGACGACGCUCGAGGUGCAGCACACCGAGUGGUGCAUUAAGGACAUAAUCCUUCUGCGCAGCAACGAGGACAAUCCUCGGUUUUACAGACCCAGUCUGCAAAGUUUUGCUACUAUCAAUUUUCAACUAAAUUUUCUCUAGGAUCAUAUAAAAACAGUAGAGCUAUAGUGCAAGCUACAUCGUAAUUCGCAAAGACCAUUAGACUAUGUUCAUGACAAUUAGUUCAAUUAAUCAUAUUACUUAAGAACUCCCACUCAAAAAGUACAUAUCUCUAGUCAUUUGAGUGGUACAUGAUCCAAAUCCACUAUCUCAAGUCCGAUCAUCACGUGAGUCGAGAAUAGUUUCAGUGGUAAGCAUCUCUAUGCUAAUCAUAUCAACUAUGCGAUUCAUGCUCGACCUUUCGGUCUCAUGUGUUCCGAGGCCAUGUCUGCACAUGCUAGGCUCGUCAAGCUUAACCCGAGUGUUCCGCGUGCGCAACUGUUUUGCACCCGUUGUAUGUGAACGUUGAGUCUAUCACACCCGAUCAUCACGUGGUGUCUCGAAACGACGAACUGUAGCAACGGUGCACAGUCGGGGAGAACACAAUUUCGUCUUGAAAUUUUAGUGAGAGAUCACCUCAUAAUGCUACCGUCGUUCUAAGCAAAAUAAGGUGCAUAAAAGGAUUAACAUCAUAUGCAAUUCAUAAGUGACAUGAUAUGGCCAUCAUCACGUGCUUCUUGAUCUCCAUCACCAAAGCACCGACAUGAUCUUCUUGUCACCGGCGUCACACCAUGAUCUCCAUCAUCAUGAUCUCCAUCAACGUAUCGCCAUCGGGGUUGUCGUGCUACUUAUGCUAUUACUACUAAAGCUACGUCCUAGCAAAAUAGUAAACGCAUCUGCAAGCACAAACGUUAGUUAUAAAGACAACCCUAUGGCUCCUGCCGGUUGUCGUACCAUCGACGUGCAAGUCGAUAUUAACUAUUACAACAUGAUCAUCUCAUACAUCCAAUAUAUCACAUCACAUCGUUGGCCAUAUCACAUCACAAGCAUACCCUGCAAAAACAAGUUAGACGUCCUCUAAUUUUGUUGUUUGCAUGUUUUACGUGGUGACCAUGGGUAUCUAGUAGGAUCGCAUCUUACUUACGCAAACACCACAACGGAGAUAUAUGAAUUGCUAUUUAACCUCAUCCAAGGACCUCCUCCGUCAAUUCCGAUUCAACUAAAGUUGGAGAAACUGACACCCGCCAGUCAUCUUUGAGCAACGGAGUUACUCGUAGCGAUGAAACCAGUCUCUCGUAAGCGUACGAGUAAUGUCGGUCCGAGCCGCUUCGAUCCAACAAUACCGCGGAAUCAAGAAAAGAAUAAGGAGGGCAGCAAAACGCACAUCACCGCCCACAAAAACUUUUGUGUUCUACUCGAGAAGACAUCUACGCAUGAACCUAGCUCAUGAUGCCACUGUUGGGGAACGUCGCAUGGGAAACAAAAAAUUUCCUACGCGCACGAAGACCUAUCAUGGUGAUGUCCAUCUACGAGAGGGGAUGAGUGAUCUACGUACCCUUGUAGAUCGUACAUCAGAAGCGUUAGUGAACGCGGUUGAUGUAGUGGAACGUCCUCACGUCCCUCGAUCCGCCUCGCGAACAAUCCCGCGAUCAGUNNNNNNNNNNNNNNNNNNNNNNNNNNNNNNNNNNNNNNNNNNNNNNNNNNNNNNNNNNNNNNNNNNNNNNNNNNNNNNNNNNNNNNNNNNNNNNNNNNNNUGAUCAUCUCAUCAAAGUGUAUAUUCCAACUCCGAUAUGCUUGCACCAGUCCAUUGAAGGAUCGCUGGAGCUUGCAUACUUGUUAGUAUCCUUAGGAUUGACAAAACAUUCUGAUUGUAUCACAUACAAUCUUUCCUCAAGGAAACCGUCGAGGAAACAAUGUUUUGACUUCCUAUGUGCAAUAUUUCACAAAUAAUGCAGCAACUACUAACACAAUUCCAACAGACUUUUAGCAUCGCUACGAGUGAGAAAGUCACAUCAUAGUCAACUCUUUGAUCCUGUCGAAAACAUCUUUGGGACAAGUCGAGCUUUUCUUAAUAGUGACUUAUCACCUUCAUCGUCUGUCUUCCUUUUAAAGAUCCAUCUUUACUUAAUAGUCUUACUACCAUCAAGCAGUUCUUCCAAAGUCUACACUUUGUUUUAUACAUGGAUUCUCUCUUGGAUUUCAUGACCUCUAGCCAUUUGUCGGAAUUCGGGCCCACCAUUGCUUUCUCCAUAACUCGUAGGUUCAUUGUUGCUCAACAACAUGACCUCCAAGACAGGGUUACCAUACCACUCUGUAGUAGUACGCGACCUUUGUCGACCUACGAGGUUUGUAGUAGCUUGAUCCGAAGCUCCAAUGAUCACUAUCAUCAGCUUCCACUUCAAUUGGUGUAGGCGCCACAGGAACAACUUCCUGCGCCGUGCUACACACUGGUUGAAGUGACGGUUCAAUAACCUCAUCAAGUUCCACCACUCUCCCACUCAAUUCUUUUGAGAGAAACCUUUCCUCGAGAAAGGAUCCGUUUCUAGAAACAAACACUUUGCUUCUGAAUCUGAAUAGGAGAUGUAUCCAACUGUUUUGGAUAUCCUAUGAAGAUGCAUUUAUCCGCUUUGGGUUCGAGCUUAUCAGACUGAAACCUUUUCACAUAAGCAUUGCAGCCCCAAACUUUCAAGAAACGACAGCUUAGGUUUCUCUAAACCAUAGUCUAUACUGUGUCAUCUCAAUGGAAAUAUGCGGUGCCCUAUUUAAAGUGAAUGUGGUUGUCUCCAAUGCAUAACCCACAAACGAUAGUGGUAAUUCGAUAAGAGACAUCAUAGUAUGCACCAUCUCAAAUAAGGUGUGGCUAUGACGUUUAGACACAUCAUCACACUAUGGUGUUCUAGGUGGCAUGAACUGUGAAACAAUUUUCACUUUGUCUUAACUGCGUACCAAAAACUCGUAACUCAGAUAUUCAUCUCUAUGAUCAUAUCAUAGACAAUUUAUCCUCUUGUCACGACGAUCUUCACUCUGAAAUUGCUUUGAACUUUUUAAUAUUUCAGACUUGUGAUUCAUCAAGUAAAUACUCGUGUAUCUACUCAAAUCGUCAGUGAAGUAAGAACAUAACGAUAUCCACUGCGUGCCUUAGCACUCCUUGGACUUCACACAUCAAAAAUGCAUUACUCCCAACAAGUUACUCUCUUGUUUCAUGUGGCAUGUUUUGCAUGUCUCAAGUGAUUCAAAAUCAAGUGAGUCCAAAUGAUCCAUCUCUAUGGAGUUUCUUCAUGCAUUUAUACCAACAGGUAUGGUUUGCAUGUCUCAAACGUUUCAAAAAUGAAUGAGUACGAAGAUCCAUCAGCAUGGAGCUUCUUUAUGCAUUUUACACCAACAUGACUCAAGUGGCAGUGCCACAACUAAGUGAUACUAUCAUUAUUACUUUGCAUCUUUUGGCACCAAUAGUAUGAAUAUGUGUAACACUACGAUCGAGAUUCAAUAAACCAUUGAGGGUAAUUAUUCAAGAAAAUAGAAUAACUAUUAUUCUCUUUAAAUGAAUAAUCGUAUUGCAAUAAACACGAUCCAAUCAUGUUCAUGCUCAACGCAAACACCAAAUAACAAUUAUUUAGGUUUUACCACCAAUCCCGAUGAUAGAGGGAGCGUGCGACGUUUGAUCACAUCAACCUUGGAAACACUUCCAACACUUAUCGUCACCUCGCCUUUAGCUAGUCUCCGUUUAUUCCGUAGCUUUCAUUUCGUGUUACUAAUCACUUAGAAACCGAACCGGUAUCCAAUACCCUCGUGCUACUAGGAGUACUAGUAAAGUACACAUCAACAUCAUGUAUAUCAAAUAUACUUCUUUCGACUUUGCCNNNNNNNNNNNNNNNNNNNNNNNNNNNNNNNNNNNNNNNNNNNNNNNNNNNNNNNNNNNNNNNNNNNNNNNNNNNNNNNNNNNNNNNNNNNNNNNNNNNNGUGAUCCCGUUAUCAAGUGACAACACUUGCCUAUGGUCAGGAAACCUUGACCAUCUUUGAUCAACGUGCUAGUCAACUAGAGGCUUACUAGGGACAGUGUUUUGUCUAUGUAUCCACACAAGUAUUGUGUUUCCAAUCAAUACAAUUAUAGCAUGGAUAAUAAACGAUUAUCAUGAACAAAGAAAUAUAAUAAUAACUAAUUUAGUAUUGCCUCUAGGGCAUAUUUCCAACAGAUGUGUGGUCCUUUGCGCAAGGUGUAGCCCCAUACGAAGAAGAACGAGUUGGUUAUGCAGUCAUCAUUGCGAGAUAAGAGGUUGUCGUCGGCUGCGACCCCAUCUUCGCCCGCGUGUAGCACCCCGGUCCACGAGCCCUCCCAGCAACCUAGCAUCCCCCCCUUCAUUGAGCCCCUAGCACCGUCAAGCUCAUUGGUGCGCGUCAGACACCAUCCUCUCCCUCAUGCUAGCACGAAAAUGCCAAUUUAAGCGACCACUGUGGGUCCCACAUGUAAAUGACACAUCUCACCUGAUGAGGGGACCCACCCACCACUUUGACCACGUCAAAAAAGCAAACCACCUAGCAAACCGACCAAGGAUGAUUUCUUAACGAUAAUGAAACGAUGAGGGGGUUAAGGGAGGAGAAAAAAUGACAACUAUGCAAAAAAUUGAUCGGGGGGUUAUGUGAAACACCCAUUUUCAUAAAAUGGACUUCUUCAAAAAAUUAUAUGCAUGUUUAAUGUUUUUCCAAAUGCCUGAUUCAAAAUUUUCAAAUAGAAGAUUUUUAAAAUAAGGUUAAUGUUUUUUCUAUUCAUAUUUAAACAAAUUCAAAUGCUUGAUUAACAUUUUUCAAUAAAAUAUUAACAUUUUCUUAAGAGAAAAUAUUUGGAUCAACCGGCUUAUUUUCGCCCGUCGUCUCUUUUGCUUGCCACGUGGUCAGGGCCUAAUCAGUUUAUAUCCCUUUCUGUCUUAUCUCUUCAGCGAAGCACAUUAACCACACGUUUUCUUCCUUCCCACAUUCAUGCAUUUGUUGCAGCAACAUUACAUUCAUUGCAAAAGGCGGUGCUAUUAUGACAUGCGUCGGCAAUGGCGAGCGACGUUUCUAGAGCAUCAUCUCCACUGUAAAAAUUUCUGCAACAUCAUUUAUGUUGUAAAAAUUUCUUCCGCAAUAGUACCAAAGUUGUCAAAAAACAAAGAAUUUUUUCUAAAACCUGAUCUAUAUCGUGAAAGUUUUCUUCAACAUGACCUUUGUUGCAAAAGUUUCUUCCGCAAUAGUACCAAUGUUGCAAAAAGAUGAGGAAUUUUUCCUGCAACCAAACCUAUGUUACAAAAGUUUUCUGCAACAUGACUUUGUUAACAUUUUUUUAAAUCUUGGUUAACAAUUUUUUUGAAAUUUUUAUGUAAUGUAGUUUUUUAAUAGAUUUAUUUAUCACAUUUGGAAGUAUGAAAAGUAAAAAAUAAAAGAAAUAAAAAAUAGAAAAACGUGAAAAGAAUGAGGCUGUGCCUCCAUCGCGCCUGCGCCGGCCCAUAUCGCUCCCUUAGGUCUCGCUGUAAGCAAGAUAUAUGCGCCCGUCCCACACGGCCACACGACAGCAGCAAGAGGAGUGGCAGCCUGCCGCCGGCGCGAACGGUAGAUCGAUCCCCGCUCUGCCACCGGGACGGCGCUGCUCCAGGGCGGUCGUGACGAGCGUCCGACUCCGGCCUCCAAAUGCAGUCUCUAAAUGGUCACUCGAGCAUGGGUCAAAAUUUGCGGACCCUUACCCUACAUGGAUGCAUAUCAAUGACUCGAAGAAGCUGCACGUAAUUAAGCUAAUCCUGUGCUCAUCAAACCUUGUUGCCGCACUGGUCGGCGUUGAACACACCAGUCAGAUCCUAAUCUGCCAGCCAGGGGCCUUGUCGUGGUCGGUACGCGCGUGUGAUGAGUCUAAGGAUUUUGAACACAUGGCAUUCUACCAGGGAAAGCUCUAGCUAUGCCCUUGACGAUGACGAGAACCUCCUUGUGGUGAACAUCAGCCACGACCAAAGCACCGGCGAUCCACAGGUUUCUCGGAUUGGAAGGGUCAUUGAGGGCACGGUGGUUUUCAGGUUAUACCAUGUUGGCUCUGAAGAGAACGGUAUGCCCGUCAAGAAGCUCUAUCUGGUUGAAUCGCGUGGCGUGUUGCUGUUAGUACGCAGGGAUAUUUGGUGCCAGGUUCCUCAAGUUAGACCUGGAGGGCCUCGUAAAACUAUUGCUGGACGAAGCAAGCUUGAGGUAUUCGAGGCUGACUUUGAGCACUCGCGAUGGGUGAAGGUGUCGACCAUGGGGGAUGACCAGGUGCUGUUUAUGCGUCGAAGGUGCUCCAGGGCUGUGGCCGUGUCUCAGUACGGGUUGUUGGGCAAUCACAUCUUCUUCUUGGAUGAUGAUGACGAGUAUCGUAUGGACUACAGUUACAUCGAGGAGAGCACAUCAUGCAGUGCCUAUGACAUGAGACUCGGCGACAUCUCUUCCCCUCAUCCAAUGAUACGUCUGGCAGCAUGGCUAUUCCCCCAGGACUGAAUUGAAGGUGUUAUAUUGUUGUUGAGCUGCUCCCAUGUUAUCUGACGGACCAUGCUAUAAAUGUUUAUUUUGCAAGCUGCUCACAGGUUAAUCCAUCUGACUGUGGUAUAUGGCGGUUGAUUAUAGUGUUGGGUGGUCUCAUGCAAGCCGUGAAAUGCGUUAGUAUAACUUGCUUAUGCCGUUAGUUGCCAUGUACUAUCAGUAAAAUGCCUGGACGGCUGGACCUAAUAUGGUGUUUACUAUGGAAGCUGUUAACUGCAUAGUUUUCAAGUAGUAUUGUGGUCAUUGAUGUGUGAGUAAAUGAUCUUAAAAUGCAUCAUUGCUUAUAUGUAUCUUUGGUUUGGUGAUCUCUUCUUUUGCGAGAAUUUUGCACUCUGAAUUGGUAGAUUUGCUUGUGUGGUUUGGCUGAAUUUGGGGAUUCAGUCACUGCUUGAGACUGAGUAGUUUAUCUGUGCAGGCGCAGUUAAUUUCUCGGCCCCCUUCACCGGUCAAAGGCGAGAUAAAUUGAAAUUACUAUGCGUGCUAAGCUGCCAGGCCGUGUUACCGUGUUGUGGAUUUGAAGAGUACAAAGUUGUGAUGAGCCUUCUUUUUCUUUUUUUUUACGGAUAAAACUUGUAUUACUCACAUCACACAAGAUUACAAUCAACGUUGUUCUCAGGCCGGCUAAUAUGAAUAAUACUAGUUUUACAAAGACUCAAGAGGUAAUUUAUCUCCUUCACCAAAGAAGAGUAAAGUGAUCUAUCAAAUGCGUGAAGAGUCCAUUUCAGUUACCACCGGCAGGUCAGUGGGUAAUAAUGCCAAGGAUAAGCCUUCAAUACACGCGCCUAAGGCCCUGUUUGGAACCAUAAUAGAUUAUGAUAAUCUGGAUUAUGAAUAUAGAUUACAUAAUCUGGUUUAUAAAAAUAAUCCAGGUGGGCAUGUUUGGAGGUCAGAUUAUAUAAACUGUAAAUCAGUUUUUAAAUUGUACAAUGACAUGUUUGUCCUCUGUUUACAAGGAAAAAUAGGAAAGUGGCGAUGGCACUGCGUAAUUCUCUUGAAGUUUACAAGGGUAACACGUUAUUUGUAAUUCAUAAUCUUAUUUUAGCUGGGGUAGAGCAGAUUAUGAGAUUAUAAUAAUCUGGUCAUCUAGUUUAUAAAAUCUACAAUAUAAAUUGUCCUGUUUGGAAAUACAGUAGAUUAUAAAAACCAGAUUAUAUAAUCUGAGUGGUUCCAAACAGGGCCUAAUUCAGAUUCAAAAGCAUCCUGGAAAGAGAAAAACCGCCCGCAUGAUUAGCGACAUCAUGGUGACAUAUUAAUUAAUAUCAUAUACAUUUUUGUAAAGGAAUUAUAUUUGUUUAUCAAAAGCACACUUUUUGUGAGGAAAUGCAUGUUCCAAGAUUCCUUACUUUCUGUGCACAUUUAUCUUAACGAAUGUUCACAUUUAUCUUCGAGGUAUUGGGCCUACUGUCUAAUUUAUCUUCGAGGUUUGGACUUUAGAGGUGUGGAUAAACAAAACUCCCGCACGAGAGCAGCAGCAGGAGCGGCGGCCUACUCAACGGCCGGCGCGUCGCGGUCUCUCUGGUGGACGUACCCUCUCUCUUUCUCACCUCACCUCCCCAUUGUCCCCCUUUUCUCGCUCGGGCCGCCUCUUACCUUGCUUCCCAUGCAUGUACGCAGUGGCGUGCCGCCGCGAGUCAACUCCAGCCGCCACCAUUGCCGUCGCUGGCACUCACCGACGGCACAUUCUACAACCUCAUGUACUUUGGAAGGCUCAAGGGUCGGUGGGGGAUUUUGAGGUCCCCAUCCUUUUUUUCCUUCGAAGACCCAAUGUUGUAUCAUCAUGCAUGGCAUGUGCAUUCUUGUAUAAUCUUAUUUCGCAAGAGAUGCCUUUCGACCCACUUGAUAUUGACGAGCCGAUAAUGCAAGGAACAUCAGAAGAUCAUGAUUCAUAGUAGUUCUUGUUUCAUAGUAGCAUUUAUUCUUAUAGUAGGCCUUGUCCAUAUAUAGUAGCAUCUAUUCUUGUUUAAAUAUGUUACAAAUGAUCCAUGGUACUUGUUUUCUAGAUGAAAAAGAUCAUGUAUCACAAAUGUUUCAUUUCCAUACUUUGAGCAGGGGAAGUGCUGAAGGCUUUGGAGAGGCAGCGGGAAACUUGGAAUAGGAAAUAGCUAUGGAGGAACAAGAAAAUGAGGAAGAGGGUCUGAUCUCAACAGGGACAACUAGACGGUCCAUUGGCACUUGCCUUAUUGAUACAAGUACUAGUUCCAAGAGGUAGAAGAAGGAGCCAAGGCCAAAGAAGACGACUCGACCAAGCGAUCCUUUUGCGGCCAUGCUACACGAUGUCAACAGCCAGCUGAACAGCGUGACACAACAUGUCGGUACAAUGGCAACAACAUUCCCAGCAGCAAUAGUGCGAGAAGCAGCACAAGAGAACCCUUGAUAGAAAUCAAGAGAAAAGGCAACUAGUGAAUUUUUUAGGCUUGCAUUCACUAGGAGCGAGAUCGUUGAAGUUGCAGCAAUAUUUGCUAAAGCUUCAGAACACAUGAACAUGAUGCUUGUGCUUCCAGAAGUCCUUAGGAGGGACUUCGUCCUCAAAAUGCUAUCUGGUUUCCUUGUUUCUAAACUCUUUUUCUGUUUACCUUUGAUAAUAGGCUCCAGCACAUGAAACCUCAACAUGAUUGUUAGCUUUGAUAAUAUGUACUAUCUUAUGAUAUAUUUCUAAAAAGAAAUGCCCACAUGUCCUGAUUCUUGAAUCAAAAGUUGAUAUAUCAUACCCUCCCUAUAUUGUACUGUAUAUACUUGCAUAUUAUUGGUAACAUUUGCCCAUGUUCACCCUCUUUAUAGUAUCUUUCGGUGAGACAUUUAUGUCGGUAAGGCUUUCAUAAUAUGUACCAUCUUUUUAAUCUGUACUAUCUCGUGAUGCAAAUUUCUUACUGGUCAUGCAUUUGAGGGCAACUUCAACGGGCCGACCCAAAUGGACGGCGAUUUUGUCCGUUUGGGUCGGUCAGGCGGACACGAACAUCCGCUUCCGUAAAUGGGUCGGGGUAUGCGUCCAACGCUGGCCGGAUCUAUUUUUUGCCGGCGUGCGGAAAAAAUAUAUAAGUGCAUAAUUAAACAUUAAAAAUCGGCCACGAAGGCCGGCGAGAGUCCACGCAUCCGCAUUACACUAAUUAAACAUUAAAAAAACUAAAACUACGAGGGCAGCCCUAGGCGGCGGCGGCAUCGUCGGAGCCGGUGAGGUCGACCAGCGUAGGCGCAGGGACGGCCCAGGGAAACGUCGUGUUCCACAGCUCAGCUGCAUGCGCCUCUGUCGUCUGUCCUGCCGGCGCAGUAGCAAGGGCACGCUCCUCCUCCUCCAACUCUCGUCGUUCCUCCUCCGCCUCCUUCUCCAGCUCCAUCAGCCGAAGGCCUUCGGCGCGCUCCGCCCGCAGGUGCUGCGCCCUCCAGUGCUCGAGGUAGGCUUGCUCCUGUUGCGGUGUCGCGCCCAGCCAGAUGGGCGGCGCACUGACGAACUCGUUGACGGUCCACUGGUAGACCUCCCGCGGCUCCGUGGGCUCGGGCUUCGACGGAGGUGGCACGACGCACUCGUCGGCGGCCGGCAGCGUGAUGGCCUCCGUGAGCUGCUGUUGUACGCCGCCUCCUCUCGGCCCUGCGUCGCGCUUCCUCCUCGCUGUCGCGGAGAACAUUUGUCAGCCGCCUACCAGGCGGCCUCAGCCUCCUGGUCCUCGUCGCUGACGACAGGCGGGGGCGGCGGAGGGCCUCCUGGCUGCACUUCGCGCACGCCACGACGGCGUUGCUCCUCCUGCUCCACCACGAAGCACAGCUCUCAGUUAGGGGAGUCGGCCGCGUACGCAGGGUCUCGCCGCUGCUCCGUCGUCAGCAGACGCCGACGGCGGCUCACCUCCUCCGCAUGCACCCGCGCCGACCGCGGCACGGCCGGCACCGGAAUCCUCUCCGGAUCCAGAUGCCAGCCGUGCGGCAACGUGACAUCGGAGUAAGGGAACGGCACGCGGUGCUCCCAGUGCCACCGCGUUUGGUGCACCGGGACGCUCACACGCUGGCGAGGCCGGCUGGAAGACCACGGCGGGGAGAUGGCGCGGGGUACAGCGGGGCCUUGUCCUUAUUUGGGAAGGCGCCGGCCAUGGUGCUAGGGUUGUUGUCGCCGAGGAGGUGGCGGGAUGUGGACGGGCGGGGUUCUGGAAGUAGAUGGAGGAACCCACCCCACGCUCGGAUUAAAAAAGGCCGACCGUGGUCGCUGACGCGUGGGCCCGAGGAUGGCGGCCGUCAUAAAUAAUGUUGACUGUUGUGGUUGGGGGCGGAAACCAAGAGGGUGCGCGCAUCCGCUUCGCGUCCGCGCUGACGCAUUUCACUCCCAAAUUUGGGCCGAAAAUGGGUCGGCGCGGACGUGGAGCGGAUAUGUUUUCAAAAUGGAUCGGCGCAUUGGCCAUCAUUUUUGCCCGCGCCGACCCAAACGGACGGCGGCAGACGAAAUGGGUCGCCCCAUCGAAGUUGCUCUGAUGACGGAACCCACCCCAUGCUCGGAUUAAAAAAGGCCGGCCGCGGUCGCUGACGCGUGGGCCUGAGGAUGGCGGCCGUCAUAAAUAAUGUUGACCGUUGUGGUUGGGGGCGGACACCGAGAGGGCGCGCGUGCAUCCGCUCCGACGGAUUUCAUUCCCAAAUUUGGGCCGGAAAUGGAUCGGCGCGUACAUGGAGCGGACAUGUUUUCAAAAUGGGUUGGCGCGUUGGACCAUCAUUUUUGUCCGCGUCGACCCAAACGGACGGCGGCGGACGAAAUGGGUCGCCCCAUUGAAGUUGCUCUGAUGAAGUAUUUUUCCUUGUAUGUAAGUAUUGGCUGCUCAUUGACAGAUGAAAGAAAGAAGCAAGGUUGAUGGGACACAAAGGACUUUUUCUAACAGUGGUGCGACAUGAUUGGUGUGUACAAAACCCCCCGCCUUUUGCUAUUGUUGUCUUGUCAAAGUGUUGUAAUGCAUACAGCAAAUCAUCGUGUUUCAAUGUCCAAGUGUAUAUCACUGCCUGAUAUAUAUUGGAGUAUAUGUUUUUCAUUAUUGUUUAACAAACUAAUAUAUGUUUGUGUCAGUAUAUGUAAUUCUAGUAUCAUUGUUUUUGUUUGCUGUGUAAAUGGAAACUAAAAGAUUGCUUUCAUUUAAUUGCUCUUGCAUGAUAAUCCAUAUGCAUGCAUUCGACCCUGACAAGGGGUGAUUUUUAUUUAUCCAGAGAGUUGAUAACCGGCGAUGAUGUAUUCAUAUGUUUAUUAUUUUUGUAAUUAUUUUUAUACAACCCAUUCUUAUUAGCAGAUGCGAGAAAUAGGCAUGGUUGGUGAGAAAGAAAGUCUCUUUUUUUCUUGCAAGACGGUGAUAUGGCGAGAUGAAGGAGAUAUUUGAACUGCAAGACCCUGGACUCGGCUCGUCAAAACGUUACAAUUGCUUUUGUUAAAAUACUUACAAGAACUGAUUCUAUAGAUUAGCUUAAAAAUUUGUUAAAUUAUGGAUUUGCAGCUAUGGCUUAAUGCUGACUUAAACCUCUCAACUGUCCUUGAAUAAUGUCAUUCUAUUUAUUUAGAAGUGUGUUCAAAUCCUGGUGAGUAUUUUGUAGUGAUAUAUGUGUGUUUGUCCAUGCGAAUUGGUUUUAAAUUCUGUGCCAAAUUGAUGGAUUUGAAAUUGUGCCGAGCUUUAUCAGCAAGCUAAGCUAGUUGACUGAAAUCAUUUGUUUUGUACUUUUGCUUACGCACCUAUAAUCUACAGAUUGCCAAAGCGCUAGUGCUGCAUUCUGAUUACCUUGCAUAGCCAAACACCUGGAUGCAACUGAAUACUUUUACAUGUGGAAAACAAACAAACCAGCUAGUAGACCUGUUACAGCUCGAUCCCACCGUCACCACAUUACAUUAUCAGUCCUGUUACCAGUUGGUGAAACAAACACCUCCUAGCAAUCUCCUUUCAUGAUUGGUGCGCUAGAUCCCUUCUUUAGUAAUGCCGUGGGAUGGAGGACAAGAUUACUUUUUUCUUGACUAUUACAGUUUUCAAUAAAUAAAUAUUCCAUAAACUGUGUUUGAUAAAAGUAUAUUCAUAAUCAUAGAUUUUCCAGAAAAGAUCUUGUACGGCUGUAUUGAAAUAUGUUUCAACAUCUAUUUAAAAUAUGCAUGGCAAUACAAAUUCUCACAACAUUUAGAAAUUUGUUGACAAAUAAAAAUAUUCAAUGGUACAUAGUGUUAUCUAGGAAUAUGUCCCACUAUCUAAUACUCCCUCUGUCCCAAAAUAAGUGUCUUAACUCUAGUACCGAGGGAGUAACUGUGUAGACAGCAAAAGAUGUCCCACAAAACUGCACAAUGCUCAUCACAAGGGAGAUAGCUACUUGAGCGCAAAGGAAAUGUACCACUACAAGGGGUCAGAGGCCACCAUGCCAAAUCAUCGCAAAAUAGAAAAAAGUAUAUCUUACAAUGCAUUUCAGAUAAAAGUAAAGAUAGUACCAGUUGAAAGCCGGCGCAGUUAACAGCUUGCAUAGUAACCACCAUAAUUAGUUAAGAGAAUUACUGAUGGUACAUGGCAAACUGACAGAAUAACCUAGUUCAGAUAAAUACUACUAAUGCAUUUCAUGUCUUGCAUGGUUUCUACUGAACACCACACCAACCACCAUACAUAUCACGGUCAGAUAGAUAGCAUGUGACCAGCUUGCAGAAGAACCACUGAACAACAACAUCUAUAGCACGCAUGGUCAGAUAACCUGGUAGCAGCUUGCAUAGAAGCAAGUAACAGUGCUUCAAUCACGAGGGAAGAGCCAUGCUGCCAGACGCAUUUCAUCGCCACGCUUCCAGGAAAUGUCUGGAUGGACAGAACGAUACCUGCCGGAUCCUAUGGCAUAGGUGCCGUAAGAAGUGCUCUCCUCGUCAUAGCCAUACUCCGUACGAUUUUCCUCAUCAUCAUCCAAAAACAAGAUGUGAUCACCCGGGACCCCAUACUGAGAGAAGGACAAUGACCUGGAGCACCUUCGGCCUAGAAACAACACCUGGUCAGCCCCAACUGUCGACACCUUGAUCCACCGUGAAUGCUCAAAGUCGGCCUUGAAAACCUCAAACGCGCUUGGUCCAGCAAUAGCUGCACCGUCAUCAGGAAACCGGCAGAAAAUCGUCCUGCGUACCAUGAGCAUUGCCCCACAGGAUUCAACCAGGUAGAGCUUCUUGGAGAGCAUGGUGGUGGCGCCAAACCCAAUUGAAAACCAUGGAUCACCUUUGAUGACUUGUCCGAUCCGAGAAACCUGUGGAUCCCCGGUGGCAUGGUCCUCGCUGAUGUUCACCACAAGAAGGUCCUCGUCUUUGGUGAGGGCGUAGAGCUUGGCCUGGUAGAAUGACAUGUCUUCAAACCGCUUGCACCGGUCGUGCGCACGUACUGACCACGACAAGGCCCCUGGCUGGCACAUUAGAAUCUGACUGGUGUGUCCAAUGCCAACAAGUGCGGCAACAAGGUUCGGCGAGCAGAGAACCAGCUUACUUAUGUGCAGCUUGUCCGAGUCCUUCAUAUGCAUCCACGUGACGUAAGGGUCGGCCAAUUUCGCCCCACCCUCAUACGACCAUUUAGCGACCGCAUUUGGAGGCCGGAGCCGGACGCUGGAGAGAGGAGGGAGCGUCACCGUUUCCCGGGAGAAGGGGUCGACCAUGAAGCACCCGUCGUCACGGGGGAAGACGAGCCAGCUGCCGCAGGUGCUCUGGUACCCGGCGAAGCCGCAGCCGGGGAAGCGGAAGGGCUUGGAAUACGGCAGGCUGUAGAAGGUGCCGUCGGGGAGAGCGAUCAGCGGCAGCGGCGGGGGCAGCUGCUGCUGCCGCCUCGCGGCAGCACGCCACUGCGGGCACACCGCGGCGAAGCGGGCACGGUCGGCCUGCGCGGGGAGCAGGCCGAGCACCAGGCCGGCCAGCUCCAGCGGGAUGGACGACCACGACAGCGCCGGCGGCUGCAGGUGGGGUUUCUUCUCGGCCGCCAUCAACCCUUCAAAACAAGAAAGCAAAGACACCAAUGAGAAGCAUUCCCCAGCGAGGAGGCAAUGCGUCGAACAUCUGGCGUGCAUUGCCAGCGGAAGCGGCGAGAUUGGGGAUUGGGGAGUGCGGGACCCAAAUCCCCGAACGAGCAAGGGAGGGAGGGAGGGAGGAGGAAGGGCCGUGAAGAGAGAGGCGGGUACCUGAGAUACCAGCGCCGUCCCGCUGCCGGAGAGGGGGCCGAGUUGCCGUCCGCGCCGGACGCCGGAGCUGGAGUGUGGAGUGGAGUGUCGAGUGUGUGGCUGCCCGAAGCCCCGAACCGAGUAAGUACCAGUCCAACUGGCUGUGGAUGCGCAGGCCCAGGCCCAGGCCCAGCCAAGCCGUAUGGGCCGCAGGCUCACUCGCUGAAAAAAAGGGCCCCCGCCAGCAUAAAAAAAUGAGUUCCCGCCUUCUCCUUUUCAAAGAGGAACAAUAUCGAUUUCAGCUGGAACUUGCCGACUUCGAGAUUAAUUUCGGUAUAUUUUCCCCAUAUUUAUGCAAUACAGUUUGAACAAACACAUUUGUAUGUGUUUGAAAAUAAAAUGCUCAAGGAAAUUCUAAAACAUGUUGCUAAUAUGUCCGGGGUCCAUUAAAAAAAAUAUUAUAUUUACGGAACUGAGGGAGUAAUAUAAGACUUUUCUAGAUCACUACUGAUCCAAAGAAGUCUAAUAUUACAUUACAGAGGGAGUAUAAAAUAUUCCGGUGAAUUUUCAUGUUCGUGUAGCAAAAAAAAAUAGUGAAAUGGUGUACCAUCUAUAAAAUAUGUUUAUGUAUUUAAGAAACACGCAAAUUGUUAAUAAUGUUCUAUAUUCCACAAUCAAAGAUGGGUUGUAUACCAUGGUUAUUUGAUCUCUUCUGACAAAAGAACACAUACUUAUAUCAGGAGGAUGUUAUACAGGCCAGUUAACAGUAAACAUUUGCUCCCUCCGUGCCAAAAUAUAUGACGUUAAAGGGUUUGAUGUGUAAAUUUUGUAACACUACGGACAUUUUCCACUUUCCAGAAAUGCCCUCCCACCACCGCUCGCUCUCUCGUUCCCCUCGACCGCCUCUGGCUCACUCUCGUUCCCCUCUCACCCACCCCCUGUCGCUCCCCUCCAGAUCCACACCAUCGCCGACCUUCCCUCGCCGUCGUCGUUGUCCUCUCCUCUCAGUCGUCACCGGCCUCUCAUCGCCUUCCUUUCCCCCAACCACCGCGCACCCCGUUUCCUCCCACCGCGCACCCCGUUUCCUCCCGCUGCUCACCCUGGUCAAAAGUUUGAUUUUUUUAGGCACCGACGACGAGCUUCUUCCUCGACGGAGUAGAUGGCGGACAGUGCUGGUGGAGCAAGACUGCUAGCAGGAGGGGCACCUCGUUUCUUCCUCAUCUUGAAUCGGGGACAAGGAAGCUGGGGCAGAUCCGGCGGGCGGCGUGGCUUGCAAGAAGGUUGGUGGGAGGUUGGUGGAGAGGCUGCUAGCAGGAGCGCGCGCUGCUGGUGCUGGGCAUGGUUCUGGAGCCGCAGUUCGAUCGGCCGUACCUGUCGGCGUCGCUGCGGGACUUCUGGGGCCGGCGCUGGAACCUGUCGGUGCCCGUCGUGCUCCAGCCGUGCGUGUACCGCCCCGUGCGCGCGCGCCUGGGCCCGGCCGCCGGGGUGCUCGCGGCGUUCGUGGUGUCCGGGCUGGUGCACGAGCUCAUGUUCUACCCACCGGGGAGGACAUGGUGUGGCCGCCCACCGGGGAGGCGACGGCCUUCUUCGCGCUGCACGGCACGUGCGCUGUGGCGGAGGCAUGGUGGGCGAGGCACCAGGGGUGGUGGCGCCCGCCGCGGCUGGUUGCCACCCCAUCAACAGCUUCCACACACCGCAGGGUGCAAAGCUCGUCAAGUAAUUGUCCGUAACUAAAUUUGUACAGUCCUUGUCUGAAUUUGCAUGCUUGCCAAUUUAAUUAAUUACCGGUUGUUGCACUGGACUGGACUGGAUUGCUGUUGCAUGCAGGUUGCAGGUGAAGACGUUGGGCAAGUUUUUCGCGAUGAGCUUCAGCUGGGGCUUCUUCCAGUGGUUCUACACCGGCGGCAAAGACUGCGGAUUCAGUUCCUCCCCCACCUUGGGCCUCGAGGCACGCAAACAAAAGUAUGUUCCUUCAGAAAUGUCAGCAACUUUUCACAUUUCAUGGCUAGCUAGCCUAAAGUUUGUAAAUGCUCUAGGUUUCAGGUUCUUCUUCGACUUCUUCCCAGGUGCUGGGCAUGCAGCAAAUGAGUAUUUGUUGUUGGGUCAAUUUGCAACGAAUCAAUCCAGGUUCUUCUUCGACUUCUUCCCAGCAGCCUCCGCGGCAUCGUCGGCUACCGGGUAUGCUUGCACCCCUCUCUUGUCCUUGUGAUUUCAUCGUCGUUGCAGCAAGGAUUGAUAUGAAUGGUGCAUGUUAAUUUUUGAGCUUAGCUUAGCUUUUCGCUCCCAAUUUGCUGCAUGCCCAGGAACACAAAGAAACCAACCAUUUUGCUGCAGCAAUACUCCUCUCUUCUCUCCUUACAACAGUAGUUGUAGACCUGUUUUGGAGUAGUGUAGGAGUAGUGUAAGAGUAGCUUAGUUCCUUUUUUUCUCUUCUCUUAUUUCCAAGUACCCCUCUUGUGCCCUCCAUUAUUUUAAUUUUCUUUGAUUAAAAUUAAACUAGAAGAUUUUCUUUAAUUAAAAUUAAAAUUAAACUUGAAGAGUCCAAAUGAUCAUAAAAAUGAGAAAAUUCAAAAACUUAUCAUACAAACAAGGAGUUAUACACACGAGGAGUUCAAAUGAUCAUACUCCACAUGAGCUCAUAAUCACAAGGAUGCAACACAACAAGAGAAUGUCUCAUCACAAAAUGCAACAAGGAAUACAAAUGAUCACAACAAGCCUCAUCUCACUCCUCAAGCAUCUCAACAAGCCUCAUCUCACUCCUCAAGCAUCUGAACAAGCCUCAUCUCAAGCAUCUGAACAAGCCUCAUCUCACUCUUCAAGCAUCUGAACAAGUGUCAUCUCACUCCUCAAGCAUCUCAACAAGCCUCAUCUCAAGCAUCUNUCAAGCAUCUCAACAAGCGUCAUGUUAAGCACUAGUGAACUCUCUCCAUUAGCCCUAAAUUGUGUAGAGCAUUUGCAUACACCUCUCGAGGGCAUGAAAGCCGUAGAGGUAGAAUUCCAAGAUUUUCCAGCCUUUCUUUGUUCACAUGGGGUAUUUUAUACUCAUUGCCACCAGCAUUGUUCAAGAUCUCUAUCAUACAAGCCUGUAGAGAUAGGAAAACUCUGUUCAGUUUGUAAACCUCAUAGUCUUCAAAUUCCUCCAACACUCCAUUAAUUAAACCUCAUAGUCUUCAAAAAAACCAAGGUCAAGCACAUUCAAAUCAGGACUGUUGGAGGGUUGUUGUAUUAUUCUGACGUCCAUUCCAGUUCUUGAAGCGGCUUCUAAAAAUUCCGGGUCGGUAGGCAGUAUGUGGGGCUUAGCAUUGUCCUGUUGUAUAUAGAUUGUCUGCCCAACAUCACUUUCAGGCCAAACAACUUGUAUUGCUGCCAAGACGUUCUCUAUCAAGAAUUCCCGCAUCACCUUUCUGUCGACUUUUAUUGAUUUUGUCUCUAUUGUGCCUCUAGGUCUAUUAUCACUUUUCCUCUGAGCUGGAACUUCUUUCACGAAUGACCAAAUACCAAUUUUCCCAGAGAACAUCACAUUUCCUUCACUAUCCCAUCUUGGCCUAGCAACUGCCGUCAAGAACAUGAUUUUUCCAAUACAAUUGCUGCUUUGUAUAGUUCUUGUAGGCUCUUCCUCCCCAUCCAAGAGAUAAUAGUUCCUGUUUCUCUUUGUCAUAUAAAACCAUUUAUCGUCAAUAUGGACAAUGUUGUGCAUAGAUUUGAAUUUAAGCCUUGGUGUUUCUAUUGUUGUCUCAUCAAGCACUGACAAGCAGAAUUUCAUCCUACUAAUCUUAUUCUUGUCCUUCAGAACAGGCUUCACGGUAUUUGUAUGUCUCUAUGAGCUUCAGCUUGAACUGUUGGAAUUAUGCCCUAGAGGCAAUAAUAAAUGUAUGGUUAUUAUUAUAAUUCCUGUAUCAAGAUAAUAGUUUAUUAUCCAUGCUAUAAUUGUAUUGAAUGAAGACUCAUUUACAUGUGUGGAUACAUAGACAAAACACCGUCCCUAGCAUGCCUCUAGUUGGCUAGCCAGUUGAUCAAAGAUAGUCAGUGUCUUCUGAUUAUGAACAAGGUGUUGUUGUUUGAUAAACUGGAUCACGUCAUUGGGAGAAUCACGUGAUGGACUAGACCCAAACUAAUAGACGUAGCAUGUUGAUCGUGUCAUUUUGUUGCUACUGUUUUCUGCGUGUCAAGUAUUUAUUCCUAUGACCAUGAGAUCAUAUAACUCACUGACACCGGAGGAAUGCUUUGUGUGUAUCAAACGUCGCAACGUAACUGGGUGACUAUAAAGAUGCUCUACAGGUAUCUCCGAAGGUGUUAGUUGAGUUAGUAUGGAUCAAGACUGGGAUUUGUCACUCCGUAUGACGGAGAGGUAUCUCGGGGCCCACUCGGUAAUACAACAUCACACACAAGCCUUGCAAGCAAUGUAACUUAGUGUAAGUUGCGGGAUCUUGUAUUACGGAACGAGUAAAGAGACUUGUCGGUAAACGAGAUUGAAAUAGGUAUGCGGAUACUGACGAUCGAAUCUCGGGCAAGUAACAUACCGAAGGACAAAGGGAAUGGCAUACGGGAUUAUACGAAUCCUUGGCACUAAGGUUCAAACGAUAAGAUNGGAGUCCCGGAUGAGAUCGCGGAUGUCACGAGGGUUUCCGGAAUGGUCCGGAAACGAAGAUUGAUAUAUAGGAUGACCUCAUUUGAUUACCGGAAGGUUUUCUGAGUUACCGGGAAUGUACCGGGAAUGACGAAUGGGUUCCGGGAGUUCACCGGGGGGGGGGGGCAACCCACCCCGGGGAAGCCCAUAGGCUUUGGGGAGACACACCAGCCCUUAGUGGGCUGGUGGGACAGCCCCAAGGGGGCCUAUGCGCCAAGAAUAAAAGAUCAAAGGAAAAGAGAAAAAAAAGAGAGGGAGGAAGUGGGAAGGGAGGGGGACUCCUCCCACCAAACCAAGUCCAACUCGGUUUGGGGGGGGAGUCCUCCCCCCCUUGGCUCGGCCGACCCCUUGAGGGUCCCUUGGACCCCAAGGCAAGGUCCCCCUCCCUCCUCCUAUAUAUAUGGAGCUUUUAGGGCAGAUUUGAGACGACUUUCUCACGGCUGCCCGACCACAUACCUCCAUAGUUUUUCCUCUAGAUCGCGUUUCUGCGGAGCUCGGGCGGAGCCCUGCUGAGACAAGAUCAUCACCAACCUCCGGAGCGCCGUCACGCUGCCGGAGAACUCUUCUACCUCUCCGUCUCUCUUGCUGGAUCAAGAAGGCCGAGAUCAUCGUCGAGUUGUACGUGUGCUGAACGCGGAGGUGCCGUCCGUUCGGUACUAGAUCGUGGGACUGAUCGCGGGAUUGUUCGCGGGGCGGAUCGAGGGACGUGAGGACGUUCCACUACAUCAACCGCGUUCUCUAACGCUUCUGCUGUACGAUCUACAAGGGUACGUAGAUCACUCAUCCCCUCUCGUAGAUGGACAUCACCAUGAUAGGUCUUCGUGCGCGUAGGAAAAUUUUUGUUUCCCAUGCGACGUUCCCCAACAUGAACUUCCUAUGAAGUGUGCUAGGGCUGCAACCCAGUUGCCAAGCUAGUGAUCUUAUAGUCGACCUCUUGUUCAGUGGUAUUGUUGGGAUCCGCUCUAGGUUGAUGUUCUUUGGCUUUCUUCCACAUCUUCCCUUUUUUUGGUUGGAAACAUCUACCUCCAAACCAUCUGCAAUUUGCUUCAUGGCCUUCUGUCAAACUCUUUGUAUACUCCUCACAUCUACCUUAAAAAAUUGUGCAACGUCUUUCUUGUCAUUUCUCUUGAACUUUCCGCCUCUACUCAUACACAAUGUAUGCAGUGCUACAUAAGCAGCAUAUUUUCCCUGGUCGCUGAGGGUUUUCCUUUUUGUAACUCCUUGCUCAACAACUGCAACAGCCAAGAAAAUAUAUUAGUCCCACUGAAAUUAUCAAAUGAUCAAAAGAAAUAUUACAACAAGAAAAUACUUCCUAGAAAAAACUAUAUAGCAAAUAUUUUUGACAAGCGAAACACUGCAGAGAAAUGCCAUCUCAAGAUUCUUAACAUAAAAGAUAUUUGCAGCUGCAAUACUUUUUCAAAGCAGUAGUACCUUUUAGAUAUAUUCAGCUUUCUCUUUAAUACUGAAAGCGUUGCAUUUCUUCCAACUUAGCCAAGGUCUUUGUAAAAAAUAUUUGCUGUAGACCAGAAUCAUGCUACAUAGCCAACGGGAAACGUCUGAAAUUCUACUCUCCAAAUGGUACCAGAAUCAUGCUACAUAGCCAACGGGAUGAAUAGAAACAAAACACACCAGCAUUGACACUAUGACGUUCAUUGACUAACGCCACAUACCAGCAUUGGAUUUGCAUAGUCAAGUGUAAAUGAGUUCAGGCUUCAAACUAAUCCAGUUCAUGUUAAUACGCCACAGACCAGCAUUGGAUUUGCAUAGUCAAGUGUAAAUGAGUCCAGGCUUCAAACUAAUCCAGUUCAUGUUAAUACGCCACAGACCAGCAUUGGAUAUGUACCUUGCUCGACACCGUUUGCAUCAUGACCGGGAUCAAUGCCCUCUUCUUCUUCUUCCAUGUUGAUAUCAUCUUGGAGUAUGUCUUCUUCUUGGGCUGGAGUACAAUUGAGAUCAAACUCCAUGCCUUUGCCCUGAUUAUGUCUCUGCUUUUUCAGCUGCUACCUCUUCUGGACCAUGGAGUUAGACCUGCUGGACCUGGAGCCUGUUCAGAUACUGCCACAAUGUAAGUUAAUGCAACAUCAAGAACUGUGGUACUCCAACAUCAUGUAACUGUACUCCUGUCAUGAAAAUUAUGUUGCAUGAUGUUAUACUCCACUGAGUAAAAGUGAUUCUGUUCCUGUAGCACUGCAUCAUGUAACCAUACUCCACAUCAUGUUACUCCAGUACUGCCUAUGGAGUAGUAAUGCACUGAUUUUUGUCAUGCUCCAACAUCAUGCAACUACUCCAACAUCAUGCUCCAGUACUAAUUUUUGUGAUGCUAAGAUUUGUUGAUACGGCCUCAACAGCAUGCUACUGAAUUGCUCGUAAGUAGGACGUGGAGCCGGCGGUGAUCUGCGAUACCUGGAGGUGGAGCUGGCGAGGCCCUAGGAAGGUGGAGGCGAUAUGCAGCAGGGCGUUGGCCAGGAAACCUCGAGGACAGGAGGUGGCUUGGCGCUGGCCAGGUCCUCUCCGGCACAGGGAGAGGCGAUCUGCAGCACGAGCUCGCGAGAUGGGAGGGGGAUAUACUGGGCGGCGAGAUGGGAGGGGAUCUGUUGGGCGGAGGUGGGCGUUGGAGGUGGGCGGCGCUGGAGGUGGGGGGCGCUGGAGGUGGGCACUAGAGGUGGGGGCGCUGGAGGUGGGCGCUGGAGNNNNNNNNNNNNNNNNNNNNNNNNNNNNNNNNNNNNNNNNNNNNNNNNNNNNNNNNNNNNNNNNNNNNNNNNNNNNNNNNNNNNNNNNNNNNNNNNNNNNNNNNNNNNNNNNNNNNNNNNNNNNNNNNNNNNNNNNNNNNNNNNNNNNNNNNNNNNNNNNNNNNNNNNNNNNNNNNNNNNNNNNNNNNNNNNNNNNNNNNNNNNNNNNNNNNNNNNNNNNNNNNNNNNNNNNNNNNNNNNNNNNNNNNNNNNNNNNNNNNNNNNNNNNNNNNNNNNNNNNNNNNNNNNNNNNNNNNNNNNNNNNNNNNNNNNNNNNNNNNNNNNNNNNNNNNNNNNNNNNNNNNNNNNNNNNNNNNNNNNNNNNNGGGGGCGAUGGAGGUGGGGGGCGAUUCAAAAUUGUUGUACGAUUCCUUUUUUUUAGUGUAACGAUUCGCCCCUGUAAUGGAUCUGAGGGGUAGACAUGUCUUUUGGACGAUUUUGAGGGGAUGUCUUAAAACUCCCCAGCGUCAUAUAUUUCGGGACGGAGGGAGUAUUAUUUUUGAACUCUUCCAACAAACAAUUAUCAUCUAAACAUUUUGUAAAACAAAUAUCAACACCUUAUGUAUAUUUGAAGGACAAGAAAAAUAAAAGGAUGCAAUUUAGAGAAGAUGAUAAACAAAUAAUGGAAUGAGAAGAGACAUCAAAAUAAAUUUUCAAGAAACACAUUGAGAGUAGAGGGAGAUGGAAGGCAUAAAGAAGGAAUAUUUGUUGGGUGGCCCAGCAAUCGGAGCAUGUGCGCAGAUGACUUUUCUUUUCAAAGUAAGUGUAUGUCCGUGGAGGAUUAUCCUUUUAGUCAACCAUAUUUUUGGAAAAUGUCACAUUCAAAUGACUAAAUGUUGUUUUCAAACGGAUCAUGUGAUCCUGGGAGGAAAAAAAAACAUUUCCAUUAGGAAUCCCAUAUGACGAUGGGAACAUUAGAUCUCUUCUUUAGCCAUCUUUUCUUUGUGGGGUACUUCUUUAGCCAUGUUGUGGGUUAGAAGGCAAGAUCAAGUUUUAUUGACUGUUAUUAACAUUUUGAAUGUUUUAUUGACUGUUAUUAACAUUUUGAAUCAAUAAAUAAUUCAUAGACGGGGUUGACAAAAAUAUAUUUAACAUGAUAAUAAAAUUUUCAGUAAAUAUUUUGUACUCCCUCCGUCUCGGUGUAUAAGUCAUCUUAGGUUGUUCAUCACGACCAAGACGAAGAGGAAAACGAGAGUAAUUAAUAUUAAUUUGCUAAAUAAUAUCAUUGCAUGUAAUGAAUUGACCACUCCAUGUCGUGCUAGUUAGUCUCAAGUCAUUAAAAACAUAUACGGCCCACGCCUCCUAUUAGUUGAUUCUUUUAUUCAUGUAGAAAAACAAGAAACGAUGUGAAAGUUAAUGUAUCACGCCUAAGUGUUUUGAGAUUAUUUGAUUUUCAUAAAAUGACUUAUACACCGAGACGGAGGGAGUACAAUUGUUUUUAAAUAUGUUUCAAAGUCCAUAAGGACCACAAAAUGUUCUGGCAACUAUUAGAACUUCUUAACAAUUAUAACAAUUCCAUACGAAAAAUUAUCUAAAAACAUGUCCCACCGUCUAACGAUUCCUUUGACAGGAAAAUAAAUGCUCCAUACAUGAAAAAGUUGCUGAAAUAUGUGUUCAAGCCACACUAACAGCACAACUGCGAAAGGAUCAUCACAAAAGAUAGCUACUUCAGCUAAAAAUAAAUCAAUACUGCAGGGAGUCACACACCACCAAACCAAAUCAUCGCAGAAUAGGGAAAAAAAAAGACCACGCCACCAAUGAUACAUAUAAGCAGUUAUGAGUUUUAAACAUCUUCCGUAAGCACAGAAACAAUCAGAGUACCAAUUGAAGACCAAUGCAAUUGACAGCUUGCACAGUAAUGACCACAAAUUAGUUCAGACAAUUGCUGAUGCUCUGCGAGACUGCAACAAACAGAGUAACCUAGUUCAGAUAAAAGAGACCACCAUGUCAAAGAUACAGAGAAGUGAUGCAUUUUAAGAUUUUUCGUAGGCACAGCAACAACUACGGUACCAGUUGGAAACCGACGCAGUUAACAGCUUGCAUAGUAACCACAACAAUUGCUUCAGACACCACGACAGUUAACAAAGUAACCUAGUUCAGAUAAAUACUACUAGUAAUGCAUUUCAUGGGUUCCACUGAACUGAACACCACGCCAACCACCAUACAUACCACGGUCAGAUAGAUAACAAGUGAGCAGCUUGCAAAAUAACCAUCGAACAACAUCGCCGCUUCAGUCCUGAGGGAAGAGCCAUGCUGCCAGACGCAUUUCAUCGCCACGCUUCCAGGAAAUGUUUGGAUGAACAGAACGGAUCCUGCCGGAUCUCAUGUCAUAGGUGCCGUAGGAAGUGUUCUCCUCGUCAUAUCUAUACUCCAUACGAUUCUCCUCAUCAUCAUCCAAGAACAAGAUGUGAUCAUCCGGGACCCCGUACUGAGACAAGGACAAAACCCUGGAGCACCUUCGCCCUAGAAACAUCAAACCCCCCAAAGCCGACACCUUGACCCACCGUGAAUGCUCAAAGUCAGCCUUAAAAACCUCAAAGCUGUUCUCUCGAGCAACAACUUCACCGCGCACUCCAGGUUCAGGUACCUGGCACCAAACUGCCCUCCGUACCAUCAGCAACGCCCCCUGCCAUUCAACCAGGUAGAGCUUCUUGCAAGGCAUAGUGUUGUCCUCGAACACAACUGGAUACCAUGGCUCACCCUCGAUGACUUGUCCAAUCCGAGAGACCUGCGGAUCGCCGGUGCUUUGGUCCUCGCUGAUGUUCACCACAAGAAGGUUCUCGUUAUUGAUAAUGGCGUAGAGCUUGCCCUGGUAAAAUGACAUGUCUUCGAACCUCCUGCACGGAUCAUACGCGCGUACUGACCACGACAAGGCCCCUGGCUGGCACAUUAGAAUCUGACUGGCGUAUCCGAUGCCGACUAGUGCAGCAACGAGAUUUGGCGAGCACAGGAUUAGCUUACUUAUGUGCAGCUUCUCAGAUGUAUUGAUAUGCAUCCAUGUAGUGUAAGGGUCUGCAUACUUCAGCGUGCCUUCCUCUGACCAUUUAGCGACUGCAUUUGGAGGCCGAAGCCGUACGCUGGAGAGAGCAGGGAGCGUGACGGUGGCCCUGGAGAAAGGGUCAGCCAGGAAGCAUCCGUCAUCCCGGGGGAAUACGAGCCAGCUGCCACAGGCACUCUGAUACCCAGCAAAGCCGCAGCCAGGGAAGCGGAAGGGCUUGUAAUACGGUAGGCUGUAGAAGGUGCCGUCCGGCAGCGCGAGCAGUGGCAGUGGUGCGGGAAGCUGCUGCUGCCGCCUCACGGCGGCCCGCUACUGUGGGCGCACCACGGCGAAGCGGGCGCGGUCGGCAUACGUGGGGAGCAGGCCGAGCACCCGGCCUGGCAGGUCGAGCGGGAUGGACGACCACGACAGCGCCGGCUGCAGGGAGUGCGGUUUCUUCCCCGCUGACAUCGGCCCUGCAGGCGCAAAGAAACAACGUCAUCGGCGAGACAGCGGCCACUGCCCUUUCAUCGAACACCAAGCAUCCAACCAAACACAAGGAGAAGGAUCACGGCACAGCAGCCAGCGGCGAAGCGUGAAGCAAGAUAAUUUGGGCUUUUGAAAGGGGUGGCCACAGCCCCUAAUUGUCCCCCACAAGGCUCCGCCAGUGACAGCAGCAGCACUUUGGUUGCGCAGAGGCAAUGCGUCGAACGCCUGGCGCGCACGGCCGGCGAACGCAGACGCGGCGAGAGCUGUGACGGACGGAACCCCAGACGGCCAGACCUACACCCCGCGCGAGCAAGAUACAAGUAGAGAGAGCAGAGGCGUCCCUUGGCCGGAGCGGGCGUCGAUCUACCGUGUCCGUAAGCGCCGCAUGGCCAGAGGCACGGCGGGCGGGCGCGGGGAGGAACACCCAAGCCCUCCGAGCGAACGGGAGAGGAAUGCGGAAGAGGCGCGAGGAUGAGGGGGAGUGAGAUACCUGAGAGAGAGAGAGAGAGAGAGAGAGAGCAGCGCCGUCGUCUCGGUGCCGGAGCUGGGGUAGACUCGCCGCUCCAGCUGCCGCUGCUGUCAGUGGAGUGUGGGAUUGCUGGCUGCCCGAGUGAAGUGAACCAGGUGAGUGCAGUGCAGCCCAGGCCCAGCCAGUCCGAACGGGCUGGGCCGCCCGGUCGCUCGGGGCCUGCAUUUCCCAUUCCCUGGGCCCACCCACGUCCGACUAGCGGAGCGGAACCCCCCUCAACAACCACGGCCGCCAUAGCGAUACGAUCUAUCCAGCCAACAGGAAGCAGCGGCAGCGAGGAGGGAGGAGAAGCCGAGGCCGCCCGCCGCCGACGAGGAAGAAGAAGGCGGCCGGAGGGGAGGGGAGGGGAGAGGGAGAUGGCGUACAGGGCGGAGGACGACUACGACUACCUGUUCAAGGUGGUGCUGAUCGGGGACUCCGGGGUGGGCAAGUCCAACCUGCUCACCCGCUUCACCCGCAACGAGUUCAGCCUCGAGUCCAAGUCCACCAUCGGCGUCGAGUUCGCCACCCGCAGCAUCCACGUCGACGACAAGGUCGUCAAGGCCCAGAUCUGGGACACCGCCGGCCAGGAGAGGUACCCAUCCCCCCAGAUCCAUUCAUCGUUACAGCAGCCCGUGUGGCAUGUGGAUCUCAUCACCCCUUCUUGUCGGCGAUCCUUCAGCAUACGCUGCUGUGUUUGAUUGAAAUGCUUCACUGGAUGCUGAGAUUAGAUUUGGCAUUGUCUCGAUCCAUACGUAGUAGCUUUCCAUGAUUGGGCAUCACAUUUGUAGCAAUGUGCUGCUACUUGCAGUUGUUGAGGAUUGUGUAGGGUCCAGGAGCUGACCCUGAUGUAGACUGUACAUGCACCCCAGCUGUUCGAGCAUAUAUGGGGUUUGGGAAAACAUGCUUGCUAGUAAUUGACGAGGAAACAUCUUGUAGCCAUCAAUUACAACUCCUGUGCUCAACAAUUUGUAAUCAUCAAUUAGACAAUGAGAGCGACUAAUUUAAUUGCCCGUGUUCAAUGAGAGCGACCAUACAUGCUCAUUAAUUUGCUGUUCAAACUGUUACCUGCACCACCGGCUGAUCAUCGAUUUGCGCUGCGCCUGCAGGUACCGGGCGAUCACGAGCGCGUACUACCGCGGGGCGGUCGGCGCCCUGGUCGUCUACGACGUCACGAGGCACGUCACAUUCGAGAACGUCGAGAGGUGGCUGAGGGAGCUCAAGGACCACACGGACGCCAACAUCGUGAUCAUGCUCGUGGGGAACAAGGCGGACCUGCGCCACCUCAGGGCCGUCCCUUCCGAGGACGCCAAGGCGUUCGCCGAGAGGGAGAACACCUUCUUCAUGGAGACGUCCGCCCUGGAGGCCAUGAACGUCGAGGACGCCUUCACCGAGGUGCUCUCCCAGAUCUACCACGUGGUGAGCAAGAAGGCCCUCGACAUCGGCGACGACCCCGCCGCGCCUCCCAAGGGCAAGACCAUCAGCGUCGGCUCCAAGGACGACGUGUCCGCGGUGAAGAAAUCCACCUGCUGCUCGUCUUAGCUUAAGCUCAGGAUGGUGGCAUCUUAUACAGUAGGGGGGAGGGCACUAUGUUAUUGCAGUCAUAGUCCUCAUUUGUAUUCAUGCGCUAUCGAGUGUCUCAAUGUUCAUUUUGCCAUAUUUUUCAUACAUUUGAUUCGUUCACGACUACAGCUUUUGCUGGUAUAGUUUAGGGGUUUGGAAGUGUGAGGUUAUCGUGAAUUUCUUAUAGGCCUUUUCCUUGGAUGUGUUUCUACCUCUUGGGUCUGUGUAUUCCUGAAUCUGCUUAUUUAUACAAUUCCAUUUCGUUCAGGGGAUUUGUCAUGGUAAACUGUUACUGUACCAAAUUUUUUGGCGACUCCCAUCAUGAAAAUUACAGUUAAAAGCCAAAAACCAUUGCUACACUAUAUGUUCUGCAAAAAUUGAGCUUUUAGAGUUUGGUUUAUACAAAACAAAUGGUAUGUUUUUUGUGAUUUUGACUUAUACCAUCAUGUAACAAUAACCAGUUAAAAGCCAAACAAUUCAAAAAAAAUCCAGUUAAAAGCCAAAAACCAAAGCUAUAAAGGCAUAAAAUAGAUGUUUUUUUCUGGUUAUAAACCAAACUCCAAAAGCAACCAAAACACCCCUAUACCAUAGAAACCAAAACUGCAGAACCAAGAAAGCCAUAGAGCAUCCAGAAGAAAGAACCAUUUGAGUUUUCAAUUCUGAUUUUUGAAAGGGAAAUAUAUAGGUUUAAUUACAAUGUACAAAUGGAUAAAAGGGGCAAUCUAGGAAAGCCAUGAUGAGAGAAGUUCAGGCACCAUGGGGGGGGGUCUAAGAGCAGUCUAGGAAACGAAACCAUGCAUUCUGGCUAUACAGUUUUGGGGCAGGCUAUGUCCGCAACAAACCGAACAGGAAAUUACAGGUAAAUAACACAAUCAUCCAACAUCUCUUAUGUACAACGAACUGAGCUGAAUCUCAGUCGCGGCAAAUGAUUUAUUGGCGCCGGUCACCCCCGCUUCUCUCUGCUGGCAAUGCUGCUGCCUUGCAGAUGGGGCACAAGUUCUUCAUCAUCAGCCACUGCCUGAUGCACGCGGCAUGGUACUUGUGGCCACAGUCGAGGGUCCCUACGACUUCUUCUGCCUCAUACUCCUCCUGCAAAGACACGGAGCAAACCCACUUUAGAAACCAGAGAAAGGUAUGGGCAGCAAAACUGUAUAUCUGGUUAAUCUAGCCGUCGAUAGUGACAAAGGGGUGUAUUGACUAUUCUAGGUAAAUGAGCUGCUUCUAAAAAGGAUAAGGAGCUAUAAUAUUAUUACUAUGUAAAUAUUGUCAGGUUAAUUGUUUAGUACCAAACUUAGAUAUUAAGAUCCAGUGGUGUUUAAUUUUUUAAAAAAUCCAGUGGUGUUAUUAACAAAAGAGAUCAAGUGAAAAUACCUGGCAUAUAAUGCAAGCGUCCUUCUCCACAGACUGAUCAGACCCGCGAGCUGCCCCGGGAACAACAUACGGAUCUACCCUCAGAUUUUGACGGAUGUGCCUUUCUGGCAAACCGGUAUUGACAUCUCCAAUCUGUUCUUGCAAUGCUAGAAGCUCCUGCAGGAGAGCAGGACCGCAUUUUAUCAGUUUUACAUACAUGCAAACCCGCAAAAGUGUCUGUGAGAAACUCACAAUCUAGUGAGUUGGUCAUUUGCUCCAUACCUCAUACGUCAUGCUGUCUAUAUCUAGCCCCAUAUCCCACUGUUCAUCAAUAAGAUGUAUUGCAUCAUAAAAUGUUGACAUAGUCGCCAUAGCAGCUUGCUGUAUGGACAGAUUGAUUACAUCAGAUAUCCAUAUUCAAAAGGAAAUCACUCAUAAAAGUAAGCCCAGUCAUAUUAGUGAGGUAUGGAGCAAAUUUUAAUGUCUGUAGAUACUAAUAGAGGCAGUAGGCAAGCAAGACAACAGAAACAUGAUAAUCACGUAUCACAGCAAUGGAAAGUAUGGUUUCAUUUGUCUUGGCCAAAAUUGGGGCAUGCUAUUCAUGCAACACAGAUUGCAGGGGGAAAACAUAUGGUAAAGGGCUCAUAAAAAAUGUUUGGAUAAUUUGAUUUUCUAAAACUUGAUGACAGGCAUAUUUUGAAGAUUUCAAGCAAAAUAAAUGUGCAGCACUUCAGCAACUAAGCGCAAUAAUUGGCAAUGUUUUCUUGAAAAAAAUAUCCACAGAUCUUUUAUGACUAAAUUCUUACAUCAAUUGAUUACUCUUCUAAAAUGAAAUUGUGUUUCCGGCAUAAGUAUGAAGCAUGCAUAUCCUUGCAGAAUAAAGGAUUCAAGUCCAAAUUAUACAUGCAUCUUCUAUGCCUCACAAGAAACACCAGGUAGACGCAAACAAAUUAUCUAAGAUAUUAUUUUUUCAGCAUUUAUCAUGCAAUUAGAGCUACAUGCAUGCUAUCAUUCCAUAAGAAAAAUGUAUGGAAAUGUGAAUCACCUGAAGAAAUCUUAUACUCCCAUGGUAAACUUGAUCUGUCAAAAAUGCAUGAACUGGAGGUCCAUUAGUAUGUCCAGAACUGGAGAAAGGCAGACAUGGAUCCCAGGUGAACACCAUUCGAGAAGGAUUUGCACCUUGCACCAUUCCAGAAGGAUUUGCACCCUGCACCAUUCCAGAAGGAUUUGCACCUUGCACUACAUUGCUCUGACGCUGAGGCCCUUGCAUCUGAAUAUGAUUAAGCAUAGCAGGAGUUUGCGUGCUAUGCACAGGAAUCUGGUUGAAAUGAGGUAAAGACCCAUGAAAAGUAGCAGAAGGGCCAGCUUGAUAAUCUUGAAGACGACCAUUUGGCAUGCCCAUUGUUCCUGGAUGAGCAAACUGACCUGUUAAGAAGCAAGAUUUUCGGUUAUCUCUCCACAUCUCACUUCACAGAAUUAUAUCCUAUAGCCAAGCCAUAACUUAUAAAAGGUUGCAGUUAUUCUAACUAAUGAAACCUACCAAGAAUAUAAGCCACUAAUUAUUCAAUGAAAACUACUGACAGCCAUAAAAAAGUGCCUUGAAUCAUCACUUAGCAAAACAAUUUCAUUUUUAUUAAUCAAGAAGGUUUACUUACCUGAAGGAUUGUGGACUGAAUUGUUGUAUGCCCAGUGUGGCACUCCAUCAGCAAUAACAUUUACAGGCUGUGUAUUCCAUGUAUUGCCCUGGCCCAUGUGACCAGCUGGAAAUACAUAGUUACCAUGACGCACCAAUGCUGGGUGAGUAGCCAUUUGUGUUGACCUGUUCGGUCCAUCAGCAGAAGAGCCAUUUGGUGCACCAUGUGAUUCAAAUGAAGGACCCCAUGUCCCUUGUGCAGGAUGCUGAGGCACAUGAGCAGAUGAACUCGAGCUUGCAAAUCCAUGAUCAAAAUGAUGGCCACUCUCAGCUACCGCAUUCUUCGUUUUCAUGGAUUCUCUGGUGGCAUCACCAAAACUGCUACUGCUGCUACUCUCGUCCAUAGUUCCUGUGGCAACUUGAUGAUAUGAAGGUGAGGGUGGCGGAUUGCCCUGUCCAAAACUUGCAUGAGGGACAUAUCUGUUCGCAGAUGGUGUUGGCAUGCCGGGAUUGUACAUAUUCGAUGGGUAGACAAAACUCGGAUCAACGCCUGCAUAUGGGUAUAAAUUCUGAGCAUGCUGGCGGUGAUUAUUAAUGCUCUCAUAGUAACUCCGUGAAUCACGGACUCCAUCAUUAGCAGUAUUUCCUGGAACACCAAGAGCAACUUGCACGCCCUGAUUGGAUAAAUUACUGCCAGUGCCACCAUUAUUGGAAUUUUCAGGCUGAAGUUGUCCUUCCUCUGUUUCAGGAUUAGCACCCUGAUGUGUCCAAGACAUAUUUCUCUGUGACAUGAUGCCAACCACAAUUCCCUUGCUUAUGGAUCAACAAUGCUUUUUCAUUAACUCUUGCUGCAAAUCAGAUUAACUAAAUAUGGUCAGCAGUCAGUCCAAACUCUGUAAGUAGACAUGCAAAAUGCAAGGAAAGCAUGUUUUUUUAAGUAGUCGUGGUACAGGACAAAAACUUUCACAGAGAUAUGUCAAUGAUUGAUAAUGCAAGGCAUGAAAUGACCUAUCCUCCAGCCAACAUACUGAUUGAACAAAAUAGCUUACACAUUCUGGACAAAUUAGGUGGACCAACAAGAAAUAAAAGGUAUUGAUCAUGUACAAACAAAAUAGCUCAUGCCUUAACUUACUAGAGUUGCAGAGUUACCAAUCAGCAUACAUAUUUGUCCAGUUUCGCUCUCCUAAAGAUGCCAAAUCACAAUUUCAUAUAUUACUACUCCCUCCGUUCCUAAAUAUAAGUCUUUAAAGAGGUUUCAUUAGUGGACUACAUACGGAUGUAUAUAGACAUACUUUAGAGUGUAGAUUCACUCAUUUUGCUCCGUAUGUAGACUCCUAGUGAAAUAUCUUAAAAGACCUAUAUUUAGGAACGGAGGGAGUAUUAAAUUUGCAACUCAAGUUUCACAGUUAGACAGCAUUAGUCCACUAUGAGCUGUGGUAAUUAACAAAUCAUACCUUACCCCUUACCAAAUUCCACAUGCGAAGUAUUAUUUGACUACUCAUUUGUUCAAGUAAUGCUAACUCUAAAUUUAACCAUCUUUAUGCACACUUUUUUGCAUAUACUUUUGAGUCCUUCAAAGUAGCAGACCAUCAAUCUUGGAAAGAACAACUGCGCCAUUUAACUGGGCAGGUAUGGUCGUUCAUCCCUCAUGCAAAAAAAGAAGAGCAUGAUAUAGCAAAGGCUAGGAAUAUGAAACUGAUACUAUGUCUAUUUGAACAGUUGUCUGGUCUGAAAAUAAAUUUCCAUAAGAGUGAGUUGUUUUGUUUUGGGAAAGCAAAAGAUGAACAAAACACGUAUAAACAAUUGUUCGGAUGUGAAAUGGGGAGUUUACCGUUCAGCUAUUUAGGUAUACCUAUUCAUCACCGGAAGCUUUCCAAUAGUGAGUGGAAAUGCAUAGAAGAUCGAUUUGAGAAAAAGUUAAGUUGCUGGAAGGGCAAGCUGCUCUCUUAUGGAGGAAGACUAAUUUUGAUUAACUCGGUGCUUACGAGUAUGCCUAUGUUCCUCCUAUCCUUCUUUGAGGUACCGGUAGGGGUACGUAAAAGAUUGGAUUUUUAUCGAUCUAGAUUCUUUUGGCAGAGUGAUGAGGAUAGGAAGAAAUACAGAUUAACCAGAUGGGACAUUAUCUGUAGGCCUAAAGACCAAGGUGGUGUGGGAAUUGGGAAUUUAGAGGUGAAGAAUAGAUGUUUGCUAAGUAAGUGGCUGUUCAGACUGUCAGUAGAGACAGAAGGAAUGUGGGUACAAAUUUUGCAUAAUAAAUAUCUACAUUCUAAGACAUUAGCACAAGUAAAUGUGAGACCCAAUGAUUCACCAUUCUGGAAGGGAUUGAUGAAAGUAAGGUCAUCCUUCUUCCAUAGAAUCAAAUUUAUUAUUGGAAAUGGUGAGGGUACUAGAUUCUGGGAGGAUUCGUGGUUGGGGGAGACACCUUUAGCCACGCAAUAUCCAGCCCUUUAUAAUAUUGCGCAACGCAAGGAUGCGUACGUAGCCACAAUCUUACAGUCACAUCCUCUAAAUAUACAAUUCAGGCGGUCACUCAUUGGACAUAGAUGGGCUGAUUGGUUACACCUUGUUAGGAGACUCAUGGAUAUCCAGUUAUCGGACGAAACUGAUAGGGUGCAAUGGAAGCUUACGAAUAGCGGAAUUUUUACAGUCAAAUCGAUGUAUCUAAAUCUUAUUGACACGAUUACUAUCCCCAAGUCAAGGAAUAUUUGGAAAGUCAAAGUACCCUUAAGGAUCAAAGUAUUCAUGUGGUUUGUGCACAAGAAGGUGAUUCUAACUAAGGAUAACUUGGCUAAACGAAACUGGGGGGGUAGUACUCGGUGUAGCUUCUGUGAUAACGAGGAAAACAUCUCACACCUCUUUCUCCACUAUCCACUUGCGAGAGUUCUUUGGCACACGGUUCGUAUAGCUUUUAAUAUUAUACCUCCGGACAGUAUUGACAUGUUAUUUGGAACGUGGCUAGAUGGAGUGGAUAAGAUUAUAGCUAGACACAUUCGUAUUGGAGUUUGUGCACUAUUUUGGGCCAUAUAGAACUGUAGGAAUGAUGUGGUUUUUCACAGACAUACAAACAUACAUUUUUUACAGGUACUACACAGAGCUGCGGCAUUGAUCCAUACAUGGUCAUUACUCACUCCUGCAGAAACCAGGGAGCCUUUGGUUACUGGGUCUACCCGAUGGGAGACGGUAGCGCGGGAUAUCUUCAACCAGUUUGGAUGGCAGUCCAGUAAUAGGAUAGAUGAGUAGACAUCUAGGCCUAUUUUGCCGGUUGUGGCACUUUUAUAUUUACCUUUCAUUCUGAUUUAUUUUGCCAGAGACUAUGUUGAACCGCAAUUUAUUUGCCUUAUUAUUAAUAAAGUGGCCGUAUGCAUCGUGUUGAUGCAGAGGCCGGAGGUAAUCCUCCUUUUCUAAAAAAAGAUAUGGUAAAACCAGUUGGUUACCCUGUAUCCAGUAAUACUCCAGCCUCUUUCUUCGAAAUAUCUAAUAUGAUGCAAUUAAUGCCCGUGCUCGCAUUUAGGCAAGGUGCUCCCAAGAACAUUUAUCGGGAAUUGCAAUUAUAAGAUCAAUUUAAUAACAUUUGAUUGCAUACUAAUCUUAAUACAUAUUCUUAUGUUGGAACAUUUCUAAGCAAAUAAUGCACAUAACAAUUUGGCAAGAACAGGCAUUCUUCAGCUGUAGAUAGCAUCAGCAAUCUUGAUGAACACAAUGCCGACAAAAAAUUGUACACUAAUAAUGCCAGCCUAAGAACAUACACAAAACAUAAACUUUAACAAAGCAUUAAAUGAAUAAAAUCGGGACAUAUGAGGUUCACAUGUUUUAAUCUCAUAGCAUUUUGGAAUAGUUUGCAGAGGAAUAAAUUAUCAUCAUAAAAACGGAAAUGAGGUGUAGAUUUCCUGCACAGACAAGGAUGAACCAUAACAUCAUUUAUUGAUUAAGAACAAACCUGGAACUAAUAAUUAAACAUGGUGGCAGAUUUAGAACUCAAUUACUCUGUUCAGGCAAUACCCUUGGGUCUUGGUAAUUUUCCAGGCUUAAAAAGUGCAGUAAUAAAAUCAAGAUGAGGGAGAGAACAUACAGCAAUUGGCGAUUGAAACAGCUUGCUGUCACUUAGACGAAGAGUAAAAACAAGAGUGUUUAGCCACCUGAAAAUCAGACUCAUGUGUAUCAUUAAGCAGUUCUACCCUAUAUCGACUGUUCACUGCAAAAAGCCAAAAACAGCAGCAUUAAUAGCUAAUUAACUAGGCACACGCAAGCAAAGCGUGCACAUCCCCCACCCAACCCCCACCCGGAUAAGGUCAUGGCUGUGGUAGCUACUGCAGACAAGCAACGGGAUGCAUCGAAGGAAAAGGAAGCGCGCCACCUGAUAAUCUGCAUUCACACGUCAUCUUAGUUCAUCAGUAAUCAGUAACUGAUCUAACUUCUAAGCCAGCCUUGUGUGAAAACAAAUGCCCAGUCAAGAGCAGAGCACUGCAUGUAUGAUGCAGUCCAUAGUGCACACCACGGUUGCACAAAUCAACAGAGACCCCACAGCCCACAGGCCGCUCUAGCGGCGCUGGCAUCACGCAAACAGCCGUUUCAACUUUGAACGGCGUCGACCCAAGCAUGAACACCUAUUCAGACAGCAACACCUCCUGACCAGCCCCGAAUUUUCAGAAACACGAUCCAGGGAAAUGAAAUGAAAAACCUCUAGACAAUCAAUCUCGUGAAAUCCGUUGUCAUGACUCGAAUUACGGCCAAGGCCGCUACCCGGUUCAACGAGCAGCCUACUGCCCUGUUCUGUUCGCCUCGAGCUGAGAGCUGCUCUCCCCUCACUCGCUCCAAAAAUAACCGCCCAUGGCAACCGAAUGCGCAUGGGCGGAUCUACACGCGCGCGCAGAAAUCCUAGAGCCCCGCGGGGUUUAGCCAGCCGCGGGUGAGAGGAUGAUGUUUACCUCGGAACCUGUGCCCAGAAAAUCCGGGCGGGUCGGUGGAGGAGGCAGCGAGGCGGGGCGGCGAUUGGGAGGGGCGCGGCGGAGGAGGGGCAGGGAACGGCGGCGGCGGCGGCGGCGAGAGGGCGGGGGACGGCGGACGAACGGAGCUGGGCGCGGCGGGGCGGAGGCCGGAUUGGGGCGGGNNNNNNNNNNNNNNNNNNNNNNNNNNNNNNNNNNNNNNNNNNNNNNNNNNNNNNNNNNNNNNNNNNNNNNNNNNNNNNNNNNNNNNNNNNNNNNNNNNNNNNNNNNNNNNNNNNNNNNNNNNNNNNNNNNNNNNNNNNNNNNNNNNNNNNNNNNNNNNNNNNNNNNNNNNNNNNNNNNNNNNNNNNNNNNNNNNNNNNNNNNNNNNNNNNNNNNNNNNNNNNNNNNNNNNNNNNNNNNNNNNNNNNNNNNNNNNNNNNNNNNNNNNNNNNNNNNNNNNNNNNNNNNNNNNNNNNNNNNNNNNNNNNNNNNNNNNNNNNNNNNNNNNNNNNNNNNNNNNNNNNNNNNNNNNNNNNNNNNNNNNNNNNUUGGGGCGGGUCAGGGGGAGGAGGGCGAAAGGGUACGGGAGGAGGAGGAAGCCAUGGGGCGGCAGUUCGUAUUAUGGCCACUGACUCUCGGUGGACGGCGGCAUUUCGCUAAUUAAAUAGGUGAACGAAUUACCAUACAGGGGCAGAAAUCGGGGAUUGGAAAAAUACUAAAACACCCCGAUGUGCUCUUUCUUUUCCUUGGGCUGAUCAAACCUUCCUUUUCAAGCUCCUGGUAUUUGCUUUGAGAAAAUAGAAAAUAUUUAGAGUUAGUAAUCUGGUGGAGGGAUGAGGAGGAGGGGGAGGGGGGUGACCGGCGACGGUGGCAUCAUUGGGAUCUGGACGUGAGCGCCCCCCGCCUCCCUAUCGCCGUUCGUGCGCCCUCUCGCCGCCACCGUCGUGCCCUGUUUCUCCUCCGUCACGCCACUCCCAACCGCCGUCUCACCUUGUUGUCUCGGUCAACCCUGCCCGGAUUUGUCGGGCGUCGGUUCCCAAGUAACAUCAUCUCUUUUCAUCUGUGCCUAGCUACACCCCCAUCGGGCUCUAGAAUUCCUGUGCGCGCAUCUAGAUCUGCCCAUGGGCAUUCGGUUGUUGUGGACGUAUUUUUUGGAGUGGGUGGGUGGGGGGAGCAGCUCUCAACUCGAGGCGGACGGGGCAGUAGGUUGCUCAUUGAAUCAGAUAGUGGUCUUCGUUGGGGUUCGAUGGCUAGAAUAAGGGGUGGAUCUCCAUUGNAUCUCCAUUUGCGCGACGGUGGGGUGGAUUGGAAGGAUGGGCGCGGGGAGGAGGGUGGAUCUCCAUUGCACGACGAUGGGGGUGGACUGGACGGGUGAGGCGAGAAGAAGGAGGUGGAUCUCCAUUUGCGUGACAAUGGGGUGGAUUGGAAGGAUGGGCGCGGGGAGGAGGGUGGAUCUCCAUUGCACGACGAUGGGGUGGACUGGACGGGUGAGGCGAGAAGAAGGAGGUGGAUCUCCAUUUGCGCGACGAUGGGGUGGACUGGACGGGUGAGGCGAGAAGAAGGAGGUGGAUCUCCAUUUGCGCGAGGUGGGGGUGGAUUGGAAGGAUGGGCGCGGGAAGGAGGGUGGAUCUCCAUUGCGCGACGAUGGGGGUGGACUGGACGGGUGAGGCGAGAAGAAGGAGGUGGAUCUCCAUUUGCACGACGGUAGGGUGGAUUGGAAGGAUGGGUGCGGAGAGGAGGAUGGAUCUCCAUUGCGCGACGGUGGGGUGGACUGGACGGGUGAGGCGAGAAGAAGGAGGUGGAUCUCCAUUUGCGCGGCGGUGGGGUGGAUUGGAAGGAUGGGCGCGGGGAGGAGGGUGGAUCUCUAUUGCGCGACGAUGGGGGUGGACUGGACGGGUGAGGCGAGAAGAAGGAGGUGGAUCUCCAUUUGCACGACGGCGGGGUGGAUUGGAAGGAUGGGUGUAGAGAGGAGGAUGGAUCUCCAUUGCGCGACGGUGGGGUGGACUGGACGGGUGAGGCGAGAAGAAGGAGGUGGAUCUCCAUUGCGCGAUGGUGUGGUGGAUUGGAAGGAUGGGCGCGGGGAGGAGGGUGCAUCUCCAUUGCGCGACGGUGGGGUGGACUGGAUGGUUGAGGUGAGAAGAAGGAGGUGGAUCUCCAUUGCGCGACGGUGGGGUGGACUGGACGGGUAAGGCGAGAAGAAGGAGGUGAAUCUCCAUUUGCGCGAUGGUGUGGUGGAUUGGAAGGAUGGGCGCGGGGAGGAGGGUGCAUCUCCAUUGCGCGACGAUGGGGUGGACUGGAUGGUUGUGGCGAGAAGAAGGAGGUGGAUCUCCAUUGUGCGACGGUGGGGUGGACUGGACGGGUAAGGCGAGAAGAAGGAGGUGGAUCUGCAUUGCGCGGUGGUGGAGUGGAAGUAUGGACGCGAGGAGAAGGGUGGAUCUCCAUUGCGCAAUGGUAGGUGGAAUGGAUGGGUGGGGUGAAAAGGAGUGGAACUGCAUUGCGUGACGGUGGAGUGGACUAGAAGUAUGGACUCGAGGAGGAGGGGAUGGAUCUCCAUUGCGCGACGGUGGGGUGGACUGGAUGGGUGAGGCGAAGAAGGAGGUGGAUCUCCAUUGCGCAACGGUGGGUGGAAUGGAUGGGUGGGGUGAAAAGGAGUGGAUCUGCAUUGCGCGACGAUGGAGUGGACCGGAAGUAUGGACGCGAGGAGGAGGGGGUGGAUCUCCACUGUGCGGCUGUGGGGUGGACUGGAUGGGUGGGGUGAGAAGAAGGGUGGAC